rnacentral:lncRNA from 1 species
CUCUAUCAAGUGGUAUCAGAUUUCCAGGUUGCUCGGUGAGAUUUUACAGUUUUUCGUAGUUUAGAUCGAGUCUGUUCUUCAUACCUAUAGUCCACGAAAAAGCCAAACAAAAAAAUUAGGGUUAGUUCAUCCCAUCCGAACCAAUCUGAGCCUUGCAUAAUCUUUUCUGUAUUUGCUUUGUUGAAUUUGCGGUUGCAUCGUCGUGUUCAGUUGCUGGUCUUAGCGUCUAGUCUUUUAGAGUUUCGAGUUCUGUUCACAAGUUGUCACGCCGUCGCCGCACCAUCAUCAUCGCCCCUGCCAUCUACCACCACCGCUCCGAAUCCGUAUCCAUAUACCACCACCAAUCCGUGUCCAUAUACCACCACCGAUCCAUAUCCAUAUACUACCACCGCUGCCAUAUACCACCACCAUAUAUUCACCACCAAUCCGAGUUCCUUGCUUAUUAGGUUUGUUUUCGGGAUCAAUCUAGAUUCCGAUUGAUCAAAACUCUUCUUAGCUCAAACUGACAGGAUGGGCACGAAAUUUUUUUCGACCAAUUUUUUUUUUUUUUACUGCCCGGACCCAAAAACUGGAAACGGGUCAAAAAAAACUUCCUAUAAUGGCACCUGUCUCAAAACACUCAGAAACACCUAAAAAUAGGAUAGCCAGAAAUUUUUUCGAAAAAUGCGUUUUCGAAAAAUUUUGGGCCUAAACGGAGCGUGGCUACCCGACUCCGGCAAGGAAACACGAAUCGGAAUCUAGAUUGAUCCCGAAAACAAACCUAAUAAGCAAGGAACUCGGAUUGGUGGUGAAUAUAUGGUGGUGGUAUAUGGCAGCGGUGGUAGUAUAUGGAUAUGGAUCGGUGGUGGUAUAUGGACACGGAUUGGUGGUGGUAUAUGGAUACGGAUUCGGAGCGGUGGUGGUAGAUGGCAGGGGCGAUGAUGAUGGUGCGGCGACGGCGUGACAACUUGUGAACAGAACUCGAAACUCUAAAAGACUAGACGCUAAGACCAGCAACUGAACACGACGAUGCAACCGCAAAUUCAACAAAGCAAAUAUAGAAAAGAUUAUGCAAGGCUCAGAUUGGUUCGGAUGGGAUGAACUAACCCUAAUUUUUUUUUGGCUUUUUCGUGGACUAUAGGUAUGAAGAACAGACUCGAUCUAAACUACGAAAAACUGUAAAAUCUCACCGAGCAACCUGGAAAUCUGAUACCACUUGAUAGAGGCAAAGGUGUCCCGUCUUUCGAUGAGAUGGUGGAUUUCGCUUUGGUGGAAGUCGACUUUGACGAUCCGACUACGAACGUGCGAGGACGUCGCGCCUUAGCAAUCGCUAAACCAACUCCGAGAGGUUAUUGACCACGCCGGAGCACGAUCAACCUGACCACGAGGGUCUGUUUCCUGCGAGCAAACGAAGAACAAGCAAGAAACUGAGAUUGCAAUCUGGAUAUUGCGAAUAUAAGAUGAAAGCUUUAUUGAUCAAGGUGGGGUUCUGUGACGCCUUUGUCUGGUCGUUGAACACAAACGAAGUACGCGAAGUUGCAGCUAUGGCGAACUUUUAAUCUAAACAAAACCCAAAGUCUAAACGAUGCCCUAAGGGCUGUAUAUAUGGAGGAAGAGGGGGGAUUUUCGUGGCCCUUGGUGGAGGGAUCCGAAAUCAACCCUAUCUCUUGUUUCCCCACACAUACGGACUCUAAAAAUAGCCUAUACUUAUGUAGUUCGAAAUUACAUGGGCCUGGCCCAAUAAUAAGGUGACGCAGCACCUAAAAUAGCCUCGGGACGAAAUUUAUGAAGUGGCAUCUUGUAUAUUUCGUCCAAGGCUUCAUGCACCCAUUAUGGUGGCUUCAAAGUCCUGAAAUCAUCACUUGUAACUCCGUUCUUGUUCCCCUUGCGCAUGCCAUCAUCUCCAUGCUUGUUCUUGCUCCAAUGUUCAUCCUUCUCCAAGCUAGGCCCUUCAUUUGUAAGCAAAACAAAUGUAUCCAAUUUAGGCAGCAUCAUAUUCUCAUGAACAUUAGAAUCAUUACCAAGAAACGAAAGUACCUGGUAAUUUAGUUGGCGUGCACGAGCUCUAGUAAUUGGUCCAGUAUUUAUAGCAGCAGGGGCUGUGGGUGUAACAAUUGUAUUGAUGUCCUCAUCAUCCUCCCCUUCUUGAAAUGAAGUCGUCCUCGACGGAAGUUCAUCUUCCUCACCCAAAUAAGGCUUCAAAUCUGCAAUGUUAAAAGUGGGACUAACCCCAAAAUCUGCAGGCAGCUCAAGUUUAUAUGCAUUAUCAUUUAUUUUCUCUAACACCUUAAAGGGACCAUCAGCACGUGGCAUUAGCUUUGAUUUGCGCAAAUCAGGAAAUCUAUCCUUACGCAAAUGUAACCAAACAAGAUCUCCAGGUGCAAACACAACAUGUUUUCUACCCUUAUCUCCAACAAGUUUAUAUUUAGCAUUCAUACGCUCAAUGUUUUCCUUAGUUAACUCAUGCAUUUUUAAAAUCAAUUCAGCACGUUGUUUAGCAUCAAAAUUAACCUUCUCCGAAGAUGGAAGAGGCAACAAAUCAAUAGGUGCACGAGGUAGGAAACCAUACAUAACUUCAAAAGGGCACAUCUUGGUAGUAGAAUGCAAUGAACGAUUAUAAGCAAAUUCAAUAUGAGGCAAGCAUUCCUCCCACAUUUUCUUAUUAUUCUUCAAAACAGCCCUAAGCAUAGUAGACAACGUUCUAUUGACUACUUCAGUUUGUCCAUCAGUUUGGGGGUGACAAGUAGUACUAAAAAGCAGUUUAGUCGCCAACUUAGCCCAUAAACAUCUCCAAAAGUGGCUAAGAAAUUUAGUAUCACGAUCUGAAACAAUAGUAUUUGGCACACCAUGCAAGCGAAUAAUUUCACGAAAGAACAAAUCAGCAACAUUAACAGCAUCAUCGCUUUUAUGACAUGGUAUAAAGUGUGCCAUUUUCGAGAAUCUAUCCACGACAACAAAUAUGCUAUCCCUCCCCUUCUUUGUUCGAGGUAAACCUAAAACAAAAUCCAUAGAUAUAUCCUCCCAAGGAACACUAGGUACAGGCAAAGGCAUAUAUAAACCAUGAGGAUUGAGUCGUGACUUAGCUUUUUGACAUGUAGUGCAUCGAGCAAUAAAACGCUCAACAUCCCGUCUCAUCUUUGGCCAAAAGAAAUGUGUAGCAAGUACGUCCUCCGUCUUCUUCACGCCAAAGUGUCCCAUUAAUCCUCCUCCAUGCGCCUCCUGCAACAACAAAAGACGAACGGAGCUAGCUGGAAUGCAUAGCUUGUUAGCACGAAACACAAAUCCAUCGUUAACGAGAAACUUGUUCCACAUUCUUCCUUCUUUACAAUUCUGCAUUACAUCUUUAAAAUCAGCAUCAUGCACAUAUUGAUCUUUGAUGGUCUCCAAACCAAAUAUUUUGAAGUCAAGUUGUGAAAGCAUAGUAUAGCGGCGAGACAAUGCAUCAGCAAUAACAUUUUCUUUUCCCUUCUUGUGUUUAAUGACAUAAGGGAAAGUCUCAAUGAAUUCAACCCAUUUAGCAUGUCUACAAUUCAGUUUAGCUUGACUUUUAAUAUGUUUCAAAGAUUCAUGAUCAGAAUGUAUAACAAAUUCUUUGGGCCAUAAAUAAUGUUGCCAUGUUUCUAAAGUCCGAACAAGAGCAUAUAAUUCUUUAUCAUAAGUAGAAUAAUUCAGACUAGGCCCACUCAAUUUUUCAGAAAAGUAUGCAACAGGUUUGCCAUCUUGUAAUAACACACCUCCUAAUCCAAUUCCACUAGCAUCACAUUCAAGCUCAAAAAUCUUAUUAAAAUCAGGAAGUUGGAGUAAAGGAGCAUGUGUCAACUUAUCUUUCAAUACCGUGAAGGCUUCUUCCUGUGCGGUACCCCAAACAAAAGGCACAUCCUUCUUUGUAAGCUCGUUGAGAGGUGCAGCAAUGGUGCUGAAAUCUCUCACAAAACGCCUAUAGAAUCCAGCGAGGCCAAGAAAACUCCUCACUUGUGUGACCGUUUUGGGCUGCGGCCAACUCUCAAUAGCUUCAAUCUUGGCUUUGUCAACUUCAAUUCCCUGUGGAGUAACAACAUAGCCAAGAAAAGAUACUCGGUCGGUGCAAAAGGUGCACUUCCCAAGGUUACCAAACAAACGUGCAUCACGUAGAGCAAUAAAAACAGCACGUAAAUGUUUCAAAUGUUCUUCCAAAGAUCUGCUAUAAAUCAGUAUGUCAUCAAAGUAAACUACCACAAAUCGUCCAAUGAAAGCACGUAAAACUUCGUUCAUUAAUCUCAUGAAAGUACUAGGUGCAUUAGUUAACCCAAAAGGCAUGACUAACCACUCAUAUAAUCCAAACUUAGUUUUAAAUGCUGUUUUCCAUUCAUCUCCCAAUUUCAUACGAAUUUGAUGGUAGCCACUACGCAAAUCAACUUUGGAGAAUAUUGUAGAGCCACUCAAUUCAUCAAGCAUAUCAUCUAGCCUAGGAAUAGGAUGACGAUAACGAAUAGUAAUAUUAUUAAUGCCUCUACAAUCAACACACAUCCGUGAUGUACCAUCCUUUUUCGGCACUAGAAUAAUAGGAACAGCACAAGGACUAAGGGAUUCGCGUAUAUAACCUUUGUCGAGAAGCUCUUGUACUUGACGCAUAAUCUCCUUCGUCUCCUCUGGAUUGGUACGGUAUGGUGCACGGUUUGGCAGUGAAGCACCGGGAAUUAAGUCAAUCUGAUGCUCAAUCCCUCGAAUAGGCGGUAAUCCCGGUGGCACGUCUUGUGGAAAGACGUCAGCGAACUCCUGCAAAAUGUUAGUGACAGCAGGAGACAAAGAGGAAGGCACGUCCUCGAAUGAAAAUAAUGCCUCUUUGCACACAAAAGCAUAGCAAACAGAUUUGCUGAAAUCUAGCUCAUCAAUAUCAGAUUUGGUGGCAAAUAAACAUGCACUUUUCAAUUUAAUUUCAGAAGCAACACUAGAUGGUUUAUUAUUAGGCUUCAUUUGUUGCUCAAAUUCUUUUGCCACAAUCUGAUUUUCACUCUUAUUCGUCUCCUGUUUUGCUUUAUUAGCUCUAUUAAUAUCAUCUUUCAAAAUGGAAUCAGGAGUCAUAGGAAGCAAAGUAAUAUUUUUAUCCUUAUGAACAAGAGUAUAGUGAUUGUUUCUACCAUGGUGUACAGAAUUUUUAUCAAAUUGCCAUGGUCUACCAAGUAAUAAGGAACAUGCUUGCAUAGGUACCACAUCACAAUCAACAUAAUCAGCCUAUGUAGAUGAUAGAGGCGGGGUGUCCCGAUCUUUCGAUGAGAUGAUAACUAUCGAUUUGGUGGAGACGACUUUGACGAUCCGACUACGAACGUGCGAGGACGUCGCGCCUUAGCAAUCGCUAAACCAACUCCGAGAGGUUAUUGACCACGCCGGAGCACGAUCAACCUGACCACGAGGGUCUGUUUCCUGCGAGCAAACGAAGAACAAGCAAGAAACUGAGAUUGCAAUCUGGAUAUUGCGAAUAUAAGAUGAAAACUUUAUUGAUCAAGGUGGGGUUCUGUGACGCCUUUGUCUGGUCGUUGAACACAAACGAAGUACGCGAAGUUGCAGCUAUGGCGAACUUUUAAUCUAAACAAAACCCAAAGUCUAAACGAUGCCCUAAGGGCUGUAUAUAUGGAGGAAGAGGGGGGGAAUUUCGUGGCCCUUGGUGGAGGGAUCCGAAAUCAACCCUAUCUCUUGUUUCCCCACACAUACGGACUCUAAAAAUAGCCUAUACUUAUGUAUUUCGAAAUUACAUGGGCCUGGCCCAAUAAUAAGGUGACGCAGCACCUAAAAUAGCCUCGGGACGAAAUUUAUGAAGUGGCAUCUUGUAUAUUUCGUCCAAGGCUUCAUGCACCCAUUAUGGUGGCUUCAAAGUCCUGGAAUCAUCACUUGUAACUCCGUUCUUGUUCCCCUUGCGCAUGCCAUCAUCUCCAUGCUUGUUCUUGCUCCAAUGUUCAUCCUUCUCCAAGGUAGGCCCUUCAUUUGUAAGCAAAACAAAUGUAUCCAAUUUAGGCAGCAUCAUAUUCUCAUGAACAUUAGAAUCAUUACCAAGAAACGAAAGUACCUGGUAAUUUAGUUGGCGUGCACGAGCUCUAGUAAUUGGUCCAGUAUGUAUAGCAGCAGGGGCUGUGGGUGUAACAAUUGUAUUGAUGUCCUCAUCAACGUAGAGCAAUAAAAACAGCACGUAAAUGUUCCAAAUGUUCUUCCAAAGAUCUGCUAUAAAUCAAUAUGUCAUCAAAGUAAACUACCACAAAUCGUCCAAUGAAAGCACGUAAAACUUCGUUCAUUAAUCUCAUGAAAGUACUAGGUGCAUUAGUUAACCCAAAAGGCAUGACUAACCACUCAUAUAAUCCAAACUUAGUUUUAAAUGCUGUUUUCCAUUCAUCUCCCAAUUUCAUACGAAUUUGAUGGUAGCCACUACGCAAAUCAACUUUGGAGAAUAUUGUAGAGCCACUCAAUUCAUCAAGCAUAUCAUCUAGCCUAGGAAUAGGAUGACGAUAACGAAUAGUAAUAUUAUUAAUGCCUCUACAAUCAACACACAUACGUGAUGUACCAUCCUUUUUCGGCACUAGAAUAAUAGGAACAGCACAAGGACUAAGGGAUUCGCGUAUAUAACCUUUGUCGAGAAGCUCUUGUACUUGACGCAUAAUCUCCUUCGUCUCCUCUGGAUUGGUACGGUAUGGUGCAUGGUUUGGCAGUGCAGCACCGGGAAUUAAGUCGAUCUGAUGCUCAAUCCCUCGAAUAGGCGGUAAUCCCGGUGGCACGUCUUGUGGAAAAACGUCAGCGAACUCCUGCAAAAUGUUAGUGACAGCAGGAGGCAAAGAGGAAGGCACGUCCUCGAAUGAAAAUAAUGCCUCUUUGCACACAAAAGCAUAGCAAACAGAUUUGCUGAAAUCUAGCUCAUCAAUAUCAGAUUUGGUGGCAAAUAAACAUGCACUUUUCAAUUUAAUUUCAGAAGCAACACUAGAUGGUUUAUUAUUAGGCUUCAUUUGUUGCUCAAAUUCUUUUGCCACAAUCUGAUUUUCACUCUUAUUCUUCUCCUGUUGUGCUUUAUUAGCUCUAUUAAUAUCAUCUUUCAAAAUGGAAUCAGGGGUCAUAGGAAGCAAAGUAAUAUUUUUAUCCUUAUGAAUAAGAGUAUAUUGAUUGUUUCUACCAUGGUGUACAGAAUUUUUAUCAAAUUGCCAUGGUCUACCAAGUAAUAAGGAACAUGCUUGCAUAGGUACCACAUCACAAUCAACAUAAUCGGCAUAUGUAGAGAUACUAAAAUGCACACAAACAGUACGUGUUACCUUAACCUUGCCGCUGUUGUUGAACCAUUGGAUGUAGUAAGGAUGUGGAUGUGGUCUUGUGGUGAGAGAAAGCUUCUCCACCAUCUCCAUGCUAGCCAAGUUGUUGCAGCUCCCUCCGUCUAUGAUGACGCGCACAGAACGUUCCUUCACAACUCCCUUGGUAUGGAACAAAUUGUGCCUCUGAUUUUGCUCAGCUUGUGUGACCUGCACACUCAAAACACGUUGAGCAACUAAACAUUCAUACCUGUCAGCGUCUUCAGGAGCCAUGUAUUGCGUCUCAUGAUCAGAAUCAUCUCCACCAUGUUCUUCACGUGUAAUAAGAGCCAAAGUCUCCUCAUCAUAGUCACUAGCGGACUCAUAUCCACCAUCCGCGGUAGCAAUCAUCACACGCGGAGAUUUGCAUUCUCUCGCAUAAUGACCUCCUCCCUUACAACGACNNNNNNNNNNNNNNNNNNNNNNNNNNNNNNNNNNNNNNNNNNNNNNNNNNNNNNNNNNNNNNNNNNNNNNNNNNNNNNNNNNNNNNNNNNNNNNNNNNNNNNNNNNNNNNNNNNNNNNNNNNNNNNNNNNNNNNNNNNNNNNNNNNNNNNNNNNNNNNNNNNNNNNNNNNNNNNNNNNNNNNNNNNNNNNNNNNNNNNNNNNNNNNNNNNNNNNNNNNNNNNNNNNNNNNNNNNNNNNNNNNNNNNNNNNNNNNNNNNNNNNNNNNNNNNNNNNNNNNNNNNNNNNNNNNNNNNNNNNNNNNNNNNNNNNNNNNNNNNNNNNNNNNNNNNNNNNNNNNNNNNNNNNNNNNNNNNNNNNNNNNNNNNNNNNNNNNNNNNNNNNNNNNNNNNNNNNNNNNNNNNNNNNNNNNNNNNNNNNNNNNNNNNNNNNNNNNNNNNNNNNNNNNNNNNNNNNNNNNNNNNNNNNNNNNNNNNNNNNNNNNNNNNNNNNNNNNNNNNNNNNNNNNNNNNNNNNNNNNNNNNNNNNNNNNNNNNNNNNNNNNNNNNNNNNNNNNNNNNNNNNNNNNNNNNNNNNNNNNNNNNNNNNNNNNNNNNNNNNNNNNNNNNNNNNNNNNNNNNNNNNNNNNNNNNNNNNNNNNNNNNNNNNNNNNNNNNNNNNNNNNNNNNNNNNNNNNNNNNNNNNNNNNNNNNNNNNNNNNNNNNNNNNNNNNNNNNNNNNNNNNNNNNNNNNNNNNNNNNNNNNNNNNNNNNNNNNNNNNNNNNNNNNNNNNNNNNNNNNNNNNNNNNNNNNNNNNNNNNNNNNNNNNNNNNNNNNNNNNNNNNNNNNNNNNNNNNNNNNNNNNNNNNNNNNNNNNNNNNNNNNNNNNNNNNNNNNNNNNNNNNNNNNNNNNNNNNNNNNNNNNNNNNNNNNNNNNNNNNNNNNNNNNNNNNNNNNNNNNNNNNNNNNNNNNNNNNNNNNNNNNNNNNNNNNNNNNNNNNNNNNNNNNNNNNNNNNNNNNNNNNNNNNNNNNNNNNNNNNNNNNNNNNNNNNNNNNNNNNNNNNNNNNNNNNNNNNNNNNNNNNNNNNNNNNNNNNNNNNNNNNNNNNNNNNNNNNNNNNNNNNNNNNNNUGACUGCCCGGACCCAAAAACUGGAAACGGGUCAAAAAAAACUUCCUAUAAUGGCACCUGUCUCAAAACACUCAGAAACACCUAAAAAUAGGAUAGCCAGAAUUUUUUUCGAAAAAUGCGUUUUCGAAAAAUUUUGGGCCUAAACGGAGCGUGGCUACCCGACUCUUCUUUUUUUUUUUCCGAAACCUACUCCGGCAAGGAAACACGAAUCGGAAUCUAGAUUGAUCCCGAAAACAAACCUAAUAAGCAAGGAACUCGGAUUGGUGGUGGAUAUAUGGUGGUGGUAUAUGGCAGCGGAUUGGGGGUGGUAUAUGGAUACGGAUUCGGAGCGGUGGUGGUAGAUGGCAGGGGCGAUGAUGAUGGUGCGGCGACGGCGUGACAACUUGUGAACAAAACUCGAAACUCUAAAAGACUAGACGCUAAGACCAGCAACUGAACACGACGAUGCAACCGCAAAUUCAACAAAGCAAAUACAGAAAAGAUUAUGCAAGGCUCAGAUUGGUUCGGAUGGGAUGAACUAACCCUAAUUUUUUUUUGGCUUUUUCGUGGACUAUAGGUAUGAAGAACAGACUCGAUCUAAACUACGAAAAACUGUAAAAUCUCACCGAGCAACCUGGAAAUCUGAUACCACUUGAUAGAGGCGAGGGUGUCCCGAUCUUUCGAUGAGAUGAUAACUAUUGAUUUGGUGGAGACGACUUUGACGAUCCGACUACAAACGUGCACGACGUUGCGCCUUAGCAAUCGCUAAACCAAUCUCCUGAGGUUACUGACGAUGCCGGAAGCACGGUCAGCCUGACCACGAAGGUCUAUUCCUGCAAGCAAUCGAAGAACGAGCAAGAAUAUGAUAAAGCAAUCUGAAUAUUGCAAAUAUAUAUGAGGUAUUGAUAAUGGUGGGGAUCCGUAAGCGGUCUUGGUCUGGUCGUUGGACACAAACGAAGUACACGAAGUUGCGUUGGCUAACUUUUAACUAAACAAAUCCCAAAGUCUAAACGAUGCCCUAAGGGUUGUAUAUAUGGAGGAAGAGGGGGGGAAUUUCGUGGCCCUUGGUGGAGGGAUCCGAAAUCAACCCUAUCUCUUGUUUCCCCACACAUACGGACUCUAAAAAUAGCCUAUACUUAUGUAUUUCGAAAUUACAUGGGCCUGGCCCAAUAAUAAGGUGACGCAGCACCUAAAAUAGCCUCGGGACGAAAUUUAUGAAGUGGCAUCUUGUAUAUUUCGUCCAAGGCUUCAUGCACCCAUUAUGGUGGCUUCAAAGUCCUGAAAUCAUUACUUGUAACUCCGUUCUUGUUCCCCUUGCGCAUGCCAUCAUCUCCAUGCUUGUUCUUGCUCCAAUGUUCAUCCUUCUCCAAGCUAGGCCCUUCAUUUGUAAGCAAAACAAAUGUAUCCAAUUUAGGCAGCAUCAUAUUCUCAUGAACAUUAGAAUCAUUACCAAGAAACGAAAGUACCUGGUAAUUUAGUUGGCGUGCACGAGCUCUAGUAAUUGGUCCAGUAUGUAUAGUGAUAGAGGCAAAGGUGUCCCGUCUUUCGAUGAGAUGGUGGAUUUCGCUUUGGUGGAAGUCGACUUUGACGAUCCGACUACGAACGUGCGAGGACGUCGCGCCUUAGCAAUCGCUAAACCAACUCCGAGAGGUUAUUGACCACGCCGGAGCACGAUCAACCUGACCACGAGGGUCUGUUUCCUGCGAGCAAACGAAGAACAAGCAAGAAACUGAGAUUGCAAUCUGGAUAUUGCGAAUAUAAGAUGAAAGCUUUAUUGAUCAAGGUGGGGUUCUGUGACGCCUUUGUCUGGUCGUUGAACACAAACGAAGUACGCGAAGUUGCAGCUAUGGCGAACUUUUAAUCUAAACAAAACCCAAAGUCUAAACGAUGCCCUAAGGGCUGUAUAUAUGGAGGAAGGGGGGGGGGGAAUUUCGUGGCCCUUGGUGGAGGGGUCCGAAAUCAACCCUAUCUCUUGUUUCCCCACACAUACGGACUCUAAAAAUAGCCUAUACUUAUGUAUUUCGAAAUUACAUGGGCCUGGCCCAAUAAUAAGGUGACGCAGCACCUAAAAUAGCCUCGGGACGAAAUUUAUGAAGUGGCGUCUUGUAUAUUUCGUCCAAGGCUUCAUGCACCCAUUAUGGUGGCUUCAAAGUCCUGAAAUCAUCACUUGUAACUCCGUUCUUGUUUCCCUUGCGCAUGCCAUCAUCUCCAUGCUUGUUCUUGCUCCAAUGUUCAUCCUUCUCCAAGCUAGGCCCUUCAUUUGUAAGCAAAACAAAUGUAUCCAAUUUAGGUAGCAUCAUAUUCUCAUGAACAUUAGAAUCAUUACCAAGAAACGAAAGUACCUGGUAAUUUAGUUGGCGUGCACGAGCUCUAGUAAUUGGUCCAGUAUGUAUAGCAGCAGGGGUUGUGGGUGUAACAAUUGUAUUGAUGUCCUCAUCAUUUGGUGUUGUGAAUGAUUCCUAUGCUUACCAUAGACCUUUCAUUGAGCAAUUUGCCCAUGCUUGCUAUGAUCUUGAGGUAGAUGCUUAUUCUCUUGUUACACAUAUUUGCAUCACUACCUCACAUUUACAUGCUUGUCCCAAUGAUAUCUUUGAUUGUGCUCAAUUUAUGUGCUUGCAUACCAUGUCACAAUCCUUUGUCAAACCAUAUGCUUUGCAUGAUGACGACACUUGUUGGGUGAAUCACCACUUGAAUGCUUGGUUUUGCACUAAUGCUGAUGAGGACAUGAAUACCUUGGAUACGACCAAAAUUAUUGCAUACAUGCAUAUUUGUCAGGUGAUUUCUAAUGCAAACUAUUCAAUAAUCUAUUUAUGUUAUCCAGAACAAAAAUACUUCCCACACUUUUGUGUUUUAUCUAAUUGCAGGUGUAUGGGAUAUUUGUACAAUCCACAUAUGAAGAUACGGGAAAAGGAGAAGUUUAGGUUGUGAUAGAGGCAAAGGUGUCCCGUCUUUCGAUGAGAUGAUGGAUAUCGCUUUGGUGGAAGUCGACUUUGACGAUCCGACUACGAACGUGCGAGGACGUCGCGCCUUAGCAAUCGCUAAAAGAACUCCGAGAGGUUAUUGACCACGCCGGAGCACGAUCAACCUGACCACGAGGGUCUAUUUCCUGCGAGCAAACGAAGAACAAGCAAGAAACUAAGAUUGCAAUCUGGAUAUUGCGAAUAUAAGAUGAAAGCUUUAUUGAUCAAGGUGGGGUUCUGUGACGCCUUUGUCUGGUCGUUGAACACAAACGAAGUACGCGAAGUUGCUGCUAUGGCGAACUUUUAAUCUAAACAAAACCCAAAGUCUAAACGAUGCCCUAAGGGCUGUAUAUAUGGAGGAAGAGGGGGGAAUUUCGUGGCCCUUGGUGGAGGGGUCCGAAAUCAACCCUAUCUCUUGUUUCCCCACACAUACGGACUCUAAAAAUAGCCUAUACUUAUGUAUUUCGAAAUUACAUGGGCCUGGCCCAAUAAUAAGGUGACGCAGCACCUAAAAUAGCCUCGGGACGAAAUUUAUGAAGUGGCAUCUUGUAUAUUUCGUCCAAGGCUUCAUGCACCCAUUAUGGUGGCUUCAAAGUCCUGAAAUCAUCACUUGUAACUCCGUUCUUGUUCCCCUUGCGCAUGCCAUCAUCUCCAUGCUUGUUCUUGCUCCAAUGUUCAUCCUUCUCCAAGCUAGACCCUUCAUUUGUAAGCAAAACAAAUGUAUCCAAUUUAGGCAGCAUCAUAUUCUCAUGAACAUUAGAAUCAUUACCAAGAAACGGAAGUACCUGGUAAUUUAGUUGGCGUGCACGAGCUCUAGUAAUUGGUCCAGUAUGUAUAGCAGCAAGGGCUGUGGGUGUAACAAUUGUAUUGAUGUCCUCAUCAUCCUCCCCUUCUUGAAAUGAAGUCGUCCUCGACGGAAGUUCAUCUUCCUCACCCAAAUAAGGCUUCAAAUCUGCAAUGUUAAAAGUGGGACUAACCCCAAAAUCUGCAGGCAGCUCAAGUUUAUAUGCAUUAUCAUUUAUUUUCUCUAACACCUUAAAGGGACCAUCAGCACGUGGCAUUAGCUUUGAUUUGCGCAAAUCGGGAAAUCUAUCCUUACGCAAAUGUAACCAAACAAGAUCUCCAGGUGCAAACACAACAUGUUUUCUACCCUUAUCUCCAGCAAGUUUAUAUUUAGCAUUCAUCCGCUCAAUGUUUUCCUUAGUUAACUCAUGCAUUUUUAAAAUCAAUUCAGCACGUUGUUUAGCAUCAAAAUUAACCUUCUCCGAAGAUGGAAGAGGCAACAAAUCAAUAGGUGCAUGAGGUAGGAAACCAUACACAACUUCAAAAGGGCACAUCUUAGUAGUAGAAUGCAAUGAACGAUUAUAAGCAAAUUCAAUAUGAGGCAAGCAUUCCUCCCACAUUUUCUUAUUAUUCUUCAAAACAGCCCUAAGCAUAGUAGACAACGUUCUAUUGACUACUUCAGUUUGUUCAUCAGUUUGGGGGUGACAAGUAGUACUAAAAAGCAGUUUAGUCCCCAACUUAGCCCAUAAACAUCUCCAAAAGUGGCUAAGAAAUUUAGUAUCACGAUCUGAAACAAUAGUAUUUGGCACACCAUGCAAGCGAAUAAUUUCACGAAAGAACAAAUCAGCAACAUUAACAGCAUCAUCGCUUUUAUGACAUGGUAUAAAGUGUGCCAUUUUCGAGAAUCUAUCCACGACAACAAAUAUGCUAUCCCUCCCCUUCUUUGUUCAAGGUAAACCUAAAACAAAGUCCAUAGAUAUAUCCUCCCAAGGAACACUAGGUACAGGCAAAGGCAUAUAUAAACCAUGAGGAUUGAGUCGUGACUUAGCUUUUUGACAUGUAGUGCAUCGAGCAAUAAAACGCUCAACAUCCCGUCUCAUCUUUGGCCAAAAGAAAUGUGUAGCAAGUACGUCCUCCGUCUUCUUCACGCCAAAGUGUCCCAUUAAUCCUCCUCCAUGCGCCUCCUGCAACAACAAAAGACGAACGGAGCUAGCUGGAAUGCAUAGCUUGUUAGCACGAAACACAAAUCCAUCGUUAACGAGAAACUUGUUCCACAUUCUUCCUUCUUUACAAUUCUGCAUUACAUCUUUAAAAUCAGCAUCAUGCACAUAUUGAUCUUUGAUGGUCUCCAAACCAAAUAUUUUGAAGUAUUUACAUCUUUAAACUAGAAUUUUAUUGACAACUUUCAGUUGAUAACACUUAGACAUUUUCUCCAAAGGUUCGCAUUAAAAUAGGAGUGACCAUCUUUAUCAAGUUGUGUUGUCAAUAUGACAUCCUGGGAGUCAUCAACAAAGUAAAGCCCAAGAUUUCCUUCUACUCCUAUUCUUGCAAAGCAAGGGAUGUAUUGCUUGAAAUGAAAAUUAAGAUCAUAAAUUAGAUAUAUUGAAAUAACAAAGAAAGAUGCAAAUAUGGGAGUAACUGAUAGAACAGAUCAAUAUAUAGAUGAAAGCAAAGUACAAAAUAUAGAAUUAAAAAUAGAUAAUGUAAUAAAGAUUUGAUGCAAAUAUAUACAUAAUGUAGAACCGGACGGUAUAUGUUCACAAAUUUAGGCCAUGCUGACCGUGGUAGGUUGAGAUUGAAUAUACUGAGUGCUCCCUGAAGUCAUUCGGAAUGGUGAGACAAAACUUCGUUUCCGACUGGCCACGACCACAGUUGCCCGAUUUGUGGUCGCAUUGUGGACACAUGAAUGAACACCCACGAAUCAGCUAGAACAAAAAUGAUUCCAUGACAAUUUCUGCCAGUUGAUUAACAGCGACGAACAGAUUGCGAUAAGAGAUGAGUGAAUAUUUCGCUAAGUUGAUUACCUUCUCCGUGAGAAAAGCCCAAUCCCGCAAAAAAAACCCAGUCGAUUAGUCUAGAAUGUCGGUGCAGAUAGGCGGCAGAAAGCGGUAGGGGCGAAAUCCCGUGUCGUUUGGAGUGUGACCUAUGCCUGCCGCCAACAGCUGUCUAGCUUAGGGUGCAGAGUUGCGGAGGAGUCCGCGGCGAGUGAGUGGGGAUGAAGUGGGUGAGGGUUUUAUUUUUCCUUUUGCAUGUGUGAGUGAACACACAUGGUUCGCAGAGGAGACGGAGAUGAAUCGUGUGUGAUAGUAAAUCACUGAGAUUGGAUGGGAAUCCAAAUUUCCUUUGUCCUUCAUCCAUGAGUUUUUACUAUGAUGAACAUAAACCCUACUAAUCACUGUGUUCAAAUAUGACACUUUUUUGGGUUCAUUUACAAUAUUUAGGGGAUUAUGUGCAUUUUGUAGGCAUUAAUGCACAUAAUUCAAAUUGAAACAAUUGGUGCUUGAAAAGGUGCACAAUAACGGUCUGGAAAAACCAUACUCGUGGUAUUUAGUAAUUUCUCAAGCCUAUUACAAGGACUGGGCAGAUAUUUCAAUGGAAUGCAUGGCAAUAGUCAACCACAAACGUGUCAUUAAAUGGGUUAUCAACUAUUGAACAAUGAAGUAUGUGCUUGAAAAACCUGAUGCAUGGCAUGGUGCCAUGGUAUGGCCUCACCGUGCCCUAGAUUAAAAGCUGAGAAGGUUUGAUUUAUGUCCUCAUGCAUGCCCUUCAUAAAUCGAACCAUCACCAAGGAAUUUGAAUGUUUUUGAGAGGGAAAUCACCAAGAUUGAAGGGGAAUCCAAAUUUCCGUCCUCGUUUGUCAUUCAAUUUUUUUCCAACGAUCAACAUACCGCCUCAAAUGUAAUGUGUUCAAAUUUGACAUUUUUUCGAACUUGAUCAUUUACAUAUUUAGGGGAUUAUGUGCAUUUUCUAGGCAUUAAUUAUGCACAUAAUUCAAAUUCAAACAAUCGGUGCAUGAAAAGGUGCACAAGAACGGUCUGGAAAACCAUCCUCGUGGUAUUUAGUACAUUCUCGUGCCUUUUACAAGGAAUUGGCAGAUAUUUCAAGGAAAUGUGUGGCAAUAGUCAACCAUAAACAUGUCGUUUACUGGGUUAACAACUGUACAAAAAUGAAAUACAUGCAUGGAAAACAUGACGCCUGGUGUGAUGCCAUGGUAUGGCCUCACCGUGCCCUUGUAAAAAUGUCGCCAUGCACGCCUUUCAUAAAUCAAACCAUCACCGAGGAAGUUUCAUGGUUUCAAGGGGGAAAUCACCAAGAUUGAAGGGGGAUCCAAAUUUCCUUUGUCCUUUGUCCACAAGUUUUUUUCUAUGAUGAACAUACAACCUGCAAAUCACCAUGUUCAAAUUAGGCACUUUUCCGGGUUCAUUUGCCAUAUUUAGGGGAUUAUGUGCAUUUCCUAGGCAUUAAUGGACAUAAUUUAAGUUCAAACAAUCGGUGCAUGAAAGGGUUGUAACAUCCCAAAUUUUCAAUUUGGAAUGUUAUACAUUAGAUCAUCAUGCAUAUCAUAUUUUAUUUUGCAUUUUGGUUGAUCCUAGAAAUUCUACGCAACUCAAUGACCCACGGAGAGAGUUGGGGAUUUCGUUAUUUUCAUAUUAGAGUUUUCUCAAAUUUUGAGAAUAGGAUCAUUUGAUUUUAUUUAUUUUAUAAUCAAUUAUUUCUAUUACAAAAAUAUGAGAGAGGGAAUAAAAUGACUUUCCCAAAAUAAAGAAAUAUUGAGGAUUUGAUAAAAAAAAUCAAAUAAGAUUUUAUGUCGGAGUUUUUCGGUGUUUUAUUUGAAUUUAGGAAAAAUGUGCAUUUUCCAAAAUUGCAUUUAGGGCCCAAAUAAAUGUUCACCUUGUGCGGCUUGAUUUUAGAAGCCCGUAAAAAUUUAUUUCAGAAUUUUUGGAGUCCGUUUAGUAUUUCUUUUCAUUUUUCUUCCGAGCGGAAUAAUUAAAAAAAACGAACCGACUUCGGGCCGUACCCGAGCGGGACACCGCCCGGGGGCAGCCUUUAAAUAGCGCCGCCCCGAGCCGCCCUAGCCCAUCAGCCCCGCCUCGAUCCGCGCGCGCCGCCGGAGCCGCCGUUGCCGACGAUCCCGCCGCCCGAUGUUCGUCGCACCUUGUUUUUCGUGCCGAAAAAAAGAGAAAAAAAAUUCGGCGUUCGUCGUUUUUCUUUUUCUCGGAUUAAAUCCGCGAUUUUUCUGAUCGCAAUUCCUGAUCCAAUUUUAAUUUUAGUUUAACUUUUCUCUUGUUUAUCGGAAUUAGGCGAUUCAAGCGCCUAGAGUUUCGUCUCGAAACCCUCUAUCCGUUUAACCAACUUAAACAAGGUUUUGCUACUGUAAAAUUUGCCCUAGAUCCAGAUUAGUAGAACGAAGCUGUUUUCUUUCACCAUUUGACUUUUGUUGCUUCGUUCGAUUUGAUUCUUUUUGCAAACCGGAGUUCUUAAGUUGAACCUUCUGGUUAGAUCUCUUAUUUGAGUUUUACCUGUGCAUUAGAUGAGUACUUAUUGUAUGCUUGUUUGUUUUUCUGCGAUAGAAUACCCGGAGUGCGCCGCCUGUUACUUCGAAUCGUUAGGUUUCGGGGAUCAUCAGCAAGGCAAGUAACACUUUGAUCAUACCUUUUCUACUACCCAGUUUUAUUGCAUUAGAUCAAUCCUCACACAUUGCAUGAUUAGGAUCUAAUUAAAUUGUGGGAUGGGAAGUAGAUGAGGUAGUACCUAUUACCUGUUUAUUAUCAAACCUUUGGGAGUUACUUCUACAUUUGCUUAUUAUGCCAUGCUAUGCUAGUAGACGUGGAUUGGGUGAGUGAAAUCCAUGACAGAUGUGAGAUUGUUAAUUAAUGGUUUAUCUAAGGUGGCAACUUAAACACACAUCUAGGUGGAUUGAGGCACCUGGGUAUUCCAGGACUUGCCUGUUUUCUUUUGGACCGCCACCAAGGCUCAAAGGGAUCAUGAGACUAUUCAUACUAGAAACUUCCGUGUGCAGCCACAAGCUAUUAUGGGCUCUAGCAUAGUUGACUAAGUUGUGCGAACUCUUACAGUGGUAGACUAGUAGAUGUAGGUGGUACGGUCUACCCGAUCGUAAGGUGCUAGCGCUUCUGAAAGACUAUGUCUCGGUCAUCCGUCUUCUCAAACACCCUGUAGUGCGAGAAACCAAACGGAGGCGAUCGAGUCUUGUGGGGAAAAGUGCGCAGACCUCUACAGAGUGUAAUAAACUAAUCAUGGUUAGCCGUGUCCCCGGUUAUGGACAUCUCGAGUAUCUAGUACUUGGAUUAUCAUGUGAAUCUCAACAUGUUACUCUAAAUUAAUAUUGUUGGGUUUUAAUGUUGAUGCUUAAUUGGGAUUGAGAAUGCUGUCAACCAUUCUCAAUGUUUAACAACUACCAUGAUAGUAAUUAAAUUUUAUUCCUUUGAAGUAGGGAAAAUUGGCUUUACGCAAAAUUGUAACCAUAGAGCUUUCCACCAGCCAAAUAUGCAUAUAGUAUAGUUGUUUCAUUCCAUUACUCUCUAUGUGUUACCUUGCCAGCAUAUUCCAUGUGCUGACCCGUUUCGGGCUGCAACGUUAAUGUUGCAGACUUUUCAAAUGACGAUUGAGGAGUUUUUAGGUCGUGGUUCUAUACUCAGUGAUGCCGUUGGAGUUGAUGGACUCACUUAUCUUCCAAGCCUUCCGCUGUUAUAGUUAUUAGAUGGCCUUAAGCCAUAUUUGUUGUAAUGAGUUCUCUUAUGAGACACUCGAUGUAAUAAGUGUGUGAUUGCUACUCUGCUAUAAAUCCUCCGAGUACUGUGUGGUGUUAGCAUUACUGAUCCAGGGUGAUGAGGACAUCAAUACCAUUGUUACACCCACAACCCCUACUGUUACAUAUACUGGACCAAUUACUAGAGCUCGCGCACGCCAAUUAAAUUACCAGGUACUUUCGUUUCUUGGUAAUGAUUCUAAUGUUCAUGAGAUUAUGAUGCUGCCUAAAUUGGAUACAUUUGUUUUGCUUACAAAUGAAGGGCCUAGCUUGGAGAAGGAUGAACAUUGGAGCAAGAACACGCAUGGAGUUGAUGGCAUGCACAAGGGGAUCAAGAACGGAGUUACAAGUGAUGAUUUCAGGACUUUGAAGCCGCCAUAAGGAGUGCAUGAAGCCUUGGACGAAAUAUACAAGAUGCCACUUCAUAAUAUUCGUCCAUAGGCUAUUCUAGGUGCUGCGUCACCUUAUUAAUGGGCGAGGCCCAUGUAAUAAAUACUUAAGUAUAGGCUAUUUUUAGAGUCCGUAUGUGUGGGGAAACAAGAGUUAGGGUUGGUUUCGGACCCCACCCUCAAGGGCCACAAAAUUCCCCCUCUUCCUCCAUAUAUACAGCCCUUAGGGCGUCGUUUAGACUUUGGGUUUUGUUUAGAUUAAAAGUUCGCCAUAGCUGCAACUUCGCGUACUUCGUUUGUGUCCAACGACCAGACCAAGAUGUCAUAGAACCCCACCUUGAUCAAUAAAGCUUUCAUCUUAUAUUCGCAAUAUCCCGAUUGCAAUCUCAGUUUCUUGCUUGUUCUUUGUUUGCUCGCAGGAAAUAGACCCUCGUGGUCAGGUUGAUCGUGCUCCGGCGUGGUCAAUAACCCUCGGAAGUUGGUUUAGCGAUUGCUAAGGCGCGACGUCUCGCACGUUCGUAGUCGGAUCGUCAAGGUCGACUCCCACAGAAAACGAUAGCCACCAUCUCAUCGAAAGAUCGGGACCCUCGCCUCUAUCAAGUGGUAUCAGAUUUCCACGUUGCUUGGUGAGAUUUUUACAGUUUUUCGUAGAUUAGAUCGAGUCUGUUCUUCAUACCUACAGUCCACGAAAAAGCCACAAAAAAAUUUAGGGUUAGUUCAUCAUAUCCGAACCAAUCUGAGCCUUUGCAUAAUCUUUUUAGGGUUUUUGCUUUGUUGAAUUUGCGGUUGCAUCGUCGUGUCAAGUUGCUGGUCUUAGAGUCUAGUCUUUUAGAGUUUCGAGUUCUGGUCAUAAGUUGUCACGCCACCGCCGCACCAUCAUCAUCGCCUUGCCAUCUACCACCAUUGCUUAUCCGCCACCGCUCUGAAUCCAUAUCCAUAUACCACCACCAAUCCGUAUCCAUAUACCACCACCAAUCUGUAUCCAUAUACCACCACCGCUACCAUAUACCACCACCGCUGCCAUAUACCACAACCAUAUAUCCACCACCAAUCCGAGUUCUUCUCAUAUUAGGUUUGUUCUUGAGAUCAAUCUAAAUUCCGAUUCGUGUUUCCUUGCCUGCGUAGGUCUUGAGACCACCGGGCAGUUUUUAGGCCAAAAUUUUCACGGGCAAAUUUUUUUUCCCUAUCCUAUUUUUAGGCUUUUCUGAGUCUUUUGAGCCACGUGCCAUCAUAGUGAUUUUUUUGUCGCACUUUUUCGUCGUCACUGCCCUGAUUUCUGAAAAAAAAAUUCAUGCCCAUCCUAUCAGUUUGACGAGGGAAGAGUUUUGAGACACUCGCCAUUAUAGUGAUUUUUCGCAAAAAAAAAGAGGAGCGCAAAAAAAAGAGCGAAAAAAAGAGAGUUCCAGAGUGUGCUUUCCCCUUAUUUACGUGCAGCGCCGUGAUUUUGUUAGUGUUCUAGGCUCGCGUCUCUAGCACGGUCUAGCCUAGGACCAGCACAGUACCGUCGUUGAACGUUUAUUCAACUUUGCAUCUCUGAAUUGAUUAUUGCUGACCGUUUUUGCUACCAUACUAUAAGCCUUCCCAGAUCCACAUACAUCUACGUCGUGCGUUUGACUCUCCCUGGCAAUCGCUCUAUCCAAGCUUUUGAGAGUUUUUGACUACAACGGUUGCCGAUCACCGCCUGCUGCUGGGUAAGAACUGGUAAGAAUUUGAGAUUUGCUUGACGGAUUUGUGACACCCGCCACCACCACCACUUGUUAGUAGUCUGUAGGAUCAUAUUCUUGUGUGUUUCUAUUGCUGCUAACCAUGCCAGGAUCACAAGCCGACGAGACUGACUGGGAGAACUUGACGAACAAGGAGCUUCAUGAUACGUUUCAGCAAAUGAUGAAUGGACAGGUGCAAGAUGUGAUAAACAGAUUUGAAGAGGCCAUGGAGAAGAUAGAUGGCAUGGAGAAGACAUUUGAAACAAAGCUCGAUAACAAGUUUGCUGAAUUGCUUUCGCGUUUUCCACCACCACCACCGGCUGCUCCUGCUGCACCUCUGCAACAACAGCAACAACACCGACUACCUCCACGUCGGGGAACAACCCUCCGCCGAGCGAGCCGUGUCCCUCUUCAGUCGGGCCAAACUGCUGGUGCUGCUGUUGAUACUUCUGUGGCUCCUACUGCUGAUGUGGAGGAGGAUGCUUAUGUGGGAGAUUAUGAGGAUGAGGUUGAUCAAAAUCAGAACUACGUGCCACCAACAGCACAGCAACCACCAGGUCGUCCACAUGCAAAUAACGGCAAUGGUAGGGCUCACCCUCAGGUACGAGAUCAUGACCAUCUCCCUAAACUAAAAUUGAAUAUUCCACCAUUUGAGGGUAGAUAUGUUCCUGAUAUGUAUCUUACUUGGGAGUUAGAAACUGAACAACGAUUUACAUGUUUACAAUAUCCCGAGGAGAGACGUGUUCCUGCUGCUGUUUGUGCUUUCACUAGUUUUGCAUGUGUUUGGUGGUCUGAGCAUUGUAGAUUAUAUCCUAUUCCGGCUACUUGGGCUGCUUUGAAAACUGCUAUGCGUACUCGUUGGGUUCCACCAUAUUAUCAACGUGAAUUACUUCAAAAAUUGCAGCGCUUAAGACAGGGAAAAAAAUUUGUAGAAGAAUAUUAUCAGGAAUUACAAACUGGCAUGAUUAGAUGUGGUAUUGUUGAGGAGAAUGAAGCUAUGCUUGCACGUUUUAUGGGUGGAUUAAAUAGAGAGAUUCAAACAAUUCUAGAGUAUAAGGAGUAUACUAAUAUCACUCGUUUAUUCCAUCUUGCUUGUAAAGCUGAACGUGAAGUGCAGGAUCGACAUGCAUUGGCGCGGACUAACUUUUCUGCAGGUCGACCUUCAUCAUGGACACCACGUGCAUCAUCUACUUCCACGCAUUCUGCUACACCGGCGCCUCCGUCGGCUGCCACCUCCAACCGUGAUACAAUAAAGCAGGCACAAUCACCACUAUCUGCCAAGAGCACACCUUCUGGGCCUGCAAAGGGCUCUUCUUCAUCCAUGGCAUCAACAGGGCAAACACAUGAUAUUAUUUGUCGAUGUUGCAAGGGUGGAGGUCAUUAUGCGAGAGAAUGCCCAUCUAAGCGUGUGAUGAUUGUUGCUGAGGAUGGUGGGUAUGAGUCCGCUAGUGACUAUGAUGAGGAGACAUUGGCUCUUAUUACACGUGAAGAACAUGGUGGAGAUGAUUCUGAUCAUGAGACGCAAUACAUGGCUCCUGAAGAUGCUGACAGGUAUGAAUGUUUAGUUGCUCAACGUGUUUUGAGUGUGCAGGUCACACAAGCUGAGCAAAAUCAGAGGCACAAUUUGUUCCAUACCAAGGGAGUUGUGAAGGAACGUUCUGUGCGCGUCAUAAUAGACGGAGGGAGCUGCAACAACUUGGCUAGCAUGGAGAUGGUGGAGAAGCUUUCUCUCACCACAAGACCACAUCCACAUCCUUACUACAUCCAAUGGUUCAACAACAGCGGCAAGGUUAAGGUAACACGUACUGUUCGUGUGCAUUUUAGUAUAUCUACAUAUGCUGAUUAUGUUGAUUGUGAUGUGGUACCUAUGCAAGCAUGUUCCUUAUUACUUGGUAGACCAUGGCAAUUUGAUAAAAAUUCUGUGCACCAUGGUAGAAACAAUCAGUAUACUCUUGUUCAUAAAGAUAAAAAUAUUACUUUGCUUCCUGUGACUCCUGAUUCCAUUUUGAAAGAUGAUAUUAAUAGAGCUAAUAAAGCAAAACAGGAGACAAAUAAGAGUGAAAAUCAGAUUGUGGCAAAAGAAUUUGAGCACCAAAUGAAGCCUAAUAAUAAACCAUCUACUGUUGUUUCUGAAAUUAAAUUGAAAAGUGCAUGUUUACUUGCCACCAAAUCUGAUAUUGAUGAGCUAGAUUUCAGCAAAUCUGUUUGCUAUGCUUUUGUGUGCAAAGAGGCAUUAUUUUCAUUCGAGGACGUGCCUUCCUCUUUGCCCCCUGUUGUCACUAACAUUUUGCAGGAGUUCGCUGACGUCUUUCCACAAGACGUGCCACCGGGAUUACCACCUAUUCGAGGGAUUGAGCAUCAAAUUGACUUAAUUCCCAGUGCUUCGCUACCCAACCGUGCACCAUACCGUACCAAUCCAGAGGAGACGAAGGAGAUUAUGCGUCAAGUACAAGAACUGCUCGACAAAGGUUAUAUACGCGAAUCCCUUAGUCCUUGUGCUGUUCAUAUCAUUUUAGUGCCGAAAAAGGAUGGUACGUCGCGUAUGUGCAUUGAUAGUAGAGGCAUUAAUAAUAUUACUAUUCGUUAUCGUCAUCCUAUUCCUAGGCUAGAUGAUAUGCUUGAUGAAUUGAGUGGCUCUACAAUAUUCUCCAAAGUUGAUUUGCGUAGUGGAUACCAUCAAAUUCGUAUGAAAUUGGGUGAUGAAUGGAAAACAGCAUUUAAAACUAAGUUUGGAUUAUAUGAGUGGUUAGUCAUGCCUUUUGGGUAAACUAAUGCACCUAGUACUUUCAUGAGGUUAAUGAACGAAGUUUUACGUGCUUUCAUUGGACGAUUUGUGGUAGUUUACUUUGAUGACAUAUUGAUUUAUAGCAAAUCUUUGGAGGAACAUUUGGAACAUUUACGUGCUGUUUUUAUUGCUCUACGUGAUGCACGUUUGUUUGGAAACCUUGGGAAGUGCACCUUUUGCACCGACCGAGUAUCUUUUCUUGGCUAUGUUGUUACUCCACAGGGAAUUGAAGUUGAUAAAGCCAAGAUUGAAGCUAUUGAGAGUUGGCCGCAGCCCAAAACGGUCACACAAGUGAGGAGUUUCCUUGGCCUCGCUGGUUUCUAUAGGCGUUUUGUGAGAGAUUUCAGCACCAUUGCUGCACCUCUCAACGAGCUUACAAAGAAGGAUGUGCCUUUUGUUUGGGGUACCGCACAGGAAGAAGCCUUCACGGUAUUGAAAGAUAAGUUGACACAUGCUCCUUUACUCCAACUUCCUAAUUUCAAUAAGACUUUUGAGCUUGAAUGUGAUGCUAGUGGAAUUGGAUUAGGAGGUGUGUUAUUACAAGAUGGAAAACCCGUUGCAUACUUUCCUGAAAAAUUGAGUGGGCCUAGUCUGAACUAUUCUACUUAUGAUAAAGAAUUAUAUGCUCUUGUUCGGACCUUAGAAACAUGGCAACAUUAUUUAUGGCCCAAGGAAUUUGUUAUACAUUCUGAUCAUGAAUCUUUGAAACACAUUAAAAGUCAAGCAAAACUGAACCGUAGACAUGCUAAAUGGGUUGAAUUCAUUGAGACUUUCCCUUAUGUCAUUAAACACAAGAAGGGUAAAGAAAAUGUUAUUGCUGAUGCCUUGUCUCGUCGUUAUACUAUGCUUUCACAACUUGACUUUAAAAUAUUUGGUUUGGAGACCAUCAAAGAUCAAUAUGUUCAUGAUGCUGAAUUUAAAGAUGUAUUGCAGAAUUGUAAGGAAGGGAGAACUUGGAACAAGUUCGUUCUGAACGAUGGAUUUGUGUUUCGUGCUAACAAGCUAUGCAUUCCAGCUAGCUCCAUUCGUCUUUUGUUGUUGCAGGAGGCGCAUGGAGGAGGCUUAAUGGGACACUUUGGCGUCAAGAAGACGGAGGAUAUACUUGCUACACAUUUCUUUUGGCCGAAGAUGAGACGGGAUGUUGAGCGUUUUGUUGCUCGCUGCACUACAUGUCAAAGAGCUAAGUCACGACUCAAUCCUGAUGGUUUAUAUAAGCCUUUGCCAGUACCUAAGAACUGGUAAGAAUUUGAGAUUUGCUUGACGGAUUUGUGACACCCGCCACCACCACCACUUGUUAGUAGUCUGUAGGAUCAUAUUCUUGUGUGUUUCUAUUGCUGCUAACCAUGCCAGGAUCACAAGCCGACGAGACUGACUGGGAGAACUUGACGAACAAGGAGCUUCAUGAUACGUUUCAACAAUGAUGAAUGGACAGGUGCAAGAUGUGAUAAACAGAUUUGAAGAGGCCAUGGAGAAGAUAGAUGGCAUGGAGAAGACAUUUGAAACAAAGCUCGAUAACAAGUUUGCUGAAUUGCUUUCGCGUUUUCCACCACCACCGGCUGCUCCUGCCGCACCUCUGCAACAACAGCAACAACACCGACUACCUCCACGUCAGGAAACAGCCCUCCGCCGAGCGAGCCGUGUCCCUCUUCAGUCGGGCCAAACUGCAGGUGCUGCUGUUGAUACUUCUGUGGCUCCUACUGCUGAUGUGGAGGAGGAUGCUUAUGUGGGAGAUUAUGAGGAUGAGGUUGAUCAAAAUCAGAACUACGUGCCACCUCCAACCGUGAUACAAUAAAGCAGGCACAAUCACCACUAUCUGCCAAGAGCACACCUUCUGGGCCUGCAAAGAGCUCUUCUUCAUCCAUGGCAUCAACAGGGCAAACAGAUGAUAUUAUUUGUCGACGUUGCAAGGGUGGAGGUCAUUAUGCGAGAGAAUGCCCAUCUAAGCGUGUGAUCAUUGUUACUGAGGAUGGUGGGUAUGAGUCCGCUAGUGACUAUGAUGAGGAGACUUUGGCUCUUAUUACACGUGACGAACACGGUGGAUACGAUUCUGAGAUGAUGAGGACAUCAAUACCAUUGUUACACCCACAGCCCCUACUGUUACAUAUACUGGACCAAUUACUAGAGCUCGCGCACGCCAAUUAAAUUACCAGGUACUUUCGUUUCUUGGUAAUGAUUCUAAUGUUCAUGAGAUUAUGAUGCUGCCUAAAUUGGAUACAUUUGUUUUGCUUACAAAUGAAGGGCCUAGCUUGGAGAAGGAUGAACAUUGGAGCAAGAACACGCAUGGAGUUGAUGGCAUGCACAAGGGGAUCAAGAACGGAGUUACAAGUGAUGAUUUCAGGACUUUGAAGCCGCCAUAAGGAGUGCAUGAAGCCUUGGACGAAAUAUACAAGAUGCCACUUCAUAAUAUUCGUCCAUAGGCUAUUCUAGGUGCUGCGUCACCUUAUUAAUGGGCCAGGCCCAUGUAAUUUCGAAAUACUUAAGUAUAAGCUAUUUUUAGAGUCCGUAUGUGUGGGGAAACAAGAGUUAGGGUUGGUUUCGGACCCCACCCUCAAGGGCCACGAAAUUCCCCCUCUUCCUCCAUAUAUACAGCCCUUAGGGCGUCGUUUAGACUUUGGGUUUUGUUUAGAUUAAAAGUUCGCCAUAGCUGCAACUUUGCGUACUUCGUUUGUGUCCAACGACCAGACCAAGACGUCACAGAACCCCACCUUGAUCAGUAAAGCUUUCAUCUUAUAUUCGCAAUAUCCCGAUUGCAAUCUCAGUUUCUUGCUUGUUCUUUGUUUGCUCGCAGGAAAUAGACCCUCGUGGUCAGGUUGAUCGUGCUCCGACGUGGUCAAUAACCCUCGGAAGUUGGUUUAGCGAUUGCUAAGGCGCGACGUCUUGCACGUUCGUAGUCGGAUCGUCAAGGUCGACUCCCACAGAAAACGAUAGCCACCAGCUCAUCGAAAGAUCGGGACCCUCGCCUCUAUCAAGUGGUAUCAGAUUUCCAGGUUGCUCGGUGAGAUUUUUACAGUUUUUCGUAGAUUAGAUCGAGUCUGUUCUUCAUACCUACAGUCCACGAAAAAGCCACAAAAAAAAUUAGGGUUAGUUCAUCAUAUCCGAACCAAUCUGAGCCUUUGCAUAAUCUUUUUAGGGUUUUUGCUUUGUUGGAUUUGCGGUUGCAUCGUGAUGAGGACAUGACUACCUUGGAUAUGACCAAAAAUAUUGCAUAUAUGCAUAUUUGUCAGGUGAUUUCUAGUGCAAACUAUUCAAUAAUCUAUUUAUGUUAUCCAGAACAAAAAUACUUCACACACUUUUGUGUUUUGUCUAAUUGCAGGUGUAUGGGACAUUUGUACAAUCCACAUAUGAAGAUAAGGAAGAAAGAUAUGUUUAUUUGCUGUCCAAAAAGUUCUCUCACGUCACUUUUGGCCCAAGAGAAGAUAGAGUCCAAGUCUCUCACGUUCUGGAUUCAGAUUCGGACUGCACAGACAUACCUGACUCAAAACGCACACAAGUUUUUCAUACGGACUCCGAAUUGGGUGAUUCUUUUUUUGUUGGAAACUAGAUUUCGUGCACUUUCCAACCCAAUUGGAAUCACCUUCAAAUUCGUUCGGAGCGUUGAGUUGUGGACGAAACAAUCUGAUGCUGCAGCAGAAUCCGAGUCAAACUACAAGUCCAAAGGUGUUACAUCACCUCCACUUGGGCCCAUUGGCCUUGUACGACCUAGAUUUAGUUUUAGGCUGCCUUGGGACGUCCUCCCACCUCCUUGGCCGCCACCCCUUGCUCCUAUAUAAGUAGAUCCAUCUAGUAGCUUUUCCUUGGGAUUUGUUUAGUUAAAAGUUAGCCAUUGCAACUUCGUGUGCUUCGUUUGUGUCCAACGACCAGACCAAGACCACUUUUCGGAUCCCCACCAUUAUCAAUACCUCAUAUAUAUUUGCAAUAUUCAGAUUGCUUUAUCAUAUUCUUGCUCGUUCUUCGAUUGCUUGCAGGAAUAGACCUUCGUGGUCAGGCUGACCGUGCUUCCGGCAUCGUCAGUAACCCCAGGAGAUUGGUUUAGCGAUUGCUAAGGCGCAACGUCGUGCACGUUUGUAGUCGGAUCGUCAAAGUCGUGUCCACCAAAUCGAUAGUUAUCAUCUCAUCGAAAGAUCGGGACACCCUCGCCUCUAUCAAGUGGUAUCAGUUUUCAGGUUGCUCGGUGAGAAUUUCCAGUUUUCCUAGAUUAGAUUUAUUUUCUUACCUAUUGUCCAAGAAAAAGCCACAAAAAAGAGUUAGAUCUAUUCAUCCUUGGUCCAAGCCAGUCUGAGCCUUUGCAAUUUUCUUUUCAUUGCUUGCAUAGUUGAAUUAUCGGUUGCAUCGUCGUGUCGAGUUGCUGGUCUUAGUGUCUAGUUCGUUUAGAGUUUCGAGUUCUGUUCACAUUAGUCACGCCACCGCUGCAUCAUUAUCUCUUCCGCUGUCCACCACCCAUCCAUCAAUUUCCACCACGUGCUACCCACCAUUCAUUGUCAUAAUAAUAGUUGAGAUCGUUCACAUCUUCACUUGAUCCAAUCUGCAUCUUAUCUAGUUUGUUUUGGAAAGAGGGAGAAAAAAAAAGAGAGAAAAAAAAGGAAAAAAAAGUUCGAGAAAAAAAAAGGAGAGAAAGAAAAAAAAGUGUGAGGAAAAAAAAGAGAGAAGAAAAAAAACAAAAAAAUCGGCACAAACUUUUUCAGAGGAAAGUUGGAGACAAAGUUGUUGAUAUAUCCUGCUUGGCUGUUGUUUCACCUCAUUAUCUUCACUGCUGUUGUGAUCUUCACUUAUAUCUUGCUGUCAAGAGCUACUUAGUAUCCUUCAUUGAUGCUAGUUGUGCUACGCCGUGACCUCAUUAGUGUUCUAGGCUCGCGUCUCUAGUUCGGUCUAGCCUAGGACCAGCACAGUACCGUCGUUGAGCGUUUAUUCAACAUUGCAUCUUUGAAUUGAUUAUUGCUAAUCUUUUGCUACCAUAUAUAGCCAACCCAGCUCCACAUAUUUCUACACCGUGUAUACGUACGCUCCCCUGGCAAUCACUUUACUCAAUAUUCGGAGUUACUUGACACCGCUGGUUGCCGAUCACCGCCUGCUGCAUGGUAAGAACUUGUAAGACAUUGAUAUUUGCUUUACUGUGAGCGUUUUACCACCACAUCCUAGUAGUUAUAGGAACAUUAUUUUUGGGUUUUGUUUCUUGUUCUACUAAUCAUGACAGGAUCCAGAGUCAAUUCAUGGGCUUUGUCGAUCGCGGGAGACGUGCCACCACCUUUGCAAAUACCACAACCAUCACGAGGGGUGCACAAACAUCCAAAUGCACAUGAUCAGGUUAAUGUAUCUAUACCACCAUUUAAUGGCCGUUUUAAACCUGCUUUAUAUAUUGAAUGGGAGUUCGACAUAAAAAAUAUAUUUGCUUCCCAUAAUUUCGAUGAACAUAAAAAGGUUAAGGUUGCGGUUGGUUCUUUCACUGGUUAUGCUUUGGUUUGGUGGAGUGAAUAUUGUCGGUUACACCCUGAUUAUAUACCUACUACUUGGGAUGAUUUGAAACUUGCCAUGCGACAUACUUUCGUCCCUGCUUAUUAUACUCGUGACAUGAUUAAGAAGUUGCAACACUUAAAACAAGGUAGUGAAACUGUAACAAAAUAUUAUGAUGAUUUACAAACUACCUUGUUGCAUUCCUCUUUAGACGAAAGUGAAGAUGAUUUUAUGGAUAGAUUUUGGGGAGGAUUAAACCGUGAUAUUCAAGAGAUACUAAUUCAUGAAGAGUGUUAUCCUAUGGACCAUUUGUUUCAUCUUGCUUGCAAAGCUGAACAGGAAAUAAAACGACGUGUUGGCCACGAGGAGAACAAGCGCACGGUGCACAUUCCAAGAGUUGAUAUGAUUGUUCCUUCAACUACUAGGCAUACUAUGACAACCACAUCCGUUGUUGUCAGGACUACAUCACCUCCACCAUGUGACACAUCGGCCCCGAGAGUGGCUACAUCAUCUGAGUUGAUCAUAAGAGGUAAUGACACAGGUACUGAUCUUCCAUCUCUACAUGAGAAUGAUGAAUGCCUUGUCAAUUUGAAUGCACCAUCUGAUGAGCUACCCACUACUUUGAUCACACCACCUAUUUUAGAGGACUACAUUGAUAAUUUGACUUUGCCAUAUGAUCAAACAACUGAAAUACCAACAAUUUUAAGGGCACCCAUUGAAUUAACUAUUGAUGCAAAAGAACCAAUGUUUAAUCAUUUUGAUAUGACCUCUAAUCUUGGUGAUGACUCUGUGUUGAAUGACUUAUUGCAUGUUUGCUUAUUUAAGCAUGUUGUAGCAUGUAAAUUUGAUGCAAGUAAGGUUUAUUCACCAAUGUUGGGAUGGUUUAAUGAUGAACAUUGUCAAUCUUUUGAAAUGAAUAAGAGCUUCACUUAUAUGUGCAAACUGAGUUGCAAUAUUUUCAUGCCUUCUACUUCUUGUGCUAAUUUUUUGGCUUUAGAUUUUAUGAACUAUGCAAGUUACUCAUCUAUUCAUGUGUCAUAUAUGCAAAAAUCAAGGGAAGUAAAAAUGGAUGACAUAUACAUAUACAACAUGUACACCUUGUCUCUUUUGUUAGCCACAUUUCAGAUUAAGCAACGCCGAGGACGGCUUUAUUUUCAAGAAGGGGAGGAUGAUGAGGACAUGACUACCUUGGAUAUGACCAAAAAUAUUGCAUAUAUGUAUAUUUGUCAGGUGAUUUCUAGUGCAAACUAUUCAAUAAUCUAUUUAUGUUAUCCAGAACAAAAAUACUUCACACACUUCUGUGUUUUGUCUAAUUGCAGGUGUAUGGGACAUUUGUACAAUCCACAUAUGAAGAUAAGGAAGAAAGAGAUGUUUAUUUGCUGUCCAAAAAGUUCUUUCACGUCACUUUUGGCCCAAGAGAAGAUAGAGUCCAAGUCUCUCACGUUCUGGAUUCAGAUUCGGACUGCACAGACAUACCUGACUCAAAACGCACACAAGUUUUUCAUACGGACUCCGAAUUGGGUGAUUCUUUUUUUGUUGGAAACUAGAUUUCGUGCACUUUCCAACCCAAUUGGAAUCACCUUCAAAUUCGUCCGGAGCGUUGAGUUGUGGACGAAACAAUCUGAUGCUGCAGCAGAAUCCGAGUCAAACUACAAGUCCAAAGGUGUUACAUCACCUCCACUUGGGCCCAUUGGCCUUGUACGACCUAGAUUUAGUUUUAGGCUGCCUUGGGACGUCCUCCCACCUCCUUGGCCGGCACCCCUUGCUCCUAUAUAAGUAGAUCCAUCUAGUAGCUUUUCCUUGGGAUUUGUUUAGUUAAAAGUUAGCCAUUGCAACUUCGUGUACUUCGUUUGUGUCCAACGACCAGACCAAGACCGCUUCCGGAUCCCCACCUUUAUCAAUACUUCAUAUAUACUCGCAAUAUUCAGAUUGCUUUUAUCAUAUUCUUGCUUGUUCUUCGAUUGCUUGCAGGAAUAGACCUUCGUGGUCAGGUUGAUUGUGCUCCAGCGUGGUCAAUAACCUUUCGGAGUUGGUUUAGCGAUUGCUAAGGCGCAACGUCGUGCACGUUUGUAGUCGGAUCAUCAAAGUCAUCUUCACCAAAUCGAUAGUUAUCAUCUCAUCGAAAGAUCGGGACACCCUCGCCUCUAUCAAGUGGUAUCAGUUUUCAGGUUGCUCGGUGAGAAUUUCCAGUUUUCCUAGAUUAGAUUUAUUUUCUUACCUAUUGUCCAAGAAAAAGCCACAAAAAAAGAGUUAGAUCUAUUCAUCCUUGGUCCAAGCCAGUCUGAGCCUUUGCAAUUUUCUUUUCAUUGCUUGCAUAGUUGAAUUAUCGGUUGCAUCGUCGUGUCGAGUUGCUGGUCUUAGUGUCUAGUUCCUUUAGAGUUUCGAGUUCUGUUCACAUUAGUCACGCAGCCGCUGCAUCAUUAUCCCAUCCGCUGUCCACCAUCCAAUCCACCAAUUUCCACCACGUGCUACGCACUGUUUAUUGUCAUAAUCAUAGUUGAGGUCACUCACAUCUUCGCCUGAUCGAAUCUGCAUCUUAUCUAGUUUGUCUUGGAAAGAGGGAGAAAAAGAAGAUAAAGAAAAAAAAAGAGAAAAAAGGAAAGAAAAAAAAAAGAAAAAGAGGGAGAAGAAAAAGGAAAAAAAAAGCGUGAGAAAAAAAAGAGAGAAGAAAAAAAAAUUGGAUCUAUCUAGAAUCAAUCUCGUACCUGAAUUCGGAUUGGAAUCUGUUUUGUGCACUGUUCAGUAAAACAACUUGGCUAUUGUUUCACAUCAUUAUCUUUACUGCCGUUGUGAUCUUCACUUAUAUCUUGCUGUCCAGAGCUACUUUGUAUCCUUCAUUGAUGCUGGUUGUGCUACGACGUGACCUCAUUAGUGUUCUAGGCUUGCGUCUCUAGUUCGGUCUAGCCUAGGACCAGCACAGUACCGUCGUUGAGCGUUUAUUCAACAUUGUAUCUUUGAAUUGAUUAUUGCUAAUCUUUUGCUACCAUAUAUAGCCAACCCAGCUCCACAUAUUUCUACACCGUGUAUACGUACGCUCCCCUGGCAAUUGCUUUACUCAAUAUUCGGAGUUACUUGACACCGCUGGUUGCCGAUCACCGCCUGCUGCAUGGUAAGAACGUGUAAGACAUUGAUAUUUGCUUUACUGUGAGCGUUUUACCACCACAUCCUAGUAGUUAUAGGAACAUUAUUUUUGGGUUUUGUUUCUUGUUCUACUAAUCAUGACAGGAUCCAGAGUCAAUUCAUGGGCUUCGUCGAUCGCGGGAGACGUGCCACCACCUUUGCAAAUACCACAACCGUCACGAGAGGUGCACAAACAUCCAAAUGCACAUGAUCAGGUUAAUGUAUCUAUACCACCAUUUAAUGGCCGUUUUAAACCUGCUUUAUAUAUUGAAUGGGAGUUUGACAUAAAAAAUAUAUUUGCUUCCCAUAAUUUCGAUGAACAUAAAAAGGUUAAGGUUGCGGUUGGUUCUUUCACUGGUUAUGCUUUGGUUUGGUGGAGUGAAUAUUGUCGGUUACACCCUUAUUAUAUACCUACUACUUGGGAUGAUUUGAAACUUGCCAUGCGACAUACUUUCGUCCCUGCUUAUUAUACUCGUGACAUGAUUAAGAAGUUGCAACACUUAAAACAAGGUAGUGAAACUGUAACAAAAUAUUAUGAUGAUUUACAAACUACCUUGUUGCAUUCCUCUUUAGAAGAAAGUGAAGAUGAUUUUAUGGAUAGAUUUUGGGGAGGAUUAAACCGUGAUAUUCAAGAGAUACUAAUUCAUGAAGAGUGUUAUCCUAUGGACCAUUUGUUUCAUCUUGCUUGCAAAGCUGAACAGGAAAUAAAACGACGUGUUGGCCACGAGGAGAACAAGCGCACAGUGCACAUUCCAAGAGUUGAUAUGAUUGUUCCUUCAACUACUAGGCAUACUAUGACAACCACAUCCGUUGUUGUCAGGACUACAUCACCUCCACCAUGUGACACAUUGCCCCCGAGAGUGGCUACAUCAUCUGAGUUGAUCAUAAGAGGUAAUGACAAAGGUACUGAUCUUCCAUCUCUACAUGAGAAUGAUGAAUGCCUUGUCAAUUUGAAUGCACCAUCUGAUGAGCUACCCACUACUUUGAUCACACCACCUAUUUUAGAGGACUACGUUGAUAAUUUGACUUUGCCAUGUGAUCAAACAACUGAAAUACCAACAAUUUUGAGUGCACACAUUGAAUUAACUAUUGAUGCAAAAGAACCAAUGUUUAAUCAUUUUGAUAUGACCUCUAAUCUUGGUGAUGAUUCUGUGUUGAAUGACUUAUUGCAUGUUUGCUUAUUUAAGCAUGUUGUAGCAUGUAAAUUUGAUGCAAGUAAGGUUUAUUCACCAAUGUUGGGAUGGUUUAAUGAUGAACAUUGUCAAUCUUUUGAAAUGAAUAAGAGCUUCACUUAUAUGUGCAAACUGAGUUGCAAUAUUUUCAUGCCUUCUACUUCUUGUGCUAAUUUUUUGGCUUUAGAUUUUAUGAACUAUGCAAGUUACUCAUCUAUUCGUGUGUCAUAUAUGCAAAAAUCAAGGGAAGUAAAAAUGGAUGACAUAUACAUAUACAACAUGUACACCUUGUCUCUUUUGUUAGCCACAUUUCAGAUUAAGCAACGCCGAGGACGGCUUUAUUUUCAAGAAGGGGAGGAUGAUGAGGACAUGACUACCUUGGAUAUGACCAAAAAUAUUGCAUAUAUGCAUAUUUGUCAGGUGAUUUCUAGUGCAAACUAUUCAAUAAUCUAUUUAUGUUAUCCAGAACAAAAAUACUUCACACACUUUUGUGUUUUGUCUAAUUGCAGGUGUAUGGGACAUUUGUACAAUCCACAUAUGAAGAUAAGGAAGAAAAAGAUGUUUAUUUGCUGUCCAAAAAGUUCUCUCACGUCACUUUUGGCCCAAGAGAAGAUAGAGUCCAAGUCUCUCACGUUCUGGAUUCAGAUUCGGACUGCACAGACAUACCUGACUCAAAACACACACAAGUUUUUCAUACGGACUCCGAAUUGGGUGAUUCUUUUUUUGUUGGAAACUAGAUUUCGUGCACUUUCCAACCCAAUUGGAGUCACCUUCAAAUUCGUCCGGAGCGUCGAGUUGUGGACGAAACAAUCUGAUGCUGCAGCAGAAUCCGAGUCAAACUACAAGUCCAAAGGUGUUACAUCACCUCCACUUGGGCCCAUUGGCCUUGUACGACCUAGAUUUAGUUUUAGGCUGCCUUGGGACGUCCUCCCACCUCCUUGGCCGCCACCCCUUACUUCUAUAUAAGUAGAUCCAUCUAGUAGCUUUUUCCUUGGGAUUUGUUUAGUUAAAAGUUAGCCAUUGCAACUUCGUGUACUUCGUUUGUGUCCAACGACCAGACCAAGACCGCUUCCGGAUCCCCACCAUUAUCAAUACUUCAUAUAUAUUUGCAAUAUUCAGAUUGCUUUAUCAUAUUCUUGCUCGUUCUUCGAUUGCUUGCAGGAAUAGACCUUCGUGGUUAGGCUGACCGUGCUUCCAGCAUCGUCAGUAACCUCAGGAGAUUGGUUUAGCGAUUGCUAAGGCGCAACGUCGUGCACGUUUGUAGUCGGAUCGUGAAAGUCGUCUCCACCAAAUCGAUAGUUCUCAUCUCAUCGAAAGAUCGGGACCCUCGUCUCUAUCAAGUGGUAUCAGUUUUCAGGUUGCUCGGUGAGAAUUUCCAGUUUUCCUAGAUUAGAUUUACUUUCUUACCUAUUGUCCAAGAAAAAGCCACAAAAAAGAGUUAGAUCUAUUCAUCCUUGGUCCAAGCCAGUCUGAGCCUUUGCAAUUUUCUUUUCAUUGAUUGCAUAGUUGAAUUAUCGAUUGCAUCGUCGUGUCGAGUUGCUGGUCUUAGUGUCUAGUUCGUUUAGAGUUUCGAGUUCUGUUCACAUUAGUCACGCCACCGCUGCAUCAUUAUCUCUUCCGCUGUCCACCACCCAUCCAUCAAUUUCCACCACGUGCUACCCACCAUUCAUUGUCAUAAUAAUAGUUGAGAUCGUUCACAUCUUCACUUGAUCCAAUCUGCAUCUUAUCUAGUUUGUUUUGGAAAGAGGGAGAAAAAAAAGAGAGAAAAAAAGAGAGAGAAAAAAGGAAAAAAAGUCAGAGAAAAAAAAAGGAGAGAAAGAAAAAAAAGUGUGAGGAAAAAAAAGAGAGAAGAAAAAAAAACAAAAAAAUUGGCACAAACUUUUUCAGAGGAAAGUUGGAGACAAAGUUGUUGAUAUAUCCUGCUUGGCUGUUGUUUCACCUCAUUAUCUUCACUGCUGUUGUGAUCUUCACUUAUAUCUUGCUGUCAAGAGCUACUUAGUAUCCUUCAUUGAUGCUAGUUGUGCUACGCCGUGACCUCAUUAGUGUUCUAGGCUCGCGUCUCUAGUCCGGUCUAGCCUAGGACCAGCACAGUACCGUUGUUGAGCGUUUAUUCAACAUUGCAUCUUUGAAUUGAUUAUUGCUAAUCUUUUGCUACCAUAUAUAGCCAACCCAGCUCCACAUAUUUCUACACCGUGUAUACGUACGCUCCCCUGGCAAUCGCUUUACUCAAUAUUCAGAGUUACUUGACACCGCUGGUUGCCGAUCACCGCCUGCUGCAUGGUAAGAACUUGUAAGACAUUGAUAUUUGCUUUACUGUGAGCGUUUUACCACCACAUCCUAGUAGUUAUAGGAACAUUAUUUUUGGGUUUUAUUUCUUGUUCUACUAAUCAUGACAGGAUCCAGAGUCAAUUCAUGGGCUUUGUCGAUCGCGGGAGACGUGCCACCACCUUUGCAAAUACCACAACCGUCACGAGAGGUGCACAAACAUCCAAAUGCACAUGAUCAGGUUAAUGUAUCUAUACCACCAUUUAAUGGCCGUUUUAAACCUGCUUUAUAUAUUGAAUGGGAGUUCGACAUAAAAAAUAUAUUUGCUUUCCAUAAUUUCGAUGAACAUAAAAAGGUUAAGGUUGCGGUUGGUUCUUUCACUGGUUAUGCUUUGGUUUGGUGGAGUGAAUAUUGUCGGUUACACCCUGAUUAUAUACCUACUACUUGGGAUGAUUUGAAACUUGCCAUGCGACAUACUUUCGUCCCUGCUUAUUAUACUCGUGACAUGAUUAAGAAGUUGCAACACUUAAAACAAGGUAGUGAAACUGUAACAAAAUAUUAUGAUGAUUUACAAACUACCUUGUUGCAUUCCUCUUUAGACGAAAGUGAAGAUGAUUUUAUGGAUAGAUUUUGGGGAGGAUUAAACCGUGAUAUUCAAGAGAUACUAAUUCAUGAAGAGUGUUAUCCUAUGGACCAUUUGUUUCAUCUUGCUUGCAAAGCUGAACAGGAAAUAAAACGACGUGUUGGCCACGAGGAGAACAAGCGCACGGUGCACAUUCCAAGAGUUGAUAUGAUUGUUCCUUCAACUACUAGGCAUACUAUGACAACCACAUCCGUUGUUGUCAGGACUACAUCACCUCCACCAUGUGACACAUCGGCCCCGAGAGUGGCUACAUCAUCUGAGUUGAUCAUAAGAGGUAAUGACACAGGUACUGAUCUUCCAUCUCUACAUGAGAAUGAUGAAUGCCUUGUCAAUUUGAAUGCACCAUCUGAUGAGCUACCCACUACUUUGAUCACACCACCUAUUUUAGAGGACUACAUUGAUAAUUUGACUUUGCCAUAUGAUCAAACAACUGAAAUACCAACAAUUUUAAGGGCACCCAUUGAAUUAACUAUUGAUGCAAAAGAACCAAUGUUUAAUCAUUUUGAUAUGACCUCUAAUCUUGGUGAUGACUCUGUGUUGAAUGACUUAUUGCAUGUUUGCUUAUUUAAGCAUGUUGUAGCAUGUAAAUUUGAUGCAAGUAAGGUUUAUUCACCAAUGUUGGGAUGGUUUAAUGAUGAACAUUGUCAAUCUUUUGAAAUGAAUAAGAGCUUCACUUAUAUGUGCAAACUGAGUUGCAAUAUUUUCAUGCCUUCUACUUCUUGUGCUAAUUUUUUGGCUUUAGAUUUUAUGAACUAUGCAAGUUACUCAUCUAUUCAUGUGUCAUAUAUGCAAAAAUCAAGGGAAGUAAAAAUGGAUGACAUAUACAUAUACAACAUGUACACCUUGUCUCUUUUGUUAGCCACAUUUCAGAUUAAGCAACGCCGAGGACGGCUUUAUUUUCAAGAAGGGGAGGAUGAUGAGGACAUGACUACCUUGGAUAUGACCAAAAAUAUUGCAUAUAUGUAUAUUUGUCAGGUGAUUUCUAGUGCAAACUAUUCAAUAAUCUAUUUAUGUUAUCCAGAACAAAAAUACUUCACACACUUCUGUGUUUUGUCUAAUUGCAGGUGUAUGGGACAUUUGUACAAUCCACAUAUGAAGAUAAGGAAGAAAGAGAUGUUUAUUUGCUGUCCAAAAAGUUCUUUCACGUCACUUUUGGCCCAAGAGAAGAUAGAGUCCAAGUCUCUCACGUUCUGGAUUCAGAUUCGGACUGCACAGACAUACCUGACUCAAAACGCACACAAGUUUUUCAUACGGACUCCGAAUUGGGUGAUUCUUUUUUUGUUGGAAACUAGAUUUCGUGCACUUUCCAACCCAAUUGGAAUCACCUUCAAAUUCGUCCGGAGCGUUGAGUUGUGGACGAAACAAUCUGAUGCUGCAGCAGAAUCCGAGUCAAACUACAAGUCCAAAGGUGUUACAUCACCUCCACUUGGGCCCAUUGGCCUUGUACGACCUAGAUUUAGUUUUAGGCUGCCUUGGGACGUCCUCCCACCUCCUUGGCCGGCACCCCUUGCUCCUAUAUAAGUAGAUCCAUCUAGUAGCUUUUCCUUGGGAUUUGUUUAGUUAAAAGUUAGCCAUUGCAACUUCGUGUACUUCGUUUGUGUCCAACGACCAGACCAAGACCGCUUCCGGAUCCCCACCUUUAUCAAUACUUCAUAUAUACUCGCAAUAUUCAGAUUGCUUUUAUCAUAUUCUUGCUUGUUCUUCGAUUGCUUGCAGGAAUAGACCUUCGUGGUCAGGUUGAUUGUGCUCCAGCGUGGUCAAUAACCUUUCGGAGUUGGUUUAGCGAUUGCUAAGGCGCAACGUCGUGCACGUUUGUAGUCGGAUCAUCAAAGUCAUCUUCACCAAAUCGAUAGUUAUCAUCUCAUCGAAAGAUCGGGACACCCCCGCCUCUAUCACAUCGUCGUGUCAAGUUGCUGGUCUUAGAGUCGAGUCUUUUAGAGUUUCGAGUUCUGGUCAUAAGUUGUCACGCCGCUGCCGCACCAUCAUCAUCGCCUUGCCAUCUACCACCAUUGCUUCUCCGCCACCGCUCUGAAUCCGUAUCCAUAUACCACAACCAAUCUGUAUCCAUAUACCACCACCAAUCUGUAUCCAUAUACCACCACCGCUACCAUAUACCACCACCGCUGCCAUAUACCACAACCAUAUAUCCACCACCAAUCCGAGUUCUUCUCAUAUUAGGUUUGUUCUUGAGAUCAAUCUAAAUUCCGAUUCGUGUUUCCUUGCCUGCGUAGGUCUUGAGACCCCCGGGCAGUUUUUAGGCCAAAAUUUUCACGGGCAAUUUUUUUUCCCUAUCCUAUUUUUAGGCUUUUCUGAGUCUUUUGAGCCACAUGCCAUCAUAGUGAUUUUUUGUCGCACUUUUUCGUCGUCGCUGCCCUGAUUUCCGAAAAAAAAAGUGAAAAAAAAAUUUCGUGCCCAUCCUAUCAGUUUGACGAGGGAAGAGUUUUGAGACACUCGCCAUUAUAGUGAUUUUUCUCAAAAAAAAAAGAGGAGCGCAAAAAAAAGGAGCGCAAAAAAAGAGCGAAAAAAAAGAGAGUUCCAGAGUGUGCUUUUCCCUUAUUUACGUCCAGCGCCGUGAUUUUGUUAGUGUUCUAGGCUCGCAUCUCUAGCACGGUCUAGCCUAGGACCAGCACAGUACCGUCGUUGAACGUUUAUUCAACUUUGCAUCUCUGUAUUGAUUAUUGCUGACCCUUUUUGCUACCAUACUAUAAGCCUUCCCAGCUCCACAUACAUCUACGUCGUGCGUUUGACUCUCCCUGGCAAUCGCUCUAUCCAAGCUUUUGAGAGUUUUUGACUACAACGGUUGCCGAUCACCGCCUGCUGCUGGGUAAGAACUGGUAAGAAUUUGAGAUUUGCUUGACGGAUUUGUGACACCCGCCACCACCACCACUUGUUAGUAGUCUAUAGGAUCAUAUUCUUGUGUGUUUCUAUUGCUGCUAACCAUGCCAAGAUCACAAGCCGACGAGACUGACUGGGAGAACUUGACGAACAAGGAGCUUCAUGAUACGUUUCAGCAAAUGAUGAAUGGACAGGUGCAAGAUGUGAUAAACAAAUUUGAAGAGGCCAUGGAGAAGAUAGAUGGCAUGGAGAAGACGUUUGAAACAAAGCUCGAUAACAAGUUCGCUGAAUUGCUUUCGCGUUUUCCACCACCACCACCGGCUGCUCCUGCCGCACCUCUGCAACAACAGCAACAACACCGACUACCUCCACGUCGGGAAACAGCCCUCCGCCGAGCGAGCCGUGUCCCUCUUCAGUCGGGCCAAACUGCUAGUGCUGCUGUUGAUACUUCUGUGGCUCCUACUGCUGAUGUGGAGGAGGAUGCUUAUGUGGGAGAUUAUGAGGAUGAGGUUGAUCAAAAUCAGAACUACGUGCCACCAACAGCACAGCAACCACCAGGUCGUCCACAUGCAAAUAAUGCCUUUUACAAGGAAUGGGCAGAUAUUUCGAUGAAAUGUGUGGCAAUAGUCAUCCACAAAUGUUUGUUUGUUUGGUUUUCAACUAUAGAAAAAAAUGAAAUAAAUGCUUGAAAAACAUGACGCCUGGCAUGGUGCCAUGGUAUGACCUCACCAUGUCCUGGUAAAAAUUUGAGAAGGUUUGGCUUAUGUCGUCAUUCACGCCCUUCAUAAAUUGAAACAUCACCGAGGAAGUUCCAUGCUUUCGAGAGGGAAAUCCCCAAGAUUGAAGCGGAAUCCAAAUUUCCGUCCUAGUUUGUCAUUCAAUUUUUUUCCAAUGAUCAACGUACCACCUCAAUUGCAACGUGUUCAAAUUUGACAUUUUCCGGGCUCAUUUACCAUAUUUAUGGGAUUAUGUGCAUUUUCUAGGCAUUAAUUGAUAUAAUUCAAAUUUAAACAAUCGGUGCAUGAUAAGGUGCACAAGAACGGUCUGGAAAACCAUGCUCGUGUUAUUUAGUACAUGCUCAUGCAUUUUACAAGGAAUGGGCAGAUAUUUCAAGGAAAUGUGUGGCAAUAGUCAACCAUAAACGCGUUGUUUACUGGGAUAACAACUAUAAAAAAUGAAACACAUGGUUGGAAAACAUGACACCUGGCGUGGUGCCAUGGUAUGGCCUCACCAUGCCCUGGUAAAAGUUGGAGAAUGUUUUCCUUAUGUCAUGAUGCAUGCCUUUCAUAAAUCGAACCAUCACUGAGGAAGUUUCAUGGUUUCGAGGGAGAAAUCACCAAGAUUGAAGGGGGGGUCCAAAUUUCCUUUGUCCUUUGUCCAUGAGUUUUUUCUAUGAUAAACAUACAACCUCCAAAUCAUUGUGUUCAAAUUUGGCACUUUUCCGGGUUCAUUGGCCAUAUUUAGGGGAUUAUGUGCAUUUCCUAGGCAUUAAUGCACAUAAUUCAAGUUCAAACAAUCGGUGCAUGAAAGGGUGCACAAGAACGGCCUGGAAAACCAUGCUCGUACCAAUUAGUAAAUUCUCAUGCCUUUUACAAGGAAGGGACAAAUAUUUUGAUGAAAUAUGUGGCAAUAGUUAACCACAAAAAUUUGUUUACUGGGUUUUCAACUAUAGAAAAAAUGAAAUAAAUGCUUGAAAAACAUGACGCCUGGCAUGGUGUGCCAUGGUAUGACCUCACCAUGCCCUGGUUAACAUUUGAGAAGGUUUGGCUUAUGUCGUCAUGCAUGCCAUUCAUAAAUCAAUCCAUCACGAAAGAAGUUCCAUGCUUUCGAGAGGGAAAUCACCAAGAUUGAAGGGGAAUCGAAAUUUUCUUUGUUCUUUGCCCUGGAGUUUUUUUCUACGACGAACCCUUGCAAAUAACCGUGUUCAAAUUUGGCAUUUUCCCGGGAUCAUUUACCAUAUUUAGGGGAUUAUGUGCAUUUUCUAGGCAUUUAGCGCAUAUAAAUCCAAUCUAGCUACAUGUGCACGGGUGUGAUGUGAAGGACAUGGAUUGCUGUUCGAUCACGGCACAUCCUACGGUGCACACGCGCGAUCUGCGUGGCUGGGGUUCCGGCCUAGAGUAGCACAACACACAACAGGCUCAGCGCACACUGUUUCCGGAAGCGACGGAGAUGAACCCUGUGCGAUAAUGAACGAGCAAAAUUGUAAGGGAAGCCAACUUUCUGUUGUCGUUUGUCGUUGAGCUCUUGAAUACCACCGCACUAUAUGGUUUCCCGGCCCCUCCGUCCCAGAGCUCUCUCCAAGCGUCGACCAUGGCACCGCGGCGCACAGUAACUUGUAAAGAAGCGAUGGCAUCACGCCGCACCGCAUUCCUCGCCGCCCGCAACCGCGCACAUGGUAAGGAAGCGAUGGCAUCUCGCUGCCCGAGUUCAUCGCCGCCGGUGGCCAGACAGUUACAUGGGCGGACUUUGAAGCUGUCAUGGCCGAAUGGGUGGUGGAUGUAGAGGUGGCCAAAGCCGCAUAGAAGGAGCGGAAAAGUUAGAAAGCAGUCAAGAAAAGAGAGUCCCACCGUCGCUAGAAAAAAGAGGCUGCAUGCCGUGGUGAGGAGAGCCUGGCGGAGAUCGAAGCACGGUGUGCUGCCGCCUACAAGGCCGGGAAGGAGAACACUGACGUCUAGCCAGCAUGCCCGAUGGCAGCAUGUGAGAAGUAGUUUAAGUUGUAGUAUUGGAGCAAAUUACCAUUAGUACUUUAAGUUUGUAGUAUUAACAUACACGGUAAGAGCAUCCUUUAAGGGCUUUGAGCGUUGAUUAGCAUGUGUGCCCAUGUGCGUUUUUUUGCGUUAAUCAUUAGAAGAUCAUAAAACACACAGUUUCUAUGUCGUACCCGUUUGCGUUUUUUGCGUUAAUGAUCCAUAAGUCAGUUAGCGGUGCGAUAUUUCCUAAUAAACCAAGCGUACCAUUGAAAAAAAAUCAACUACACGUGUACAUUUUUUUGGAGACGGGAUCUGCCAAGUUUCAUUUUUCUCGCACACGAGUAUUUUACGCACAUCGUUUGCGUUGUGUGUUUCCCCCGUCCAAUUUUCAAGUUUCGCAGCGAAAUUUUCAUUAGGCCUUGUCGGCGUCCUGGGAACGGGGGUCCGCAGACUUGCCUGCCUGCGGCCCACGGUGUGGCUUCACCAACGGCCCUGUACGGCCCGUCUUCAUCAGCGAAUGCUCAAGACCCUCGCCAGGGGCCAAGCCUCGCGAGGCGGACGACGCAAGACCUCCUCGGGGGCUGCCUCACCUGGCUGGCUCGCGAAGGGGGGGAGAUCAAGGCGAGGGGCCUCUCGCGAGGUUCCUGUGACGCAAGCCAUGAUGAACAAGGCCAGGCGGGCACUAGGCAGGUGCCAGCGCGCGCAGUGUACUCGUUUCCUCUUUGGUGCUAAGGAGGCAGGCGCAGGAGAGGAGUCCCGAGGCAUCAGGCAAAGGUUUCCAUAUCGGUGCAACAAGACCAAGACUAGUAGGAUGGCAGGACGGAGGUCACCGUGGAGCCCAGGACGGCGUUACCACCAGAGCCUUUGGCAGGCAAGACCACCUUUAGUCAUGAUAACUUGUACUGGUUGUCUCCCUUCAAAUUUGGCCGUUGUUGCAUCCCUUCCCACCUACAUUUGGGAAGAGGACCAGGGCCUCUAUAAAUAGGACUUGCCACCACCGAAGAGUGGGGGAUGAUCUUGGAUUGGGUCCAUUCCACCAAGGCCACCAUACAAGCUCACCGAGCUCAAGAACACCUCUCCUCGGGAGGCUAUUCAUCCCCUGUACUAGCUCAUCCUUAGCCCAAGAGGCAAUCGACCACACCACACUAGAGUAGUGUAUUACACCACAUCGGUGGCCCAAACCAGUAUAAACCAUGUGUCCUUUGUUCUGCGAGUUCGAAGAACUUAGCUUUGAGAUUGUGGUGAGAGCGUGAGCUAGGGGGAGGAGAGAUCUUCGUGCGCACCCCAGAGUUCGAAACUCAAGGGUUUUGCCGGAACCCGAAAUCCGACAUUUGGCGCGCCAGGUAGGGUUGUGCCGAAGCUUUCUUUCCCUCAAUCCACGCUCCGCCACUUUCGCGCCAUGUCCCCAUGGCCAGUGUUGCUUCCUCGGUUGGGAUGACGGACGCCCACGACAGCGCCAGGGGGCUCAGGGCCUUUGUCCCCACCUUGCGACAGGUACAAUGGCCGCCCAAGUUCAUGCCGGAGAUGUCGCCGCGCUAUGACGGCACAUCGGACCCGUCAGCCUUCCUGCUGGCAUAUGAAGAGGCCGUCCUGGAGGCUGGGUGGCGUCGACAAGGUCAUGGCCAACUAGCUUCCCCUGGCCCUCGCUGGUGUGCGGUGCGCCUGGUUGCUCGCCCUCCCAGGAUCCUCAGUGGCAUCUUGGGAUGAGCUGUGCGGCCUCUUCGUCGCGCGCUUCACGGCACCGACGCCCCUCACCGUCGCGGCCCUCCUCGGCGGCUCACAAGCACCGCCCUCGGACCGUCACACCAAGUCGUUAUUUCGCCAGGUUGGCGCUGCUUCCGUGCGGCAAGGAGCUCCCUUGGGUUGGGCGGCGCCCAAGGCCGACCUCACCUUUGACUCGAUGGAUCACCCCGUCACCACCAUCGGCUCGGGCGUGCUCCCAAUGCUUUACACGCCCACCAUCUGCAGCGUAGCUGUCACCAAGACCCUCAUCAACGACAGCGCUGGUCUCAACGUGCUCUAUGUGGAGGCUUUUAGCCAUCUUCAUGUACCACUCGAACGGCUCCGCCCCAGUAAGCACUUCUCCGGGGUUGGUGACACCCCCCAGCCCCUUGGGGCAGAUCUGCCUUGCUGUGACCUUCGGCACUCGCGACAACUACCGCACCAAGCUGAUCGACUUCAACAUCGCCCGCAUCAGCCUCCCAUACAACACCAUCCUUGGAUACCCGGCCCCGGCUUAGUUUAUGGCGGCGACCCAUCCCGCCUACAACCUCAUGAAGAUGCCCGGGAGCAAGGACGUCCUCACCGUAGUUGGAGACACCAAGGAGGCUCUAGCGGCGCUCAAGUGUGCUAUCAAAACCGCCGCGGCAGCGCGACCGGCCAAGGAGGCCACCCUAGGGGUUAAGGGGGCCGUGCCAGCAAAGAAGAAGCAAUUGUUCACUCAAGAUCGGGCUGAAACCAAGCAGGUGCCAGUCGAGGAAGAUGGGUCCUCAGGAGCCACCUUCACCAUAGGCGCCAACCUCGACCCAGAUUAAGAGGAGGCAUUGGUGAGGUUCCUGCGUGCAAACAAGAAUGUAUUCGCUUGGGAACCCAAGCAGCUUGUAGGGGUCCCCAGAGGGGUGAUCGAGCAUCACUUGAGGGUGUGCCCCAAUGCGCACCCAGUGAAGCAGAAGGCGCGGCGACAGUCCAUAGAGAAGUAGUCCUUCAUCAUCCAAGAAACCCACAAGCUGGAGGCAGCAUGUGUCAUUUGCGAGGUUCGGUACCCUAAGUGGCUGGCGAACCCCAUCGUCGUACCGAACAAAGGCGGGAAGGAGCGCAUGUGUGUCGACUUAACCAACCUCAACAAGGCCUAUCUCCAAGACCCGUUUCAGCUCCCGCGCAUCGACCAGAUUGUUGACUCCACCACCGAGUGCGACCUGCUGUGCUUCCUCGAUGCGUUUUUAGGCUAUCACCAGAUCAAGAUCGUGGUGGAGGAUGUGGAGAAGAUGGCCUUCCUGACCCCUUGUGGAGUGUACUGCUACACUUGCAUCCCAUUUGGACUGCACAAUGCAGGCGCGACCUUUCAGCGGCUGAUGCAGAUCGCCCUGGAUCAGCAGCUCGGGAGGAACGCUUAGGCCUACGUCGACGACAUUGUGGUAGAAUCUCUGGAGGCAAGAACUUUGAUUCAAGAUCUGGAGGAGACCUUCGCAAUCUUGCGUGAGGUAGACCUGCGGCUUAACCCAGAGACCUGCGGCUCAACCUUCACAAGCUGCUGGGCUUCCUCGUGUCCCACAGGGGGAUCGAGGCUAACCCGAAGAAGGUCAAGGCGAUAGAAGACAUGAGCCCACCACAAACUCUCAGGGAGAUGCAGAAGCUUGUGGGCUGCAUGACCUCACUGGGGCGCUUCAUCUCCAAGCUAGGAGAGCGGGCCCUGCCAUUCUUCAAGCUGAUGAAGAAGAAGUGCCCAUUCGAGUGGACCCGGAGGCUGACGAAGCAUUUCAAGACCUCAAGAGAUACCUGACCAGCCCUGCGGUGAUGGUGGCGCCUCGCCCUCUCGAGCCCCUGGUGCUUUACCUUGUCGCCACUCCCUACUCCGCUAGCGCAAAUCUAGUGGAGGUUCGGGAAGAGCGCUAGGACAAGGGUCUGCCGUGCCAUGCCGUGCCCCCAGCUGGGGCGAUACAGGACCCAGAGGGCACCGGAAAGGCUGCGGCAAUGCCAACGAGUGAAUAGGCCCAACAAGGCGGCGUUCGUGGGCCAGCAGAGGCCCUAGUGGGCGACCAGGUUCUUGGGGCCCCGUCACCUCAGGAGACGCCCCAACUUCCGGCAGGCGCAAGCUCCGUCGAUGCACCCACCCUCAUCAAGCACCUUGUGUACUUCGUCGGCACGGUAUUGCAGGAUGCGAGGGCACGGUACCCCAUGCCUCAGAAGCUCUUGCUGCGCUCUUGGUGCCCUCAUGUAAACUACGGCACUACUUCCAAGGUCACCCAAUCAAGGUCGUCUCGGCCUACCCGCUGGAGAGGGUACUCAAGAUCCCCAACGAUGUUGGAAGAGUCACCGAAUGGAACAUCGAGCUACAAGCAUUCCAGCUGGAGUUCAGCACAACUAGGGUCAUCAAGGGAGCCGCACUCGCCGACUUCGUGGCAGAAUGGACUGAUGCCCCGGGGUUUGAAGCAGGCAAGGACCUAUCUGUUUCACCAGGAAGUGAAGCACUAGAUGGCUGGGUCAUGUAUUUCGAUGGCGCAUUCACACGCCAGGGCGCGGGAGCUGGAGUAGUGCUCAUCUCGCCCGCUCAGGACAAGCUCUACUACGUCGUGCAGCUCUGCUUCCAACAAGGCAAGAAGGUCUCCAACAACAUCACGGAGUACGAAGGCCUCGUAGCUGGCCUUAAGGCCGUGGUGGCCCUGGGGUGAAGUGCCUCACCAUUAGGGGCGACUCACAACUCCUCGUCAACUUCUUCAACAAGGUAUACGAGCCGAGGGACGAGCACAUGGAGGCAUACCUCAUGGAGGUAUGCAAAAUGGAAAAGCAUUUCCUGGGCCUAGAGUUGCAGCACGUGACCCGUGGCACCAACAAGGAGGCCGGCGACAUUGCUAAAAGGGCGUCCAAGCAACAACCCCAAGAGCCUGGCGCCUUUGAGGAACGACUCUUCAAGCCGUCGGCAGCACCUCUGCUUUCGGGGCCGGCGCCGCCUUGGGAGGGGUGCUGGACUGAUAGAGGCGAGGGUCCCGAUCUUUCGAUGAGAUGAUAACUAUCGAUUUGGUGGAGACGACUUUGACAAUCCGACUACAAACGUGCACGACGUUGCGCCUUAGCAAUCGCUAAACCAAUCUCCUGAGGUUACUGACGAUGCCGGAAGCACGGUCAGCCUGACCACGAAGGUCUAUUCCUGCAAGCAAUCGAAGAACGAGCAAGAAUAUGAUAAAGCAAUCUGAAUAUUGCAAAUAUAUAUGAGGUAUUGAUAAUGGUGGGGAUCCGUAAGCGGUCUUGGUCUGAUCGUUGGACACAAACGAAGUACACGAAGUUGCAAUGGCUAACUUUUAACUAAACAAAUCCCAAAGUCUAAACGAUGCCCUAAGGGCUGUAUAUAUGGAGGAAGAGGGGGGAAUUUCGUGGCCCUUGGGGGAGGGGUCCGAAAUCAACCCUAUCUCUUGUUUCCCCACACAUACGGACUCUAAAAAUAGCCUAUACUUAUGUAUUUCGAAAUUACAUGGGCCUGGCCCAAUAAUAAGGUGACGCAGCACCUAAAAUAGCCUCGGGACGAAAUUUAUGAAGUGGCAUCUUGUAUAUUUCGUCCAAGGCUUCAUGCACCCAUUAUGGUGGCUUCAAAGUCCUGAAAUCAUCACUUGUAACUCCGUUCUUGUUCCCCUUGCGCAUGCCAUCAUCUCCAUGCUUGUUCUUGCUACAAUGUUCAUCCUUCUCCAAGCUAGGCCCUUCAUUUGUAAGCAAAACAAAUGUAUCCAAUUUAGGCAGCAUCAUAUUCUCAUGAACAUUAGAAUCAUUACCAAGAAACGAAAGUACCUGGUAAUUUAGUUGGCGUGCACGAGCUCUAGUAAUUGGUCCAGUAUGUAUAGCAGCAGGGGCUGUGGGUGUAACAAUUGUAUUGAUGUCCUCAUCAUCCUCCCCUUCUUGAAAAAUGAAAUCGUCCUCGACGGAAGUUCAUCUUCCUCACCCAAAUAAGGCUUCAAAUCUGCAAUGUUAAAAGUGGGACUAACCCCAAAAUCUGCAGGCAGCUCAAGUUUAUAUGCAUUAUCAUUUAUUUUCUCUAACACCUUAAAGGGACCAUCAGCACGUGGCAUUAACUUUGAUUUGCGCAAAUCAGGAAAUCUAUCCUUACGCAAAUGUAACCAAACAAGAUCUCCAGGAGCAAACACAACAUGUUUUCUACCCUUAUCUCCAGCAAGUUUAUAUUUAGCAUUCAUACGCUCAAUGUUUUCCUUAGUUAACUCAUGCAUUUUUAAAAUCAAUUCAGCACGUUGUUUAGCAUCAAAAUUAACCUUCUCCGAAGAUGGAAGAGGCAACAAAUCAAUAGGUGCACGAGGUAGGAAACCAUACACAACUUCAAAAGGGCACAUCUUAGUAGUAGAAUGCAAUGAAUGAUUAUAAGCAAAUUCAAUAUGAGGCAAGCAUUCCUCCCACAUUUUCUUAUUACUCUUCAAAACAGCCCUAAGCAUAGUAGACAAUGUUCUAUUGACUACUUCAGUUUGGCCAUCAGUUUGGGGGUGACAAGUAGUACUAAAAAGCAGUUUAGUCCCCAACUUAGCCCAUAAACAUCUCCAAAAGUGGCUAAGAAAUUUAGUGUCACGAUCUGAAACAAUAGUAUUUGGCACACCAUGCAAGCGAAUAAUUUCACGAAAGAACAAAUCAGCAACAUGAACAGCAUCAUCGCUUUUAUGACAUGGUAUAAAGUGUGCCAUUUUCGAGAAUCUAUCCACAACAACAAAUAUGCUAUCCCUCCCCAUCUUUGUUCGAGGUAAACCUAAAACAAAGUCCAUAGAUAUAUCCUCCCAAGGAACACUAGGUACAGGCAAAGGCAUAUAUAAACCAUGAGGAUUGAGUCGUGACUUAGCUUUUUGACAUGUAGUGCAGCGAGCAAUAAAACGCUCAACAUCCCGUCUCAUCUUUGGCCAAAAGAAAUGUGUAGCAAGUACGUCCUCUGUCUUCUUCACGCCAAAGUGUCCCAUUAAUCCUCCUCCAUGCGCCUCCUGCAACAACAAAAGACGAACGGAGCUAGCUGGAAUGCAUAGCUUGUUAGCACGAAACACAAAUCCAUCGUUAACGACAAACUUGUUCCACAUUCUUCCUUCUUUGCAAUUCUGCAUUACAUCUUUAAAAUCAGCAUCAUGCACAUAUAGAUCUUUGAUGGUCUCCAAACCAAAUAUUUUGAAGUCAAGUUGUGAAAGCAUAGUAUAGCGACGAGACAAUGCAUCAGCAAUAACAUUUUCUUUUCCCUUCUUGUGUUUAAUGACAUAAGGGAAAGUCUCAAUGAAUUCAACCCAUUUAGCAUGUCUACGAUUCAGUUUAGCUUGACUUUUAAUAUGUUUCAAAGAUUCAUGAUCAGAAUGUAUAACAAAUUCUUUGGGCCAUAAAUAAUGUUGCCAUGUUUCUAAAGUCCGAACAAGAGCAUAUAAUUCUUUAUCAUAAGUAGAAUAAUUCAGACUAGGCCCACUCAAUUUUUCAGAAAAGUAUGCAACAGGUUUGCCAUCUUGUAAUAACACACCUCCUAAUCCAAUUCCACUAGCAUCACAUUCAAGCUCAAAAGUCUUAUUAAAAUCAGGAAGUUGGAGUAAAGGAGCAUGUGUCAACUUAUCUUUCAAUACCGUGAAGGCUUCUUCUUGUGCGGUACCCCAAAGAAAAGGCACAUCUUUCUUUGUAAGCUCAUUGAGAGGUGCAGCAAUGGUGCUGAAAUCUCUCACAAAACGCCUAUAGAAUCCAACGAGGCCAAGAAAACUCCUCACUUGUGUGACCGUUUUGGGUUGCGGCCAACUCUCAAUAGCUUCAAUCUUGGCUUUAUCAACUUCAAUUCCCUGUGGAGUAACAACAUAGCCAAGAAAAGAUACUCGGUCGGUGCAAAAGGUGCACUUCCCAAGGUUACCAAACAAACGUGCAUCACGUAGAGCAAUAAAAACAGCACGUAAAUGUUCCAAAUGUUCUUCCAAAGAUCUGCUAUAAAUCAAUAUGUCAUCAAAGUAAACUACCACAAAUCGUCCAAUGAAAGCACGUAAAACUUCGUUCAUUAAUCUCAUGAAAGUACUAGGUGCAUUAGUUAACCCAAAAGGCAUGACUAACCACUCAUAUAAUCCAAACUUAGUUUUUAAUGCUGUUUUCCAUUCAUCUCCCAAUUUCAUACGAAUUUGAUGGUAUCCACUACGUAAAUCAACUUUGGAGAAUAUUGUAGAGCCACUCAAUUCAUCAAGCAUAUCAUCUAGCCUAGGAAUAGGAUGACGAUAACGAAUAGUAAUAUUAUUAAUGCCUCUACAAUCAACACACAUACGUGAUGUACCAUCCUUUUUCGGCACUAGAAUAAUAGGAACAGCACAAGGACUAAGGGAUUCGUGUAUAUAACCUUUGUCGAGAAGCUCUUGUACUUGACGCAUAAUCUCCUUCGUCUCCUCUGGAUUGGUACGGUAUGGUGCACGGUUUGGCAGUGAAGCACCGGGAAUUAAGUCAAUCUGAUGCUCAAUCCCUCGAAUAGGCGGUAAUCCCGGUGGCACGUCUUGUGGAAAGACGUCAGCGAACUCCUGCAAAAUGUUAGUGACAGCAGGAGGCAAAGAGGAAGGCACGUCCUCGAAUGAAAAUAAUGCCUCUUUGCACACAAAAGCAUAGCAAAGAGAUUUGCUGAAAUCUAGCUCAUCAAUAUCAGAUUUGGUGGCAAAUAAACAUGCACUUUUCAAUUUAAUUUCAGAAGCAACACUAGAUGGUUUAUGAUUAGGCUUCAUUUGUUGCUCAAAUUCUUUUGCCACAAUCUGAUUUUCACUCUUAUUCGUCUCCUGUUUUGCUUUAUUAGCUCUAUUAAUAUCAUCUUUCAAAAUGGAAUCAGGAGUCAUAGGAAGCAAAGUAAUAUUUUUAUCCUUAUGAACAAGAGUAUAGUGAUUGUUUCUACCAUGGUGCACAGAAUUUUUAUCAAAUUGCCAUGGUCUACCAAGUAAUAAGGAACAUGCUUGCAUAGGUACCACAUCACAAUCAACAUAAUCAGCAUAUGUAGAUAUACUAAAAUGCACACGAACAGUACGUGUUACCUUAACCUUGCCGCUGUUGUUGAACCAUUGGAUGUAGUAAGGAUGUGGAUGUGGUCUUGUGGUGAGAGAAAGCUUCUCCACCAUCUCCAUGCUAGCCAAGUUGUUGCAGCUCCCUCCGUCUAUUAUGACGCGCACAGAACGUUCCUUCACAACUCCCUUGGUAUGGAACAAAUUGUGCCUCUGAUUUUGCUCAGCUUGUGUGACCUGCACACUCAAAACACGUUGAGCAACUAAACAUUCAUACCUGUCAGCAUCUUCAGGAGCCAUGUAUUGCGUCUCAUGAUCAGAAUCAUCUCCACCAUGUUCUUCACGUGUAAUAAGAGCCAAUGUCUCCUCAUCAUAGUCACUAGCGGACUCAUAUCCACCAUCCGCGGUAGCAAUCAUCACACGCGGAGAUUUGCAUUCCCUCGCAUAAUGACCUCCUCCCUUACAACGACGACAAAUAAUAUCACUUGUGUGCCCUGUUGAUGCCAUGGAAGAAGAAGAACGCUGUGCAGGCCCCGCAGGUGCGCUCUUGGCAGAUAAUGGUGGUUGUGCCUGUUUUUUUGUAUCACGGCUGGAGGUGGCACCGGAUGGAGGUGCUGGUGCAGUUGAAGUAGAAGAUGCACGUGGUGUCCAUGAUGAAGGUCGGCCUGCAGAAAAGUUAGUUCGCCCCAAUGCUUGUCGAUCCUGCACUUCACGUUCAGCUUUACAAGCAAGAUGGAAUAAACGAGUGAUAUUAUGAUAGAGGCAAAGGUGUCCCGUCUUUCGAUGAGAUGGUGGAUUUCGCUUUGGUGGAAGUCGACUUUGACGAUCCGACUACGAACGUGCGAGGACGUCGCGCCUUAGCAAUCGCUAAACCAACUCCGAGAGGUUAUUGACCACGCCGGAGCACGAUCAACCUGACCACGAGGGUCUGUUUCCUGCGAGCAAACGAAGAAGAAGCAAGAAACUAAGAUUGCAAUCUGGAUAUUGCGAAUAUAAGAUGAAAGCUUUAUUGAUCAAGGUGGGGUUCUGUGACGCCUUUGUCUGGUCGUUGAACACAAACGAAGUACGCGAAGUUGCAGCUAUGGCGAACUUUUAAUCUAAACAAAACCCAAAGUCUAAACGAUGCCCUAAGGGCUGUAUAUAUGGAGGAAGAGGGGGGGAAUUUCGUGGCCCUUGGUGGAGGGGUCCGAAAUCAACCCUUAUCUCUUGUUUCCCCACACAUACGGACUCUAAAAAUAGCCUAUACUUAUGUAUUUCGAAAUUACAUGGGCCUGGCCCAAUAAUAAGGUGACGCAGCACCUAAAAUAGCCUCGGGACGAAAUUUAUGAAGUGGCAUCUUGUAUAUUUCGUCCAAGGCUUCAUGCACCCAUUAUGGUGGCUUCAAAGUCCUGAAAUCAUCACUUGUAACUCCGUUCUUGUUCCCCUUGCGCAUGCCAUCAUCUCCAUGCUUGUUCUUGCUCCAAUGUUCAUCCUUCUCCAAGCUAGGCCCUUCAUUUGUAAGCAAAACAAAUGUAUCCAAUUUAGGCAGCAUCAUAUUCUCAUGAACAUUAGAAUCAUUACCAAGAAACGAAAGUACCUGGUAAUUUAGUUGGCGUGCACGAGCUCUAGUAAUUGGUCCAGUAUGUAUAGCAGCAGGGGCUGUGGGUGUAACAAUUGUAUUGAUGUCCUCAUCACACUAGAUGGUUUAUUAUUAGGUUUCAUUUGUUGCUCAAAUUCUUUUGCCACAAUCUUAUUUUCACUCUUAUUCGUCUCCUGUUUUGCUUUAUUAGCUCUAUUAAUAUCAUCUUUCAAAAUGGAAUCAGGAGUCAUAGGAAGCAAAGUAAUAUUUUUAUCCUUAUGAACAAGAGUAUAGUGAUUGUUUCUACCAUGGUGUACAGAAUUUUUAUCAAAUUGCCAUGGUCUACCAAGUAAUAAGGAACAUGCUUGCAUAGGUACCACAUCACAAUCAACAUAAUCAGCAUAUGUAGAGAUACUAAAAUGCACACGAACAGUACGUGUUACCUUAACCUUGCCGCUGUUGUUGAACCAUUGGAUGUAGUAAGGAUGUGGAUGUGGUCUUGUUGUGAGAGAAAGCUUCUCCACCAUCUCCAUGCUAGCCAAGUUGUUGCAGCUCCCUCCGUCUAUUAUGACGCGCACAGAACGUUCCUUCACAACUCCCUUGGUAUGGAACAAAUUGUGCCUCUGAUUUUGCUCAGCUUGUGUGACCUGCACACUCAAAACACGUUGAGCAACUAAACAUUCAUACCUGUCAGCGUCUUCAGGAGCCAUGUAUUGCGUCUCAUGAUCAGAAUCAUCUCCACCAUGUUCUUCACGUGUAAUAAGAGCCAAUGUCUCCUCAUCAUAGUCACUAGCGGACUCAUAUCCACCAUCCGCGGUAGCAAUCAUCACACGUGGAGAUUUGCAUUCCCUCGCAUAAUGACCUCCUCCCUUACAACGACGACAAAUAAUAUCACUUGUGUGCCCUGUUGAUGCCAUGGAAGAAGAAGAACGUUGUGCAGGCCCCGCAGGUGCGCUCUUGGCAGAUAAUGGUGGUUGUGCCUGUUUUCUUGUAUCACGGCUGGAGGUGGCACCGGAUGGAGGUGCUGGUGCAGUUGAAGUAGAAGAUGCACGUGGUGUCCAUGAUGAAGGUCGGCCUACAGAAAAGUUAGUUCGCCCCAAUGCUUGUCGAUCCUGCACUUCACGUUCAGCUUUACAAGCAAGAUGGAAUAAACGAGUGAUAUUAGUAUACUCCUUAUAGUCUAGAAUGGUCUGAAUCUCUCUAUUUAAUCCACCCAGAAAACGUGCAAGCAUAGCUUCAUUCUCCUCGACAAUACCACAUCUAAUCAUGCCAGUUUGUAAUUCCUGAUAAUAUUCUUCUACAGAAUUUUUCCCUUGUCUUAAACGCUGCAAUUUUUGAAGCAAUUCACGUUGAUAAUAUGGUGGAACCCAACGCGUACGCAUAGCAGUUUUCAAAGCAGCCCAAGUAGUUGGAAUAGGAUAUAAUCUACAAUGUUCAGACCACCAUACACAUGCAAAACUACUGAAAGCACAAACGGCAGCAGCAACUCGUCUCUCCUCAGGAUAUUGUAAACAUGUAAAUCGUUGUUCAGUUUCUAACUCCCAAGUAAGAUAUAUAUCAGGAACAUAUCUACCCUCAAAUGGUGGAAUAUUCAAUUUCAGUUUAGGAAUAUGGACAUCAUCUCGUACCUGAGGUGGUGGCGCAGGCCUACCAUUACGAAUAUAUACCUGAGGUCGACCUGCUGGUGGUGGUACAGGUGGCUGCAUGUAGUGUUGAUUUUGAUCAACCUCAUCCUCAUAAUCUCCCACAUAAUCAUCCUCCUCCGCAUCAGCAGCAGGAGCCACAGAAGUAUCAACAGCAGCACCAACAGUUUGGCCAAACGCAAGAGGAACACGGCUUGCUCGGCGGAGGUCUGCUUCGCGACGUGGAGGUAGUCGUUGUUGUUGUUGUUGGAGAGGUGCGUUAGGUGCAGCGGGUGGUGGUGGUGGAAGACGCGCGAGCAAUUCAUUAAACUUGUUAUCGAGCUUUGUUUCGAACGUCUUCUCAAGGCCAGUGAUCUUCUCCAUGGCCUCUUCAAAAUUGUUCAGCACAUCUUGCACCUGUUCAGUCAUCAUUUGCUGAAACUUAUCAUGAAGCUCCUUGUUCGAUAAAUUCUCCCAGUCAAUCUCGUCGGCUUGUGAUUCUGGCAUGGUUAGCAGCAAUAGAAACACACAAGAAUAUGAUCCCACAGACUACGAACAAGUGGUGGUAGUGGGUGUCACAAAUCCGUCAAGCAAAUCUCAAAUUCUUACCAGUUCUUACCCAGCAGCAGGCGGUGAUCGGCAACCGUUGUAGUCAAAAACUCUCAAAGCUUGGAUAGAGCGAUUACCAGGGAGAGUCAAACGCACGACGUAGAUGUAUGUGGAUCUGGGAAGGCUUAUAAUAUGGUAGCAAAAAAGGGUCAGCAAUAAUCAAUUCAGUGAUGCAAAGUUGAAUAAACGCUCAACGACGGUACUGUGCUGGUCCUAGGCUAGACUGUGCUAGAGACGCGAGCCUAGAACACUAACAAAAUCACGGCGAGGCACGUAAACAAGGGAAAAGCACACUCUGAAUUUUUUUUUUCGCUCUUUUUUUUGCGCUGUUUUUUUUUGCGAAAAAUCACUAUAAUGGCGAGUGUCUCAAAACUCUUCCUAGCUCAAACUGACAGGAUGGGCACAAAAUUUUUCGACCAAAUUUUUUUUUUUCGACUGCCCGGACCCAAAAACUGGAAACGGGUCAAAAAAAACUUCCUAUAAUGGCACCUGUCUCAAAACACUCAGAAACACCUAAAAAUAGGAUAGCCAGAAAAUUUUUCGAAAAAUGCGUUUUCGAAAAUUUUUGGGCCUAAACGGAGCGUGGCUACCCGACUCUUUUUUUUUCCGAAACCUACUCCGGCAAGGAAACACGAAUCGGAAUCUGGAUGGAUCCCGAAAACAAACCUAAUAAGCAAAGAACUCGGAUUGGUGGUGGAUAUAUGGUGGUGGUAUAUGGCAGCGGUGGUGGUAGCGGUGGUAGUAUAUGGAUAUGGAUCGGUGGUGGUAUAUGGGCACGGAUUGGUGGUGGUAUAUGGAUACGGAUUCGGAGCGGUGGUGGUAGAUGGCAAGGGCGAUGAUGAUGGUGCGGCGGCGGCGUGACAACUUAUGACCAGAACUCGAAACUCUAAAAGACUAGACGCUAAGACCAGCAACUAGAGCGACGAUGCAACCGCAAAUUCAACAAAGCAAAACCCUAAAAAGAUUAUGCAAAGGCUCAGAUUGGUUCGGAUAUGAUGAACUAACCCUAAUUUUUUUUGUGUGGCUUUUUCGUGGACUGUAGGUAUGAAGAACAGACUCGAUCUAAACUACGAAAAACUGUAAAAUCUCACCGAGCAACCUGGAAAUCUGAUACCACUUGAUAGAGGCGAGGGUCCCGAUCUUUCGAUGAGAUGAUAACUAUCGAUUUGGUGGAGACGACUUUGACAAUCCGACUACAAACGUGCACGACGUUGCGCCUUAGCAAUCGCUAAACCAAUCUCCUGAGGUUACUGACGAUGCCGGAAGCACGGUCAGCCUGACCACGAAGGUCUAUUCCUGCAAGCAAUCGAAGAACGAGCAAGAAUAUGAUAAAGCAAUCUGAAUAUUGCAAAUAUAUAUGAGGUAUUGAUAAUGGUGGGGAUCCGUAAGCGGUCUUGGUCUGAUCGUUGGACACAAACGAAGUACACGAAGUUGCAAUGGCUAACUUUUAACUAAACAAAUCCCAAAGUCUAAACGAUGCCCUAAGGGCUGUAUAUAUGGAGGAAGAGGGGGGAAUUUCGUGGCCCUUGGGGGAGGGGUCCGAAAUCAACCCUAUCUCUUGUUUCCCCACACAUACGGACUCUAAAAAUAGCCUAUACUUAUGUAUUUCGAAAUUACAUGGGCCUGGCCCAAUAAUAAGGUGACGCAGCACCUAAAAUAGCCUCGGGACGAAAUUUAUGAAGUGGCAUCUUGUAUAUUUCGUCCAAGGCUUCAUGCACCCAUUAUGGUGGCUUCAAAGUCCUGAAAUCAUCACUUGUAACUCCGUUCUUGUUCCCCUUGCGCAUGCCAUCAUCUCCAUGCUUGUUCUUGCUCCAAUGUUCAUCCUUCUCCAAGCUAGGCCCUUCAUUUGUAAGCAAAACAAAUGUAUCCAAUUUAGGCAGCAUCAUAUUCUCAUGAACAUUAGAAUCAUUACCAAGAAACGAAAGUACCUGGUAAUUUAGUUGGCGUGCACGAGCUCUAGUAAUUGGUCCAGUAUGUAUAGCAGCAGGGGCUGUGGGUGUAACAAUUGUAUUGAUGUCCUCAUCAUGGACCAAGGAGUUUAAGGAAUACCUGACGCAAGGGACGCUGCCAGAGAAAGAGGAGGACGCGGAGCGCGUGGCGCGACAAGCUAUGGCAUACUGCAUCCAGGACGGUGAGUUAUACAGGAAGCGGCCAAAUGAUGUUUCCUUGCGAUGCAUCUCCAGGGAGUAGGGGAACGAGUUGCUAGAUGACAUACACGGUGGAGACUGCGGGUUCUACUGGCCUACGGCGCUCAACAAUGCGCCCGAGCUUGUGAAGUCCUGCGAGCCUGCCAAUUCCAUGCCAAGAAGAUCCAUCAGCCAGCUCAGGGCCUCCAGACCAUACCACUCUCGUGGUCGUUCGCAGUUUGGGGGCUGGAUAUCUUAGGCCCGUUCCCUCGAGCGCCCGGGGGCUACCACUACGUCUACGUCGCCAUCGACAAGUUCACCAAAUGGGUGGAGGUAGAAGUUGUCUGCACCAUCCCGGCAGGAUCUACGGUCAAGUUCAUCAAGGGCCCCGUGAGCCGGUUUGGGGUCCCUAAUCGCAUCAUCACCGACAACGGCUAGCAGUUCACGAGCAAUCUCUUCAAGACAUAUUGUGCUAACCUUGGAACACAGAUCUGCUACGCUUCGGUGGCACACGCUAGGAGCAACGACCAAGCCGAAUGCGCCAACGUGGAGGUCCUGAGAGGCCUCAAGACCAGGACCAUAAAGAAGAAGCUCAAGGCCUACGGCAAGGGCUGGAACGAUGAGCUCCAGUCUGUGUUGUGGUCCAUCCAUACCACCUCCACAAAGCCAACAGGCGAGACCCCGUUCUUCCUCGUCUACGGAGCAGAAGCGGUUCUCCCUCACGAGGUCAAGCAUCGCUCCACGAGGGUCCUGGCGUUUGAUGAGACGCAGCAGGACGCCAUGCGGGGGAUGGGCCUUUGCUGGGGGAGGAACGCCGCCGCGAAGCCACGCUUCGAGCGGCAAGAUACCAGUAAGUGCUGCGCCGGUAUCACUGCCACAGCGUCUGCUCCAGGACGCUUGAGGUGGGUUACCUCGUCCUUAGGCGGGUGCUCUCCAGGGAAGGGCUGCAUAAGCUCUCACCCAUGUGGGAGGGCCCGAUUAGGGUCGCCCACGUCUCCAGGCCUGGCGUCGUGCGUCUGGAGACGCAGGACGGGGUCCCCAUCCAGAACGCCUGGAACAUCCAGCACCUUCAGAAGUUCUACCCAUGAAGCAAGGCCCAGCGCCUGUGAAGCAAGGCCCCGUGCCUGUGAAGGUCUCCGCCCGUGACACUCUCACAUAAUAAUGAGUGGGGCUGUACAUGCCCCGGAGUCUCAGGAAUGCCGCCCUCGGGCCUCGGGGGCUCCCUCCCACGUCCUAGUGGUAGCACUUAGCUCCACGCUGGUGAGAAGAAUAGACUAGGUGCCGGACGUAGCUUUUCAUUUGCUUUCCGUAGUUUGCUUGCCCCUCUGGAAGUUCGCAUUCUGGUGUUUCUUGUCAUCGUGCUUCGAUCGCCAUUUUCCUCUGUUCUUCCCUCGGUUCUUUGAUUUGGCCCGUACUCUCCCUCACAUGCCUCGCGAGGGGGCUGGACGAGUGCACUCGCGAGCGUUCAUUUUUCUUGUUCUUCGCGAGGCACCCUCGAUUGAGCUUGCAAGAGGUCACACCUCCCUCUUUUAAGUCCAUGCCCCUCGGGUACCGUUACACGGAGUGCUGGGUCAUGGCCAGCCACGCUUAGGGCCCUGAGCUUGAAAGAACAAUAGUUCCUUGACAAAUUUUUGCAGUUCCUCGACGCCUCCCAAAGCCUACGGCAAGGAGAUCUCACCAGGUACUGGGAGAUGCGCACCUCACGAGGCGGAAACUACUUCAGACAUGUCAAUCUAAGUCAUCUCUACACGCCUACGUAAAACACUAGUGCUGCAACACAAUGCAGGAACAAUAAACAUAACAUAGCAGCCUGGAAAUCAUGGUUUGUUGCACGCCCUUGCAGGGCCCCAUACUGGUUUCUUUUUCAAAUGCAGGAAGGAAGGAACAAAACAAAAGCGGCGUGCACCCCCGCGGCGGUUCGUGAGGGUAGGCCCUCGGAGCCCCCCUGGACUCAACCAGACCCCUCCUCGCGCUUCACUGGGGCGCGGCGACGAGGCAAUCCGCUACCGCCUUCCAAGCAGGCGCAGCGGCAUCGCGGCUAGUCAUAGCCGCCGCUGCUAGAGCUGUCGCCAGAGGAAGAGCCGCUGUAGCUGGACGAGCCGCGGCCUGCGCCGAGGUCGAGUCCACCUUCAUCCUCUUCAUGACCGUCGCCAAGGCCGAGCACCUCGCCGCCGUCGUUGUCCUCGGGGCAGCAUCCAACACGGCGACCAUCUUCCCCGAAUACCCACACGUAGAGGGUCGCGUCGCCAUCGUACUUGAAUUGGAGGGUACACCGCCCGCCCAGACCGCGCGCGCGGGCGAACAUCUGCCGACCACGGGCCAGGGUUGCGUUGCCUAUGACGGAGACUUCCACCGCGACCCACGAAGCCUUGCUGCAGCCAGAGACCGCCUAGACAUGUGGCCGUCAGUUCGCCGGUGAAGAACCACGGGAGCUGAAGCCAUGUGUCGACCGGGUUCUCCGACCACAUGACGAACUCUGGAAGCACCUCCGCCGACUGGAAGCGUGGCCGGGGAGGCCGCGUGACCAUGGCGCGUCUCACGUCAUCGACGGGACUGCCACAACCUGGGCGGCCCCCACCGCGUGGGGAGGCGCCGCUGCGGUCGCGAGGGGCACAAUGGGGGUCGCGGCGUGCUUACAUGGGCGACCACACCCGCUCUUGGGAGGCGGUGAACCGGGCCCUCCUGGCAGGCCUUCCCCUUCUCUACGGCCGAGAACCUCUUCACAAGUGCCAUGGGUGCCGCUACAAGCAAUGAAGCAAGAGAGAAGAAGUGUGUGGAGCAGGAAGAUAUGGGGCGACGGGGGCUCCGCCCCCUCCUCAUUUAUAGCAAGAGAAGACCAACCGGCGCCCCCACGAUCACAGGUAAUGAUGGUUUUCUCUGCAUUUAGCAGGGACUCGUCAAGUCGGGCAUUUGCCGAGGCAGCAUGGGGAAGCGGAGACGCCCAUGUCCCAUCAAUCGCCACACGUCAACUGAGCCCGCAGGCUGUUGGGGCCCGUGGCGCUCCGCAUUUGCCCCUUGGCUUCGCCUCGAAGCCAAGUCUGAGCGCACCUUGGGCCCAGGAGCUAUUGUCAGCGUCCUGGGAAUGGGGGUCCCCAGACAUGCCUGCCUGCAGCCCACGGCGUGGCUCCCGCAGCGGCCCUGUAUGGCCCAUCUUCAUCAGUGAACGCUCAAGACCCUCGCCAGGGGCCAAGCCUCGCGAGGCGGACGACGCAAGACCUCCUCGGGAGAGGCCUCACCAGGCUAGCUCGCGGAGGGCGGAGAGAUUAAGGCGAGGGGCCCCUCGCGAGGUUCCUGUGACGCAAGCCAUGACGACCAAGGCCAGGCGGGCACCAGGCGGGCGCCAGCGCGCGUAGUGUACUCGUUUCCUAUUUGGUGCUAAGGAGGCAGGCAGAGGCGAGGAGUCCCGAGGCAUUAGGCAAAGGUUUCCAUGUCGGUGAAACAAGACCAAGACUAGCAGGACAGCAGGAUGGAGGUUACCGUGGAGCCCAGGACGGUGUCACCACCAGAGCCUUUGGCAGGCGAAGACCACCUUUAGUCAGGAUAACUUGUACGUGUUGUCACCCUUCAAAUUAGGUCAUUGUUGGAUCCCUUCCUACCUACAUUUGGGAAGAGGACCAUGGCCUCUAUAAAUAGGACUAGCCACCACCGAAGAGUGGGGGGAUGAUCUUGGACUAGGUCCAUUCCACCAAGGCCACCAUACAAGCUCACCGAGUUCAAGGACACCUCUACUCGGGAGGCUAUUCAUCCCUUGUACUCGUUCAUCCUCAGCCCAAGAGGUAAUCCACCACACCACACUGGAGUAGGGUAUUACACCACAUCGGUGGCUCGAACCAGUAUAAAACCUUUGUCCUUUGUUCUGCGAGUUCUACGAACCGAGCUUUGAGAUUGCGGUGAGAGCGUGAGCUAGCGGGAGGAGAGAUCUUCGUGCGCACCCCAGAGUUCAAACCUCAAGGGUUUUGCCGGAACUCAAAAUCCGAUAGGCGCGCGGUUUUAGAAUAUAUUCCUCCAACCACAUCCCCACCCUCAAUAACCCCCCCCCCACGCCUCCCCCUACCGGUAUCUCAAACCGUCGCCGCCUCAACCACAGCUUCAACCACAUCUAUGUUCUGCUCGGAUCCAGUGAGGUAACCCACCGAUCUCUAUCACGGCCCCGUCCUGAUUGCUUAAAUGGCGUCUACGAAACAUCCUCAUCCUCCAAAUCCCCACCGCCAGGAGCUGAUGGCGGUCCAUGGCGUGAUCGCCGCUGUGCAUGUUGACCCGGAGGAACACCUCGCCUCCGCCGCCACCACGACAUGGUGCAGGCUCUAUCCUAGAUGAAGUGGCCCAGUGGCUACCCCCAGGACUUAACAGGUGAUGAGGACAUCAAUACCAUUGUUACACCCACAUCACCUGCUGCUAUACAUACUGGACCAAUUACUAGAGCUCGCGCACGCCAAUUGAAUUAGCGGGUACUUUUGUUUCUUUGUAACGAUUCUAAUGUUCAUGAGAAUAUGAUGCUGCCUAAAUUGGAUACAUUUGUUUUGCUUACAAAUGAAGGGCCUAGCUUGGACAAGAAAGAUGAACCUUGGAGCAAGUUCAAUCAUGGAGAUGAUGGCAUGCGCAAGGGGAUCAAGAACGGAGUUACAAGUGAUGAUUUCAGGACUUUGAAACCACCAUAAGGAGUGCAUGAAGCCUUGGACGAAAUAUACAAGAUGCCACUUCAUAAAUUUCAUCCAGAGGCUGUUCUAGGUGCUGCGUCACAUUAUUAUUGGGCCAGGCCAAUGUAUUUUCGAAAUACUUAAGUAUAGGUUGUUUUUAGAGUCCGUAUGUGUGGGGAAACAAGAGUUAGGGUUGGUUUCGGACCCCUCCUCCAAGGGCCACGAAAUUCCCCCUCUCUCCUCCAUAUAUACAACCCUUAGGGCAUUGUUUAGACUUUGGGUUUUGUUUAGAUUAAAGUUCACCAUAGCUGCAACUUCGUGUACUUCGUCUGUGUUCAACGACCAGACAAAGGCGUCACAGAACCCCACCUUGAUCAAUAAAGCUUUGCUCUUAUAUUCGCAAUAUCCAGAUUGCAAUCUCAGUUUCUUGCUUGUUCUUCAUUUGCCUGGAGGAAACAGACCUUCGUGGUCAGGUUGAUCGUGCUCCGGCAUGGUCAAUAACCUCUCGGAGUUGGUUUAGCGAUUGCUAAGGCGCGAUGUCCUUGCACGUUCAUAGUCGGAUCGUCAAAGUCGACUUCCUCCAAAACGAUAGCCACCAUCUCAUCGAAAGACGGGACAACUUUGCCUCUAUCAAGUGGUAUCAGAGUUCCAGGUUGCUCGGUGAGAUUUUACAGUUUUUCAUAGUUUAGAGCAAGUCUGUUCUUCAUACCUACAGUCCACGAAAAAGCCAAAAAAAUUAGGGUUAGGUCAUCAUAUCCGAACCAAUCUGAGCCUUUGAAUAAUAUUUUUUAGGGUUUUGCAUUGUUGAAUUUGCGGUUGCAUCGUCGUGUCUAGAUGCUGGUCUUAGCGUCUAGUUUCCUUUAGAGUUUCGAGUUCUGUUCACAUGUUGUCACGCCGCCGGCGCACCAUCGUCAUCGUUCCUACCACAUACCACCACCACCAACAUAUUCCUUACUUCUGCCAUAUACAUCCUCCUGUCCACCACCAAUCCGAGUCCACAUAUACAUCCGCCUAUCCACCACCAAUCUGAGUCCACAUAUACAUCUGUCUGUCCACCACCAAUACGAGUCCACAUAUACAUCUGCCUGUCCACCACCAAUCCGAGUUCUUUUCAUAUUAGGUUUGUUUUCGAGAUCCAUCUAGUUUUUGUUUUGUGUUUCCUUGCCUGAGUAGGUCUCGAAAAAAAAGUCUGGAGACCCCCGGGCAGUUUUUAGGCCAAAUUUUUGGUGACUACAAAUAUUUUUUCCCUAUCCUAUUUUUAGGCUUUUCUGAGUCUUUUGAGCCACGUGCCAUCAUAGUGAUUUUUUGUCACAGUUUUUCGUCGUCGCUGCCCUGAUUUCCGAAAAAAGUCAAAAAACAAUUCGUGCCCAUCCUGUCAGUUUGACGAGGGAAGAGUUUUCAGACACUCGCCAUUAUAGUGAUUUUUUGCAAAAAAAGAGGAGCGCAAAAAAAAGGAGCGCCAAAAAAAAGAAGAAAAACAGAGCAAAAAAAAGUUCCAGAGUGUGCUUUUCCCUUGUUUACGUGCACCGCCGUGAUUUUGUUAGCGUUCUAGGCUCGCGUCUCUAGCAGGGUCUAGCCUAGGACCAGCACAUACCGUCGUUGAACGUUUAUUCAACUUUGCAUCUCUGAAUUGAUUAUUGCUGACUCUUUUUGCUACCAUAUUAUAAGCCUUCCCAGCUCCACAUACAUCUACGUCAUGCGUAUGAUUUUCCCUGGUAAUUGCUCUAUCCAAGCUUUGAGAGUUUUGACUACGACAGUUGCCGAUCACCGCCUGCUGCUGGGUAAGAAUUGGUAAGAAUUUGAGAUUUGCUUGACGGAUUUGUGACACCCACCACCACCUCUUUGUUAAUAGUCUGUAGGAUCAUAUUCUUGUGUGUUUCUAUUGCUGCUAACCAAGGCAGGAUCACAAGCCGACGAGACUGACUGGGAGAACAUGAUGAAUAAGGAGUUGCAUGAUAAAUUUCAGCAAAUGAUGAGUGGACAGGUGCAAGAUUUGCUAAACAGAUUUGAAGAGGCCAUGGAGAAGAUCGAUGGCAUGGACAAGACGUUCGAAACAAAGCUCGAUAACAAGUUUAAUGAAUUGCUUGCGCGUCUUCCACCACCACCACCAGCUGCCCCUAACGCACCUCUACAACAAUAACAACAACAACAACAACAACAACGUCGCUUUCCAAAUCAAGUGGGAUGAGCACAGCGCGUUCCCAUUGACCCUGGGCAAAAUUCUGGUGCCGCUGUUGAUGCUUCUGUCACUCCUGCUGCUACUGCAGAGGUGGAGGACCAUUACGAGGACUAGGUUGAUCAAAAUCAGAACUACGUGCAACCACCAACACCACCACCACUAGGUCGUCCUCAGGUAUAUCAUCGCAACAGUAGGCCUGCACCACCAUAUGAGGUACGAGAUCAUGACCAUCUUCCUAAACUGAAAUUGAAUAUUCCACCACUUGAGGGUAGAUAUCUUCCUGAUAUAUAUAUAUCUUACUUGGGAGUAAGAAACUGAACAAUGUUUUACAUGUUUACAAUACCCUGAGGAGAGACGUGUUCCCGUUGCUGUUUGUGCUUUCACUAGCUUCGCAUGUGUUUGGUGGUCUGAACAUUGUAGAUUAUAUCCUAUUCCAACUACUUGGGCUGCUUUCAAAACUGCUAUGCGUACUCGUUGGGUCCCACCAUAUUAUCAACGUGAAUUACUUCAAAAAUUGCAGCGUUUAAGAAAAGGAAAAAAUUCUGUAGAAGAAUAUUAUCAGGAAUUACAAACUGGCAUGAUUAGAUGUGGUAUUUUUGAGGAGAAUGAAUCUAUGCUUGCAUGUUUUAUGGGUGGAUUAAAUAGAGAGAUUCAGACCAUUCUAGAGUAUAAGGAUUAUACUAAUAUCACUCGUUUAUUCCAUCUUGCUUGUAAAGCUGAACAUGAAGUGCAGGAUCGACAGGCAUGGGCAUGAACUAACUUCUCUGCAGGUCGAUCUUCAUCAUGGACACCACGUGCAUCCUCUAGUUCCACUCCACCAGCACCUCCAUCAGGUGCCACCUCCAGUCGUGAUACAAGAAAGCAGGCACAACCACCACUGUCUGCCAAGAGCACACCUGUCGGGCCUGCGCAGAGCUCUUCUUUUUCCAUGGCAUCAACAGGGCACACAAGUGAUAUUAUUUGUCGUCGUUGUAAGGGAAGAGGACAUUUUGCGAGAGAAUGCAAAUCUCAGCGUGUGAUGAUUGCUACUGAGGAUGGUGGGUAUGAGUCCGCUAGUGACUAUGAUGAGGAGACUUUGGCUCCUAUUACACAUGAAGAACACGGUGGAGAUCAUUCUGAUCAUGAGACGCAAUACAUGGCUGCUGAAGAUGCUGACAGGUUUGAAUGUUUAGUUGCUCAACGUGUUUUGAGUGUAGGUUACACAAGCUGAGCAAAAUCAGACGCAUAAUUUGUUCCAUACAAAGGGAGUUGUGAAGGAACGUUUUGUUCGCAUCAUCAUAGAUGGAGGGAGCUGCAAUAACUUGGCUAGCAUGGAGAUGGUGGAGAAGCUAUCUCUCACCACAAGACCACAUCCACAUCCUUACUACAUCCAAUAGUUCAACAACAGUGGCAAGGUUAAGGUAACAUGUAUUGUUCGUGUGCAUUUUAGUAUCUCUACAUAUGCUGAUCAUGUUGAUUGUGAUGUGGUACCUAUGCAAGCAUGUUCCUUAUUACUUGGUAGACCAUGUCAAUUUGAUAAAAAUUCUGUACACCAUGGUAGAAACAAUCAGUAUACUCUUGUUCAUAAGAAUAAAAAUAUUACUUUGCUUCCUAUGACUCCUGAUUCCAUUUUGAAAAAUGAUAUUAAUAGAGCUAGUAAAGCAAAACAGGAGAAAAAUAAGACUGAAAAUCAGAUUGUGGCAAAAGAAUUUGAGCAACAAAUGAAGCCUAAUAAUAAACCAUCUAGUGUUGCUUCUGAAAUUAAAUUGAAAAGUGCACGUUUACUUGCCACCAAAUCUGAUAUUGAUGAUCUAGAUUUUAUCAAAUUUGUUCGCUAUGCUUUUGUGAGCAAAGAGGCAUUAUUUUCAUUCGAGGACAUUCCUUCCUCUUUGCCUCCUGUUGUCACUAACAUUUUGCAGGACUUCGCUAACGUCUUUCCACAAGACGUGCCACCGGGAUUACCACCUAUUCGAGGGAUUGAGCAUCAAAUUGAUUUAAUUCCCGGUGCAUCAUUACCCCGCCGUGCACCAUACCGUACCAAUCCAGAGGAGACAAAGGAAAUUAUGCGUCAAGUACAAGAACUGCUCGACAAAGGUUAUAUACGCGAAUCCCUUAGUCCUUGUGUUGUUCCUAUCAUUUUAGUGCCGAAAAAGGAUGCUACGUCGCGUACGUGUGUUGAUUGUAGAGGCGUUAAUAAUAUUACUAUUCGUUAUGGUCAUCCUAUUCCUAGGCUAGAUGAUAUGCUUGAUGAAUUGAGUGGCUCUACAAUAUUCUCCAAAGUUGAUUUGCGUAGUGGAUACCAUCAAAUUCGUAUGAAAUUGGGAGAUGAAUGGAAACCAGCAUUAAAAACUAAGUUUGGAUUAUAUGAGUGGUUAGUCAUGCCUUUUGGGUUAACUAAUGCACCUAGUACUUUCAUGAGAUUAAUGAACGAAGUUUUACGUGCUUCCAUUGGAUGAUUUGUGGUAGUUUACUUUGAUGAUAUAUUGAUUUAUAUCAAAUCUUUGGAGGAACAUUUGGAACAUUUACGUGCUAUUUUUUUUUGCUCUACGUGAUGCACGUUUCUUUGGUAACCUUGGGAAGUGCAGCUUUUGCACCGAGCGAGUAUCUUUUCUUGGCUAUGUUGUUACUCCACAGAGAAUUGAAGUUGAUAAAGCCAAGAUUGAAGCUAUUGAGAGUUGGCCGCAGCCCAAAAUGGUCACACAAGUGAGGAGUUUCCUUGGCCUCGCUGGUUUCUAUAGGCAUUUUGUGAGAGAUUUCAGCACCAUUGCUGCACCUCUCAACGAGCUUACAAAGAAGGAUGUGCCUUUUGUUUGGGGUACCGCACAGGAAGAAGCCUUCACGGUAUUGAAAGAUAAGUUGACACAUGUUCCUUUACUCCAACUUCCUGAUUUUAAUAAGAGUUUUGAGCUUUAAUGUGAUGCUAGUGGAAUUGGAUUAGGAGGUGUGUUAUUACAAGAUGGCAAACCUGUUGCAUACUUUUCUGAAAAAUUGAGUGGGCCUAGUCUGAACUAUUCUACUUAUGAUAAAGAAUUAUAUGCUCUUGUUCGGACCUUAGAAACAUGUCAACAUUAUUUAUGGCCCAAGGAAUUUGUUAUACAUUCUGAUCAUGAAUCUUUGAAACACAUUAAAAGUCAAGCAAAACUGAACCGUAGACAUGCUAAAUGGGUUGAAUUCAUUGAGACUUUCCCUUAUGUCAUUAAACACAAGAAGGGUAAAGAAAAUGUUAUUGCUGAUGCAUUGUCUCGUCAUUAUACUAUGCUUUCACAACUUGAUUUUAAAAUAUUUGGUUUGGAAACCACCAAAUGUCAAUAUGUGCACGAUGCUGAAUUCAAAGAUGUAUUGCAGAAUUGUAAGGAAGGGAGAACUUGGAACAAGUUCGUUCUUAACGAUGGAUUUGUGUUUCGUGCUAACAAGCUAUGCAUUCCAGCUAGCUCCGUUCAUCUUUUGUUGUUGUAGGAGGCGCAUGGAGGAGGAUUAAUGGGACACUUUGGCAUGAAGAAGACGGAGGACAUACUUGCUACACAUUUUUGUUGGCCAAAGAUGAGAUGGGAUGUUGAGCGUUUUGUUGCUCGCUGCACUAAAUGUCAAAAAGCUGAGUCACAACUCAAUCCUCAUGGUUUAUAUAUGCCUUUGCUUGUACCUAGUGUUCCUUGGGAGGAUAUAUCUAUGGACUUUGUUUUAGGUUUACCUCGAACAAAGAAGGGGAGGGAUAGCAUAUUUUUUUAUCAUGGAUAGGUUCUCGAAAAUGGCACACUUUAUACCAUGUCAUAAAAGCGAUGAUGUUGUUAAUGUUGCUGAUUUUUUCUUUCGUGAAAUUAUUCGCUUGCAUGGUGUAAGUUGGGGACUAAACUGCUUUUAAGUACUACUUGUCACCCCCAAACUGAUGGACAAACUGAUGUAGUCAAUAGGACAUUGUCUACUAUGCUUAGGGCUAUUUUGAAGAAUAAUAAGAAAAUGUGGGAAGAAUGCUUGCCUCAUAUUGAAUUUGCUUAUAAUCGUUCAUUGCAUUCUACUACUAAGAUGUGCCCUUUUGAAAUUGUGUAUGUUUCCCUACCUCGUGCACCUAUUGAUUUCUUGCCUCUUCCAUCUUCGGAGAAGGUUAAUUUUGAUGCUAAAGAACGUGCUAAAUUGAUUUUAAAAAUGCAUGACUUAACUAAGGAAAACAUUGAGCGUAUGAAUGCUAAAUAUAAACUUGCUGGAGAUAAGGGUAGAAAACAUGUUGUGUUUGCACCUGGAGAUCUUGUUUGGUUACAUUUGCGUAAGGAUAGAUUUCCUAAUUUGUGCAAAUCAAAGCUAAUGCCACGUGCUGAUGGUCCUUUUAAGGUGUUAGAGAAAAUAAAUGAAAAUGCAUAUAAACUUGAGCUGCCUGCAGAUUUUGGGGUUAGUCCCACUUUUAACAUUGCGGAUUUGAAGCCUUAUUUGGGUGAGGAAGAUGAGCUUUCGUCGAGGACGACUUCAUUGCAAGAAGGGGAGGAUGAUGAGGACAUCAAUACCAUUGUUACACCCACAUCACCUGCUGCUAUACAUACUGGACCAAUUACUAGAGCUCGCGCAUGCCAAUUGAAUUAUCAGGUACUUUCAUUUCUUGGUAACGAUUCUAAUGUUCAUGAGAAAAUGAUGCUGCCUAAAUUGGAUUCAUUUUUCUGCUUACAAAUGAAGGGCCUAGCUUGGACAAGAAAGAUGAACCUUGGAGCAAGUUCAAGCAUGGAGAUGAUGGCAUGCACAAGGGGAUCAAGAACGGAGUUACAAGUGAUGAUUUCAGGACUUUGAAACCACCAUAAGGAGUGCAUGAAGCCUUGGACGAAAUAUACAAGAUGCCACUUCAUAAAUUUCGUCCAGAGGCUAUUCUAGGUGCUGCUUCACCUUAUUAUUGGGACAGGCCCAUGUAUUUUCGAAAUACUUAAGUAUAGUCUGUUUUUUGAGUCCGUAUGUGUGGGGAAACAAGAGUUAGGGUUGGUUUCGGACCCCUCCUCCAGGGGCCACGAAAUUCCCCCUCUUUCCUCCAUAUAUACAGCCCUUAGGGCAUCGUUUAGACUUUGGGUUUUGUUUAGUUUAAAGUUCUCCAUAGCUACAACUUCAUGUACUUCGUUUGUGUUCAACAACCACACAAAGGCGUCACAGAACCCCACCUUGAUCAAUAAAGCUUUGCUCUUAUAUUCGCAAUAUCCAGAUUGCAAUCUCAGUUUCUUGCUUGUUCUUUGUUUGCCUGCAGGAAACAGACCUUCGUGGUCAGGUUGAUCGUGCUCCGACGUGGUCAAUAACCUCUCGGAGUUGGUUUAGCAAUUUCUAAGGCACGACGUCCUCGCACGUUCGUAGUCGGAUCGUCAAAGUCGACUUCCUCCAAAACGAUAGCCACCAUCUCAUUGAAAGACGGGACACCUUUGCCUCUAUCAACAGGUAAAAUCUGACCAACUAAAUCUUACCAAUACCACUUGCAAUGGCUAUGAUUUGUAUGGUUCAUGUAUUAAGCAUGUUCGUGCCUUGUUUAUUUCGGUACUGCACACUGUGUGAUGUUCAAAUAUUACCGUGUCCAGCUCAAUUUUCAACAAUACCAGCAACAAACUUACAAUACAUGACUCAGGAUAUCACUAGAGAUGCUGCCCAUUUGCUAUUUUUAGUGGAUGCUAACCCUGUUGUACUUAACAUGCCUAUCCAUGUACUUACGCAGGGUCAUAACAGCCGAUGUUGUUGUUUGCCGUCGAUGUUAGCUGCAUCCCAUGUCUUACAGUAUUUCACAUCAUUUGUGAAUUGUAGUUUAACUUCUACCAUUUAGUGGUUGCCUACAGGUACACAUGUCAGUGGCACUGAUGCAUGCUUCGACCCGGAGGAACAGCUCGCCUCCGCUGUCGCUGACUUUGGGCGAGCUCUGGCCAAGAUGAAGUGCCCGAGCAACUACCUCUCAGGACUUACCAAGUAUGUACUCACCAGUUCAAUCUUACUAGUACCGGUUACAAUUAAUGGCUAUGUUCUGUACGGUCGAUGUAUUAAGCAUGUUCUAGUAAGCAUGCCUAACACGUUUUAGCUACUUUCCCUACCUUUUUAUAGACAUCUGGGCCAUUCUCUGCUCUGGCAGCACCCGCCUUGUGAUGUUUAACUAUGUGAAUUGCAUUUUUAUCAUUACCGGUUUCAAUGUCUAUGAAGCCUGUUGUAAUUAAUAGUUGAAUCCAUUUUUAAACAGUUGUUUUUCAAUGGCUACAAACUUACAAAACAUGACUUAGGAUGUUGUUAAGCUUGUUGCAAUUAACAGUUGUAUACAUUUUUUAAUCUGUCCAUUUGCUACCAUGCUACUCUCCACAAUGAAGAUAUACUAGAGAUGCUGCCCAUUUGUUAUUUUUGGUGGAUGCUAACCCUGUUGUAGUUAACAUGCAUGUCCAUGUACUUACGCAGGGUUAUAAUGGCUGAUGCUGUUGUUUGCCAUCGAGGUUAGCUGCAUCCAAUGUCUUACAGUAUUUCAUAUCAUUUGUGCAAUUGCAGUUUAAAUUCUACCAUUUACUGGUUGCAUGUAGAUACACAUGUCAGUGGCACUGAUCCACACUUCGACCCGGAGGAACAGCUCGCCUCCACCGCCGCUGACUUGGGCGGACUCUGGCCAAGAUGAAGUGCCCGAGCAACUACCUCUCAGGACUUACCAAGUAUGUACUCACGAGUUCAAUAUUACCGAUACUAGUUGCAAUUAAUGGCUAUGUUCUGUACGGUCGAUGUAUUAAGCAUGUUCUAGUAAACAUGCCUAACAUGUUUUAGCUAUUUUCCCUACCUUUUUAUAGACAACUAGGCGAUUAUCUGCUCUCGCGGCACCUGCCUUGUGAUGUUUAACUCUGCCAAUUGCAUUUUUAUCAGUACCGGUUUCGAUGGCCAUUAAGCCUGUUGAAAUUAACAGUUUUAUCCAUUUUUAAAGAGUUAUAUUUCGAUGGCUAUAAACUUACAAAACAUGAUUUAGGAUGUUGUUAAGCCCGUUGAAAUUAACAGUUGUAUCCAUUUUUUAAUGCGUCCCUUUGCUACCGUGCUGCACUUUCGCAAUGAAGAUAUCACUAUGGAUGUUAACGUUUUAUUACCAUUUGCUAUUUUUGGUGGAUGUUAACCCUGUUGUAGUUAACAUUGGCUUUCCGUGUACUUACAUAGGGCUACAAUGGGCGAUGCUAUUGUUUGUCGUCGAGGCUAGCUGCAUCCCAUGUCUUAUACACCAUUUAUUCCUAAAUAUAAGUAUUUUUAGAGAUUCCAAUAUAGACUACAUAAGGAGCAAAAUGAGUAAAUCUAAAUUCUAAUCUAAACUAUCUCUAUAAUUCUAUAUACAUCAGUAUGUAGUUCAUAUUGAAAUCUCAAAAAAAAUACUUGUACUUAGGAACAUAGGUAGUUGUAUUUUACAUCAUUUGUGCAAUUUCAGUUUAACUUCUAACAUUUACUGGUUGCUUUUAGGUACAUAUAUGAGCGGUACUAAUCCACGCUUCGAUCCCUUUUGCGUAUGGGGCAAUGAGAUAUUCAUGAACAAGCUUCAACUGAGGAAACUAAGAAAGAUUGUUAGGCGAAAGAAACAGGUGAUUGGAAUUAAGCUCUUUAUUUACACUUUGUCCAAGACAAUAGUGAACUUUAGGAUGGUAAGUAAUGUGUUGCCUUUUCCCCCUACCCACAACAAGUUGCUCUAUUAGACAUGAGUAUCUGAUAUUUUUCUCUUUUCAGUGGUUUCUGAAGCUAUUUACUGAUGAUUACCUUGCAAACUACAUGGCCGGAGUGGAGGCAACUAAGGUUAAAGUAUAUAAUUCAUGCUACCAUGAUAAUUCUCUAGAAGUUUUCCUGAAGGCGGUGAAGGAUGGGCAGGCAAUCGUCACAAGGGGUUGGACAAAAGUGGUUCGUUCCUAUGGCAUGCAGGAAGGCACAUUAUGGGCAUUCCGCUUCUUCAAUACCGUCGGCAGUCAAAAUGAUUUACACUUGUCUCUUCACCUUUACCGCCUUUAAAUAUUGUGGUUCAUCAUAGUUAAUUGCUGCCUAAUCAUGUAAUUACUGAACAUAUUGUACUGGUAAUUUUAUUUAUGGAUUCGUUGUUGAACCAUUGUGCUAAGAAUUUUAAUUGCACGUUUCAUAUUUCAAAAUUUCCAAUUCAAAUGAUAAAUUACAGGCAAAAAUAAAAAUAUACAGGAGCUAAUAAAAUAAUGUGCACACGGUUAGAAAGAAAACAGCGUGUGCGAUGUAAAAAGAGAACAGACGGUCAUGGAACUUUUGAAACGGUUCUGGCAGUAAAAGCGCUUGUGAUGGAUAGCCCAAUGCCACACAGUUUUCUACAUCAAAUCGUGUGUGAUGUAGUUCAUAAAAGCAAAUAGUUAACCAAGGCAGAGCAUGUGUGAUAGUUACACCUUUCACACACAAGUGUAUACAUAAAACUGUGUGGGAUGUACAUACGAACGAAAACGUUUUCCUUGGAUUGACUGUGUGGGAUGUACAUAAGAACGAAAACGUAUUCCUUGGAUUGAUUGUGUGUGAUAUACAUACGAACGGAAAUGUUUUUUCUGGGAUUCAUUGCGUGAGAUGUACAUACGAACGGAAAUGAUUGGGUUUCGAUGCCUCGCCCGAUCGCACACGAGCUCAUUUGGCCCCAACAUGUGUCCUAUCCCUGACGAUUUCUGGGUUGUGUGGGAAGGACCCCCCCCCUAUCACCCACACUCACUUGGCUACGGUUCCAAAUGCCAUCACGGAAAGGGGUUAAAAACCAUUUGUAUAGCACCAACACGUACCAGUGAUUGUAUUGUUGCCAUCAAGGAUAACAAGAAGGGGUUUUCAUCAUAUUGUUUGAGUUAAUUCCGCUACAUCAUAUCAUCUUACUUAAUGCGUUACUCUAUUCUUAUGAACUUGUACUCUAGAUGCAGGCAGGAGUCGGUCGACGUGUGGAGUAAUAGUAGUAGAUGCAAAAUCGUUUCGGUCUACUUGACACAGAUGUGAUGCCUAUAUUCAUGAUCAUUGCCUUAGAUAUUGUCAUAACUUUGUGCUUUUCUAUCAACUUCUCGGCAGAAAUUUGUUCACCCACCGUAUUAUUUUCUAUCUUGAGAGAAGCCUCUAGUGAAACCUAUGCCCCCCGGGUCUAUUUUCCAUCAUAUAAGUUUCUGAUCUAUAAUUUUAGUUUCCGAUUUACUUUCUUUGCAAUCUUUUACUCUCCAUUCCAUAAACCAAAAAUGAUGAGGACAUCAAUACCAUUGUUACACCCACAGCCCCUGCUGCUAUACAUACUGGACCAAUUACUAGAGCUUGCACACGCCAAUUAAAUUAUCAGGUACUUUCGUUUCUUGGUAAUGAUUCCAAUGUUCAUGAGAAUAUGAUGCUGCCUAAAUUGGAUACAUUUGUUGUUCUUACAAAUGAAGGGCCUGGCAUGGAUAAGAGGGAUGAACAUUGGAGCAAGACCAAGCAUGGAGAUGAUGGCAUGCGCAAGGGGAUCAAGAACGGAGUUACAAGUGAUGAUUUUAGGAUUUUGGAACCACCAUAAGAAGUACAUGAAGCCUUGGAUGAAAUAUACAACAUGCCACUUCAUAAAUUUCGUCCAGAGGCUAUACUAGGUGUUGCGUCACCUUAUUAUUGGGCCAGGCCCAUGUAUUUUUGAAGUACUUAAGUAUAGGCUGUUUUUAGAGUCUGUAUGUGUGGGGAAACAAGAGUUAGGGUUGGUUUCGGACCCCUCCUCCAAGGGCCAUGAAAUUGCCCCCUCUUCCUCCAUAUAUACAGCCCUUAGGGCAUCAUUUAGACUUUGGGUUUUGUUUAGACUAAAAGUCUGCCAUAGCUGCAACUUCACGUACUUUGUUUGUGUCCAACGACCAGACCAAGAUGUCACAGAACCCCACCUUCAUUAAUAAAGCUUUCCUCUUUUAUUCGCAAUAUCUAGAUUGCAAUCUCAAUUUCUUGCUUGUUCUUCGUUUGCUCGCAGGAAAUAGGCCCUCGUGGUUAGGUUGAUCGUGCUCCGGUGUGGUCAAUAACCCUCGGAAGUUGGUUUAGCGAUUGCUAAGGCGUGACGUCUUCGCACGUUCAUAGUCGGAUCGUCAAAGUCGACUCCCACAAAAAAUGAUAUCUAUCUCAUCGAAACAUUGGGACACCUUCGCCUCUAUCAAAAAAUACCAAAAAUAUUACUUUGCCAUUUAUCCAUCUAUAUCAGAUCUCACUUUGCAAAGAAACAUGAAGGGAUUGACAACCCCUUUGUCGCAUUUUGUGCAAGUUGGUGUUUGUUUGUACAAGUAUUCGGUGGCUUGUUGCGUUGCCUCCUAUUGGAUUGAUACCUUGAUUCUCAAAAGCUGAGGGAAAUACUUACUCUACUUUGCUGCAUCACUCUUUCCUCUUCAAGGGAAAAACCAAUGCAAGCUCAAGAGGUAGCAUUGGCGUCGUGGACAAGUCAAGGGGGCCCGCGAGGUGAUGACAAGGCAAGGCGCGCGCCCUAGGGGGGGCACCCUUGUGGUUACCUUGGGAAUCCUCUUUGAUAUCUUUUCGUUCCAGUAUUUUUUAUAUUUUCCAAAAGUAUUCUCCGUAAAUUUUCAGCACCAUGGUAGUUCUGCUGAAAACAAUGUCAGACUGGGUUAGUUCUAAUCAAAUCAUACCUAAAUAAUAUAGAAUUGUUGUAAACAUGGCAUGAAUACUUCAUAAAUUAUAGAUACUUUGGAGACGUAUUAGUUGGGGAGGUGCUGUCGCAAAAGACCCCUCCUCUUCCGAUAAAGAGCUUGACCUUGUCAACAAACGGCUUGACGAGGCGCAAGGUAAGCCCUUUGAUAAGAUGUGUAUUUGCUUGAUGCCGGAUAUUGACGAUCCAUACUGAAUGCUAAUCUUUUAUCAUGAUGAUCUUGCAGGUGCCGCCGCUAAGGUCGAGGGCUUGAGAGAGGCCAUGAAGAAAGCUGAGGCAGAGGCGGCCACAAAGGAAGCGGCCAUUGACGAGGGGUGGCCGAGCUCGAGAAGGCCAAGCUCGCUGGUGAGAUGCUCGAGGAUUGAAUAGUCGAGGUGCAAGUGGAGCUCCAGGAUGCCGCCAAGAAGCUGGAGCUUCUUGAGAAGAAGCAGGAGAAAGAAUCUUCCCAGCUAUCCAAGGCGGAGACGGAGGGAAGGAUCAAAGCGCGAGGUGUCCGAGAAGAGCUCCACCAAGACAGGAAAAUUGCAAAUGGUAAUAAAUACUUACUGGAGUGUGUGUUCGGAGGCAACAGAUUUGCCUUGCCGACGCAGGGCUGGCGCUCUGCAGGUGUCUUCGCUGAACUUAUGUGGAAUGUGGCGGCCGCCAUGGAGCAUUAUGCUGCUCACGAGGAGGAUUCCGAGCAGGGGCUGUUCUGGUCGCAGUUUUCAGCCUCCGAGCAUCCUCCCCUCCUCAGCAACUAGAUGAAGCAACUGAUGGAUCUCCAUCGAAUGUCUAAACUGGCGCUGAAGGAUCUGUGUGUCAAUCUGUUGUCGGCUAAGCCGAUUCCGGGGAGCUACUUCGGCCUUAUGCAAAGGCUGCGGGAGGUGCCACUCCGUGUUGAUGCCAUGAGGCGGACAACAUGCCUCGAGGGAGCUAGGCUGGCGUUUGCGAAGAUCAUGGUACAUAGGUGGAAUAUUAAUCCAAUGGACAUGGCCACUGGUCCCCCACCGAAGGGAAAAGAACAUCGCCGCCCGGAGCUGUACUUUGCACAGGUUAUGAAUGGUGCACGGGCGAUAGAGGGCCAGUGUUCUAAAGAUGAAAUAAUUUAGUGACCGCAUCAAAAAAUUUAUCAUGUGGAUCUUGCACUUCAUAAUGUGGCUUUUUAUAUUUUGUCAUGGUUUAAUUUUGAUUCCUGUUUGGCCGUAAGUUUAUUCUGAAAGUUACCAGUCAUCAGCUUCAGUUGCCGAGUGAAUAUCGCAAGGGGUGUUUCGUCGCCACACUAUUACCCUUAGCUAACGUCUUGCUAGCCGGAGGCAGUAGUGCGGGAGUGAGACUAGGCACUCAGACUAUUCGAUUUUAUUGCUUGUGAUGUACUUUGUAGCCGAGGCCUUCCCCUUCCAAUCACGUAGUUAGUGCUAAGACCAACCCUUCAUGUGACACGGUGAAAUCACCAAUGAUUUUUGGAGUCGAAACCCUGUCAUCGGAUCGCUGACUUGUUUGCGCUUACUAUGAUGGUCAGUUUUCGGCUUUUUCCUCUUGAUGUGCUUUACUAGGCUAGCCAGAAGCACGAUCGUAGGGGUUCUCCCAUUACCCUCUUAGCCAAACAUGCGGAACAUAAGGUGUAAACACAAGAGCCGGACAACCCAACUAUUGACCCAAGACAUAGUUCAGGACUGAUACAUAUAGAGCAAUAUCUGAGAUGUCGAACACUCCGCGGGAAGCGGUGUCGGACUUGGUAUGAGCAGUUGAUGAGGAAUCAAGCUCUUAGAGGGUGAAUUACAUCACCAUGCUGGGCUGUUUGAAGAGCGAGAGGGAGAUUGAGAAGGAAGGAGACAAUCACCAGAUGAGGAUAUCCGAAUACCAUAAAGGGUGUUUAUUAUUUUUCAUAGGCUCAAGACGUCUAAUCAUACAAUUCGAACUGCCAAGACAUUUAUUGAAAAAGAAAGAAAAGUUUUAUAGUAAAGGUUUACGUAGGGCCUUGAUGCGUGAGUCGAAACCUCAACUGUGCCCUGCUGCACGUCUGUGCCUUUGCUUCUGAGAGGUGGGGGUUGGGACCUUCAAUCAAACCUUGAGGGGCGAGGAUCCUGCCGAUGAAGCUUUGUGCUUGGAGGGGGGGUUCUGGAAUUGGCCCCCAAGUCGUCCGAAGACAAGGUAACUCCGAAGUUUGAGUUAGCCGAACACAUGCUUCGUUUGUUGAUAUAUGCCUCACGGUUGCCCAUGGUAUUUUCAGUGCAAAAUUGUGCUAUCGAGGCAUGCAGAGUGUGAAGAAGGUAGGCAUGCCGUGGGGUGCACAUCCCUAUUUGCGGUGAAUGCAUGUGGGUUCCCAUGACGGGGAGCAGGUUCGAGCCCGUUUACUGUUGUCGCUGGCCUUUACGACAGGCCGGUAAUGGGACCCGUAUGGGCCGGUUUGGUCUUCGGCCGCUAGGGCCGCAGUGUGCUCUUUGGUUCGAAGUGAGUGUUUGUCAGGACCCCGACUCAAUGUCACAUCGAUCUAGCCUAUAACACCUCAUAUCACUUUGCGGCCUCACGCACGGUAUCCCCACGGGUGUCGCCUUACCUUUCCCCGGGACCGUUUGCGCCUUUUGGCUCACGUAUAUGAUAGUGUCGCUAGCAUCCAUAUGAUAAGGAGCCCGGGCUGACAUGACUAGUCGUAAACCCAAAGUGGCACAGACUUACAGGGACAGGCAUCCAUGACCCAGCAUCGAACAUGUCGGUCAUCAGCAAGUGGGUCCGGGCUGUAGCACUGGGCUAGCAGGACUCCGGUAAACCGGGCUGUAGCAUGCUGACAGGCCUCCGGUACUCAAUGCGUGACAUUUCCCCGAAGGGACAGACACAGGAACGAAGAAGGACACAUGCCGGUCAGCCUAAGUGUUCCGAAGCAGUAGCAAGCUACCAUGGCUCAGUGGAGACACUAGGAGACAUUUCCCGGUAAGAGAGGCUACUAAGAGUAAACAACUAGAUAGUCAGAUCCCACACAUACCAAGCAUUUCAAUCAUACACACAAUAUGCUCGAUAUGUGCAAAUACAACAAGGCAUCACAACAUGACUCUACGACACAAGUACUUUAUUUAAGGCUCAGAGAGCCAUACAUAACAUACACAUAAGUACGGGUCACAUGACCCAGCAUUCAAGUCAUACAGUCAUACAAACCAGCAGCGGAAGUAACUUGUCUGAGUAUAGACAACUAGUAAAAUAAAAGAGGCUUGGAAAGCCUAGCUAUACUACGUGGUCCUUCACAAGCUCAGGAUCACCACCUGGGCCUUAGCCUACUCAUUGAUGUCAACGUCUACGAAGAACCCAUCAGAAGGGGUUGCAGCGUCUUCUGUAAAAAUGUAAAUUAUAGCAACAUGAGUACAAAGGUACUCAGCAAGACUUACAUCAGAUCCUACAUACAUGCACAUUAUCAAGAAGGGUUGGAGGAGUUAUUGCAGCAAGCCAGCUUUGACUCUUGGCUAGGCUAUCCUACGAGACUCCAACUUGAAAUGGUUUUGCGCACACGAGUCCACUACUCACCACUUCAAUGCACUACCGAGGAUCCACCUCCGUCUUCCUACGAAAGAGCCAUCCUCGGCACUCACACUUAUCUUGAGGCUUUUAGUAGUUUCCAUUUACUUGUCUAUGAACUGUAUAGGCAACCAAGUAGUCCUUUACCGCGGACGCGGCUAUUCGAAUAGAUCAUGAUAACCCUGCAGGGGUGUACUUCUUCAUACACGCUCUCACCACUUACCGUCGUUUACACGACAUGUACUCGGCAACCUUCAAGCGGAAGCCCAACGUGGGUGUCAGCCACGACCUACCUAAUCACCUAAGUCUCUAAUCCAGGUUUAUCGCCUAUCCAGGUUCCAUCCGCAGGGAGUCCGGCCGAGGUUUCCCAUACGGCCCCGAACGAUGUGUACAGGGUUCCCGAGAUACCUAACGGGUAUUCGGUACACCGUGCCACAUACCUACCGCAUCACAGCCCACCCCUACGGUCAGCGCUGUCCACGGCCUCCAGUAGGCUACAAACACCAGAAACUACUUGCAACUCCUGGACAGAGAACUAGGGUGAAUAAGAAGCCGAGAGGGUCCAUUGGUUUCGGGCCUAAUGUAUGGUAGUAGCUGAUUCUUAAAUCACACAUACAGAUCUCAGUGCUUAAGGUCGGCUUCAAUGAAACAACCCACCAUGUACUCCUACAUGGCCUCUCAUCGAUACCUUUACCAAAUCGUGUUCACCACAUCACUCUCAUUACCGACAUGAUCAUUUCACUCUAGCCCAUCACCCAGAUGAACCAGACCUGACACGACUCUAAGCAUAGCAGGCAUAGCAAGGUAGGAACAACACAUACAUAUGGCUCAAUCAAUUCCUACACAUGCUAGUGGGUUUCAUCUAGUUACUGUGGCAAUGACAGGUCAUGCAGAGGAAAUGGGUUCAACUACCGCAGCACAUAGUAGUUUGAAACGCGUUGUCUUAAUGCAGUAAAAGAGAGCAAGAGCGAGAACAUGGGAUUGUAUCGAUAUGAUCAAAUGGUUGGUUGCUUGCCUGAUGGUUCGAUGCACUGAUAUGGUUCUUCGCUAGGGUAAUCACGGUACUCCUCGGAGGCAGAACCUGCCGCAAAGAACACCGAUACACAGCCAUCACGAAACAAUGUGCGACAAUAUGAUGCAUGCAUGAAACAUGGCAAUAUGAGUGUGUUGGGCUAAUGCAACUAAGACCAGAAGGGUUUGAACCAAUUUGAACCAAAGAUUCAAAUUUCAAACUCAUACAUGGCCCUUUAAAGUGUUUUAUCUUGUUCUGCAUUAAACAUCAAGUUAGCUUGCUUAAACAUGCAUGAAACUAGUACAGAUGGAUAGAUUGGAUUUUUUUGAUCAUUUUUCAUAUAUAACUUGUUUGAUUUGGAGUUACAGAUUAAAAGUUAUGAAUUUUUGAAGUUUAAACUAUAUUCUGGAAUUUCCUAUAUUAGAAUAAAUCCAGAAAUUAAUUUAUUGCGUCAGCCAUGCGUCAGAAUGACGUCAGGGUCAACGGAGACGUCCAGGUCAAACCUGACUGUGGGUCCAGGGCUGGGCCCCACCUGUCAUUGACUCAUCGGAGUCAACCAGGGCCCACCGUGGUCGAAGUCAACGUCGGCUGCACCGGCGUCUAGCCGCCGGCGAGCCCGACGCAGCGGCGGAAGUGGUUUUGGCCGUUUCGGCAACCAAACGAGCCGCGGAGGGUGGCUAUGGGUAGCUGGGAACAUGCCGCAGCUUCUGGUGGAGUCGGUUGGGGUCGGGGCGGCCGGAAUCGGCGCCGGCGACGACUUUGGCGGCCACCGGAGUUCGGCCGAAGGCGAACUUGAGGUUAGAGGGGUCGGUGAGGUGCGGGGAGUAGUUGGUUAGGUGCUACGUGACGUGGUGAGCACGAUGGACACCAAGUGGUGGCCGGAGGGUGACAGGGAGCACGUCGGCGACGAGCUCCGCGGCGGUGCGUGCGGUUGAGCUCCGGGAGGUCACUACAUAGCUCGGGGCAAGAAAAGAAGGGAGGGGAAGAUGGUUAAGCUCACAGGGAGUUCGACGAAACACUUGGUGCGGCCGGGGACGGGCCGGAGCGACGACGGUGUUGAAGGGGAUCUCCGGCGACGGCGGUUCGGUCGAGGUCGAUGCGGUGGACUCGGGCCUUGCGAGCGCUCGGGGCUCAGCUUGCUCGAAGGAGAGGAGGGUGGCGGAGCUCCUGGACACGGCGACACGGCGUGGGGUUGGCGGAGGGCGUGGCUACGGCGAGGGGGUGGCGGCGAUGGCGUCGGCCAUGGCGUGGGAGAGCGAGGGAGAGGAGUUGGGGGAGAAUGGAGGUGUCCUGGGGGUUCACGGCUCGACGUGGAGUUCAUCCAGCCAGCAACGAGGCAAGGAGGUGAAGCAGGGCGAUGGCCAGCUGCGUGGCGCAUGCUGCGGCCGCCGUCGGGCACCUGCCUGCCUGCCUGGCCAGCAAGCAGCUCGCUGGCGCGGCGCUGGGCUGGGCCGGCAGGUGGGCCGGGUGCUGGGCGCCAGGUAAGUUUUCUGUUAUUCCCUGUUUUCUGUUUUUUAAUUCCUCUGCAACUUUGUUGAAUUAUUAAAAAUACUUAGGCAACUCCUAAAAUCACCAAACUACUCCCGGUCCAUAGUUGGAUUAUUUCCAACAUGAAACAUUUUAGUUUGGAGAUAUUUGAGCAUUUGAAAUAUUUUAUAUAAUUUUAAAUGCCCAAAUUCAAAUAUCUAUGAUUUAAUUCAAAGACCCUAAGAUGACCUAGGAAAAUGUGCAUCACUUCUGGCAGAGGUUUUGAACCAAGACAAAAAUGAUGGGCAUUUUAGAAGGGCAUUUCAGGUUCAUUGAAAAAGUUUUUAGUAAACCCUAGUUGAUUUCAGAGGGGGCUGGGGGUUCUGUCAUCCCCAUUUCAGGUUUCUGAUGAAAGAAUAGACAUGAUGCAACACUCUAAUGCAUGAACUAGCUAGGGUGUGACAACUCACCCCCACUCAAAAGAAUCUCAUCCCGAGAUUUGGGUUCCUCUGGAAAGAAGGCGGGAUACUCGAGUCGAAGACGAUCCUCCCUUUCCCAAGUUGCUUCAUCCUCAGAAUGGUGCGACCAUUGAACUUUGAGAAACUUGAUAUUAUGACGUCGAGUGGUACGCUCGGCCUGAUCGAGGAUACGAAUGGGGUACUCUCGAUACGUGAGAUUAUCUUGGAGAUCAAGCGUUUCGUGGUCCACUCCACGGAUAGGAUCCGAGAAGCAACGCCUGAGUUGAGAAACGUGGAAGACAUCGUGGACUCUGGAGAGAUGCGGAGGUAGUUCCAACUGGUAGGCAACUUCUCCUCGUUUAGCGAGAAUACGAAAAGGUCCAAUGUAACGGGGAGCCAAUUUGCCUUUGAUACCGAAACGCUGGGUUCCCUUCAGAGGAGUAACCCGAAGGUAAGCCUUCUCGUCAACCUCAAAAGUCAUAGCCUUAUGUUUUCGGUCAUAUUGACUCUUUUGACGAGAUUGGGCUGUUUUCAACUUUUCACGAAUGAUGCGAACUUGCUCUUCUGCUUCCUGGAUCAUAUCCGGGCCAAAGAAUUGUCGUUCCCCGGUUUCUGACCAAUUAAGGGGUGUUCGACACCGUCGUCCAUAGAGAACUUCAAAAGGGGCUUUACCCAAGCUAGAUUGAUAGCUGUUGUUGUAAGCAAAUUCGGCAAAUGGAAGGCAUUUCUCCCACUCCAUUCCGAAUGAGAUAACAGAAGCUCGAAGCAUGUCUUCUAGAAUCUGGUUGACACAUUCUACUUGACCACUUGAUUGAGGGUGAAAAGCGGUGCUAAAGGAAAGGCGGGUUCCCAUAGCAUUUUGGAAACUUUCCCAAAAUCGACAGUGAAAAGACUUCCUCGAUCCGAGUUAAUUUCCAAUAGAACACCAUGGAGAGACACUAUUCGGGAGAUGUAUAAGUCUGCCAAUUGACUAGCGGUUAUACUCUCACGAACAGGUAAGAAAUGGGCUACCUUGGAAAGACGAUCGACAACGACGAAGAUAGCAUUAUUCCCUCUCUUGGUCCUGGGAAAACCGGUGAUGAAGUCCAUACCAAUUUUAUCCCAUUUCCAUUCAGGAAUAGCUAGGGGUUGAAGGGUGCCAGUAGGCCGUUGAUGCUCUGCUUUUACACGACGGCAGACGUCGCAGUUAGCAAUAUACUGAGCAAUUUCUCUCUUCAUCCUAGUCCACCAGAACCUCUGGCGUAGGUCCUGAUACAUCUUAGUGCUACCGGGAUGAAUAGUGAGAGGAGAUUCAUGAGCUUCCUUAAGGAUCAAUCGCCUCAGGUUUCGCACCUUGGGAACCACUAGCCGAUUCCCGAAGUAUAUGACCCCUUGAUCAUCAAUGGAGAAACAAUUCGCAACUCCUUUCUUGAUGUUUCUCUUGAUGCGGGAAAUUCCCGGAUCUACCUUCUGUGCUUUGAUGAUUUGAUCCAUAAGGGUAGGUUUCGCCACCAUGGUGGAAAGGAAUCCUUGAGGAACAAUGUGAAGGUUAAGCUUCCGAAAUUCCUCAUGGAGAAGCGGUUGACUUUGUUGUAACAUCAGGUUGUUACAAUAAGAUUUACGACUUAGCGCAUCAGCCAUGACGUUGGCUUUCCCUGGGGUGUAAGUUAUUCCUGAGUCGAAAUCUAUGAUCAACUCAACCCAACGUCUUUGCCUGAGAUUCAAAUCCGGUUGGGUGAAGAUGUACUUCAGACUUUGAUGAUCAGUGAAUAUCUCGCAACGAUUACCGAGGAGGUAAUGUCGCCAGGUUUUAAGUGCAUAGACUACAGCUUCAAGCUCUAGAUCAUGAGUAGGAUAAUUCUCCUCAUGUGGGUGCAAUUGCCGUGAAGCGUAAGCAAUUACGUGUCGAUCUUGCAUGAGAAUACAGCCUAGUCCUUGUCGCGAGGCGUCGCAGUAGAUAACAAAGUCCUUAGAGAAAUCUGGCGGUACCAAUACGGGAGCAGAUGUCAGGCGUCUUUUCAGUUCCUGAAAGCUGUGCUCACAUUGUGGAGUCCAUUCGAACUUUUUAUCUUUCUUGAGGAGUUCGGUUAGAGGUUUUGCAACUUUGGAGAAAUUUUCGACAAAGCGACGGCAAUAGCUCGCUAAGCCCAGAAAACUCUGAACUUGCUUGACCGAUUCAGGUGGUCCAAUUAAGGACGGCUUGAACUCGCUCAGGGUUAACAGCAAUACCUUUACCAGAUAUUACAUGACCCAGAUAGGUCACUUCUGACAACCAAAAUUCACAUUUAGAAAAUUUGGCAUAAAGACGAUGCUCUCGAAGUUUCUUCAACACUAGCCUUAAAUGUUCGGCAUGUUCUUCCUCGUUCUUGGAGUAGAUGAGUAUAUCAUCGAGGUAAACCACGACGAAUUUAUCCAAAUACUCCAUGAAGAUUGAGUUCAUUAACCGAGAAAAGGUGGCCGGAGCGUUGGUUAAACCGAAGGACAUGACGGUGUACUCGUAUUGGCCAUAACGAGUAACAAAGGCCGUUUUAGGAAUGUCCCCAUUCCUGAUUUUGAUUUGAUGGUAGCCCAACCUCAAAUCCAUUUUGGAGAAGACUGAGGAUCCAGCGAGCUGAUCAUAUAGGUCGUUGAUCCUGGGGAGCGGAUAUUUGUUCUUGAUUGUGACCAAAUUGACAGGUCGAUAAUCUACAACCAUCCGGUCCGUACCAUCCUUCUUCUUGACGAAGAGUACGGGGCAAGCCCACGGAGAUGAACUAGGUCGGAUGAAACCCUUUUUCAAGGAUUCAUCGAGUUGUUUCUUAAGCUCGGCUAGUUCUAGUGGUGCCAUCUUAUAGGGUCUUCUAGCAAUCGGGACGGUUCCUGGAAUGAGAUCUAUUACGAACUCAACAUCCCUGUCAGGUGGAACACCUGGCAAUUCCUAUGGGAAGACAUCCGGGAAGUCACGGACUACCGGAACGUCCUCAAGGUCUGGCAAAGGGCUGGCGUUAAGAGAAUAUAACUAUCGCUUGGCUAUUCGGGUCAAGACAUUGACUAUCUUCCCCGAAGGAUGGGUGAGUUGAACAGUCCUAGAGAAGCAAUCAAUUUUGGCAUGAUGGGCUGACAUCCAGUCCAUACCCAAGAUGAUAUUAAUAUCCGAAGAUUUGAGGGCUAUCAAAGAUGCGAGAAAAACAAGUCUAUCGACUUGAAUUUCAUUUCCAUGGCUUACUCUAGAAGUUUGCCAUUUGGAUCCCGGAGUUUGAAUUACCAUAGAGGUGGGCAUCUCACAGAAUGUGGUGUUAUGCAGACGAGCAUAGCUUCGGAUAUAAAUGAAUGAGAUGCUCCUGUAUCGAAAAGAACAGAUGCCGGGUGGUAAUUAACAAGGAGCGUACCGAGAACGACGUUGGGAUCCUCUUGAGCUUCUUCGGCAGAGAUACAGUUGACAUGGCCACGUGCAGCGUUGGCCGGCUUGGCGUAGAACACUUUCCCUGUCGGCUUGCCACGGCCAACAGCUUUAGCAGAUUGGUUGGGAUUGGUUUGGGGGCACUCGCGCAUAUAGUGGCCCGAUUCCCCACACUUGAAACAAGUCACGGAACUGGUGCGUGGAGGAGCAUUGUUGGUUGGACCACCAUAGGGCUUGGCUGGUGCAAACUGUUGAAUGGGGCGAGGCGCCUGGAAGGAUGGCCUCGAUGUGAACCUGGGUGGCAGGGCAGUGUUAGGCACCCACACGCGGCGCUUCUGAGGACCAGCACCGGAUGAGGAACCCAUGUCACAGCCAUGCUUGCGUGUUGCGUCGAAAUCAGUCUGACCAGUCUCAGCACUGAUGGCCUUGUUAACAAGCUUCUGAAAAGAUGUGCACUCAUGCAGACGGAGGUCGCGGCGAAGCUCAGGACUAAGUCCCUUACGGAACCUUGCUUGCUUCUUGGCAUCAGUAGAAACUUCCUCAGUUGCAUACCGUGCGAGGUUACCGAACUCCCUGCUGUAAGCAUCCACAGAGAGUCGGCCUUGAGUGAAACUGCAAAAUUCCUCACGUUUACGGUCCAUGAGACCCUCCGGAAUGUGAUGUUCACGGAAAGCCUCGCUGAAUUCAGCCCAAGUAGUGACAUGGUCCGCUGGGCGCAUAGCUCCAUAAUUCUCCCACCAGAGACUGGCGGGGCCUUCAAGAUGAUAUGCAGCAAAGGUGACCUUGUCAGCCUCAGCUACUAGCGCAGAACGCAGUUUGUGAGAAAUACUGCGAAGCCAGUCAUCAGCGUCGAGAGGCUCGACAGAGUGGUGGAACGUGGGUGGAUGUAACUUGAUGAAAUCACUGAGUGACACCAAGUUAGUCCUCUGAUGGUGUGCUGUGUUCUGUUCAAUACGCUCCAACAAACGGUUGGUCUCCCGCUUGUUUCUCUCGGCUUCCAGCAUAACUUCGGCUAGGGAAGGAGGGUGAGGCAGGUUUGCAUUCCCGACUUCACUGCCUUCGGCCUGCUCUUGGGAAGCAGGGUUAUUGCGCGUGUUGACCAUCCUAGGUAAACAAGACAAUGAUUUAGUCAGAAUGAUAAGAUUCCGACAUAGAAUACAGAAUGUAAGGAAUAACUCGGAAUGCAAGAUGAUCAUCCGUAUGACAUGGUAGAUACAGAAACUGCUUCUUUUAUUCCAUCGUCAUACACACCAUACAAGGUUUAGUACAAGACCAAACAAGGUACUAUUACGGUGAAAAGAGGAUUACAUCUCAUCGGAGGCAUCCCAAGCUCCUAUACAUUACUUUUCUACACCUCCGGAAGGCGGUACAAACUAGGUCAUAUCCCACGAGUCACGUAGGACGAUAGACGACACAGCUAGUACAAACUAGUGAUACUACCACUAACUCAGACCGAUCCGUAGUAGUCCUUGUAGAAGUCACCACCAUAGCCUGGAAGCUCAACAUGAUCAUCCGGAAACAGACGAUCUCGCGGAGCUUGUGGACCAUAGGGGCUAGAAUGAGGUCUUGGACCAACAAACGGUGGCCUGCGGGGACCACGAGGUGGGGUGAUGCCUCCUACAUCACGCCAACCCAUCACGUCUGGCAGAGCAGAUCUCACAGGAUAGAGGUCGCGCAUAUCCGAAUAUCCAGCUUGCACAGCCGGUGCAAACCGAGUCAAAGUGGCCCAAUGGUCAGCACGGGUAUUGAAAAGCUCUAGCCUCAAGGCCCGAUUUUCACGGUCCUUAUCCUCGAGCAUCUCAGCAGUGGUGCGAGUCCGUGAAUCCUCCUGAGUGGGGUCAGCAUAGAUAGCCUGGAGAUACCCUUGUGCUCCCGGAAGUGAUGCUGGCAUAUACCGGAAAUCAGAGUCCCGAAAUAGGCCAGUCCUGACUCGCAUGAUGGUCAUCAUAGAGUAGGCGGCAUCCUGCACAGCCAUCUCAAUAGUAACCCCGAGUCCAUAGGAGCAGUGAAGGGGCUCGAUGGAUCCACGAUAAGAUGGAAAUAUCCUGACAGUGCAAAGAUACUGGCUUUGAUUAAAGUCUCGAAAUUGCUCUUCGACCGUGUACUCAGGAUACCAACGGUAUCCAGCCUCAGUCAUUACCCUGACCAACAUGGCAGUAUGGCCGGGUACAUCUAGGCAUCGAGUCAGGCGAACCACUUGAUUGAGGUCGCGAGUGGCCAUCUGAAAGCACAACCAUAAUGCAAAGGCAUUAGAAUUUCUAGCAAAAUUUCGACGGCAUAACGGCUGUAAAUGCUCAAAAGGAUUUUGAGACAUUUGACAAAGGAUUUCAUACACACUCAACAACAUCAUAUCAAAGUUCUGGGUCCAUCCUAGCAACAUAAUGUGGUAGUAGAACUGAACUAGGCUUGUAUCCAUCAAACCUAUAAGGUACUACUGAUUAGUAACACGUGAACCUGAUAGAGAGAAAAGAUCCUAAUUCCUUAACCCCCGAUGGAAGAAUAGACUGACUCAGAUCAGAAUGUCAUAAGAUAAAGGAGUAAAAAGAGCCUUACGUUCCAACCCACAAACAAUUCCCCUACAUAUAACUAAAGAAUUUCUAGACUCAACAUCGACCAGUUUGGCUUGGAGAACCUACAGGCAGUCCGGCUCUGAUGCCAACGCUGUCAGGACCCCGACUCAAUGUCACAUCGAUCUAGCCUGUAACACCUCAUAUCACUUUGCGGCCUCACGCACGGUAUCCCCACGGGUGUCGCCUUACCUUUAGCCGGGACUGUUUGCGCCUUUUGGCUCACGUAUAUGAUAGUGUCACUAGCAUCCAUAUGAUAAGGAGCCCGGGCUGACAUGACUAGUCGUAAACCCAAAGUGGCACAGACUUACAGGGACAGGCAUCCAUGACCCAGCAUCGAACGUGUCGGUCAUCAGCAAGUGGGUCCGGGCUGUAGCACUGGGCUAGCAGGACUCCGGUAAACUGGGCUGUAGCGGGCUGACAGGCCUCCGGUACUCAAUGCGUGACAUUUCCCUGAAGGGACAGACACAGGAACGAAGAAGGACACAUGCCGGUCAGCCUAAGUGUUCCGGAGCAGUAGCAAGCUACCAUGGCUCAGUGGAGACACUAGGAGACAUUUCCCGGUAAGAGAGGCUACUAAGAGUAAACAACUAGAUAGUCAGAUCCCACACAUACCAAGCAUUUCAAUCAUACACACAAUAUGCUCGAUAUGUGCAAAUACAACAAGGCAUCACAACAUGACUCUACGACACAAGUACUUUAUUUAAGGCUCAGAGAGCCAUACAUAACAUACACAUAAGUACGGGUCACACGACCCAGCAUUCAAGUCAUACAGUCAUACAAACCAGCAGCGGAAGUAACUUGUCUGAGUACAGACAACUAGUAAAAUAAAAGAGGCUUGGAAAGCCUAGCUAUACUACGUGGUCCUUCACAAGCUCAGGAUCACCACCUGGGCCUUAGCCUACUCAUUGAUGUCAACGUCUACGAAGAACCCAUCAGAAGGGGUUGCAGCGUCUUCUGUAAAAAUGUAAAUUAUAGCAACAUGAGUACAAAGGUACUCAGCAAGACUUACAUCAGAUCCUACAUACAUGCACAUUAUCAAGAAGGGUUGGAGGAGUUAUUGCAGCAAGCCAGCUUUGACUCUUGGCUAGGCUAUCCUACGAGACUCCAACUUGAAAUGGUUUUGCGCACACGAGUCCACUACUCACCACUUCAAUACACUACCGAGGAUCCACCUCCGUCUUCCUACGGAAGAGCCAUCCUCGGCACUCACACUUAUCUUGAGGCUUUUCAUAGUUUCCAUUUACUUGUCUAUGAACUGUAUAGGCAACCAAUUAGUCCUUUACCGCGGACGCGGCUAUUCGAAUAGAUCAUGAUAACCCUGCAGGGGUGUACUUCUUCAUACACGCUCUCACCACUUACCGUCGUUUACACGACAUGUACUCGGCAACCUUCAAGCGGAAGCCCAACGUGGGUGUCGGCCACGACCUACCUAAUCACCUAAGUAUCUAAUCCAGGUUUAUCGCCUAUCCAGGUUCCAUCCGCAGGGAGUCCGGCCGAGGUUUCCCAUACGGCCCCGAACGAUGUGUACAGGGUUCCCGAGAUACCUAACGGGUAUUCGGUACACCGUGCCACGUACCUACCGCAUCACAGCCCACCCCUACGGUCAGCGCUGUCCACGGCCUCCAGUAGGCUACAAACACCAGAAACUACUUGCAACUCCUGGACAGAGAACUAGGGUGAAUAAGAAGCCGAGAGGGUCCAUUGGUUUCACGCCCAAUGUAUGGUAGUAGCUGAUUCUUAAAUCACACAUACAGAUCUCAGUGCUUAAGGUCGGCUUCAAUGAAACAACCCACCAUGUACUCCUACAUGGCCUCUCAUCGAUACCUUUACCAAAUCGUGUUCACCACAUCACUCUCAUUACCGACAUGAUCAUUUCACUCUAGCCCAUCACCCAGAUGAACCAGACCUGACACGACUCUAAGCAUAGCAGGCAUAGCAAGGUAGGAACAACACAUACAUAUGGCUCAAUCAAUUCCUACACAUGCUAGUGGUUUUCAUCUAGUUACUGUGGCAAUGACAGGUCAUGCAGAGGAAAUGGGUUCAACUACCGCAGCACACAGCAGUUUGAAACGCAUUGUCUUAAUGCAGUAAAAGAGAGCAACAGCGAGAACAUGGGAUUGUAUCGAUAUGAUCAAAUGGUUGGUUGCUUGCCUGAUGGUUCGAUGCACUGAUAUGGUUCUUCGCUAGGGUAAUCACGGUACUCCUCGGAGGCAGAACCUGCCGCAAAGAACACCGAUACACAGCCAUCACCAAACAAUGUGCGACAAUAUGAUGCAUGCAUGAAACAUGGCAAUAUGAGUGUGUUGGGCUAAUGCAACUAAGACCAGAAGGGUUUGAACCAAUUUGAACCAAAGAUUCAAAUUUCAAACUCAUACAUGGCCCUUUAAAGUGUUUUAUCUUGUUCUGCAUUAAACAUCAAGUUAGCUUGCUUAAACAUGCAUGAAACUAGUACAGAUGGAUAGAUUGGAUUUUUCUGAUCAUUUUUCAUAUAUAACUUGUUUGAUUUGGAGUUACAGAUUAAAAGUUAUGAAUUUUUGAAGUUUAAACUAUAUUCUGGAAUUUCCUAUAUUAGAAUAAAUCCAGAAAUUAAUUUAUUGCGUCAGCCAUGCGUCAGAAUGACGUCAGGGUCAACGGAGACGUCCAGGUCAAACCUGACUGUGGGUCCAGGGUGUUAGGGUAAUUAGUUUAGUUAAAGUUUAAUUAAAACUAAACCUAUUUAGUUAACAGGGCUGGGCCCCACCUGUCAUUGACUCAUCGGAGUCAACCAGGGCCCACCGUGGUCGAAGUCAACAUCGGCUGCACCGGCGUCUAGCCGCCGGCGAGCCCGACGCGGCGGCGGAAGUGGUUUUGGCCGUUUUGGCAACCAAACGAGCCGCGGAGGGUGGCUAUGGGUAGCUGGGAACAUGCCGCAGCUUCUGGUGGAGUCGGUUGGGGUCGGGGCGGCCAGAAUCGGCGCCGGCGACGACUUUGGCGGCCACCGGAGUUCGGCCGAAGGCGAACUUGAGGCUAGAGGGGUCGGUGAGGUGCGGGGAGUAGUUGGUUAGGUGCUACGUGACGUGGUGAGCACGAUGGACACCAAGUGGUGGCCGGAGGGUGACCGGGAGCACGUCGGCGACGAGCUCCGCGGCGGUGGGUGUGGUUGAGCUCCGGGAGGUCACUACAUAGCUCGGGGGCAAGAAAAGAAGGGAGGGGAAGAUGGUUAAGCUCACAGGGAGUUCGACGAAACACUUGGUGCGGCCGGGGAUGGGCCGGAGCGACGACGGCGUUGAAGGGGAUCUCCGGCGAUGGCGGUUUGGUCGAGGUCGAUGCGGUGGACUCGGGCCUUGCGAGCGCUCGGGGCUCGGCUUGCUCGAAGGAGAGGAGGGUGGCGGAGCUCCUGGACACGGCGGCACGGCGUGGGGUUGGCGGAGGGCGUGGCUACGGCAAGGGGGUGGCGGCGAUGGCGUCGGCCAUGGCGUGGGAGAGCGAGGGAGAGGAGUUGGGGGAGAAUGGAGGUGUCCUGGGGGUUCACGACUCGACGUGGAGUUCAUCCAGCCAGCAACGAGGCGAGGAGGUGAAGCAGGGCGACGGCCAGCUGCGUGGCGCAUGCUGCGGCCGCCGUCGGGCACCUGCCUGCCUGCCUGGCCGGCAAGCAGCUCGCUGGCGCGGCGCUGGGCUGGGCCGGCAGGUGGGCCGGGUGCUGGGCGCCAGGUAAGUUUUCUGUUAUUCCCUGUUUUCUGUUUUUUAAUUCCUCUGCAACUUUGUUGAAUUAUUAAAAAUACUUAGGCAACUUCUAAAAUCACCAAACUACUCCUGGUCCAUAGUUGGAUUAUUUCCAACAUGAAACAUUUUAGUUUGGAGAUAUUUGAGCAUUUGAAAUAUUUUAUAUAAUUUUAAAUGCCCAAAUUCAAAUAUCUAUGAUUUAAUUCAAAGACCCUAAGAUGACCUAGGAAAAUGUGCAUCACUUCUGGCAGAGGUUUUGAACCAAGACAAAAAUGAUGGGCAUUUUAGAAGGGCAUUUCAGGUUCAUUGAAAAAGUUUUUAGUAAAGCCUAGUUGGUUUCAGAGGGGGCUGGGGGUUCUGUCAUCCCCAUUUCAGGUUUCUGAUGAAAGAAUAGACAUGAUGCAACACUCUAAUGCAUGAACUAGCUAGGGUGUGACAGUGUUAUAUAUUGUCAUUGAUAGUUAUGACACCCGAAGGACCGGGCAUCUUCAACUUGAGGUACGUGUAAUGCGGGACGACGUUGAAUUUAGCGAACGCCAUUAGGCCGAGGAGGGCGUGAUAGCCCCUGCAAAAUGGUGCAAUGUCAAAGAUCAAGUCCUCACUAUAGAAAUUGUCCGGAGAGCCGAACACUACUUCAAGUGUCACAGUGCCUGUGCAGCGGGCCUCCACUCCCGGAAUAACCCCUUUAAGGUGGCGUUACGUGGUUUGAUCCUUGACGGGUCGAUCCCCAUCUUCCUCAUAGUGUGUUCAUAUAGCAGAUUGAGGCUACUGCCUCUGUCCAUUAGGACUCUAGUGAGGUGGAAUCCAUCGAUUAUGGGUCGAGUACUAAGGUUGUGGAUCCUCCGUGUCGUAUGCUGGUUGGGUGAUCCCUACGAUCGAAAUUGAUCGAGCAGGCUAACCACGGGUUGAACUUCGGCGCUAUGGGCACGACGGAAUAUACGUCUCGCAGCCCUCGCUUCCUCUCCUUCUUUGCUAUGUGGGUUGUGUAGAUCAUGUUUACCGUCUUGACCUCGGAAGGGAAGGGUUCCUGGCCUCCACAAUUCGGCAUGCAGGGCUCUUCAUCGUCCCUCCUUCAUGGGCUUUUGCCCGAGUCUUCGGCUGUGAGCUUGCCAGCCUGCUUUAUCACCCAAAAAUUACGGUUGGAGUGGUUAGCGGGCUUUUCUGGCGUGUCGUGGAUAUGGCAGGUCCUGUCCAGAAUUGCGUCUAGUCUAGAUGGGCCAUUGCCGUUGCCUUUAGGGGCUUUCUUUCGAUGUCCAGACUUCGGGUUUCUGAACCCGGAAUUUAGUGCCAUAUCAUUUCCUUCACCGUCAUUGUGGUGACGUUUACUCUUGGUAUGUCGCGGCUUCCCAUUAGCAUCUCGAACCUUGGAGGUACCGGGUGUGUCGUGGUUGGUGCUUUUACGAGUGAGCCAACUGUUUUCGCCUGUGCAAAAGCGGGUCAUGAGAGAAGUAAGGGCAGCCAUAGUUCUUGGUUUAUCCUAAGCAAGCUGUCUUAUGAGCCAUUCGUCCUUGACGCUAUGCUUGAAAGCAGCCAAGGCUUCGGCAUCUGGGCAAUCGAUAAUCUAGUUCUUCUGGUCAGGAAUCGGUUCCAAAACUGCCGGCAGAUUCUCCGGGCUCUUGCGUGAUGCGGUUUAGGUCGUCCGCGUCCAUAGGCCGGACAUAGGUGCCCUGAAAGUUCGCUCGAAAAGCGUCCUCAAGCUCUUCACAGUAGCCUAUAGAGUCUUCGAGAAGGCUGUUCAACUAGUGCCAAGCUAGUCCUUUAAGCUUUAGUGGUAGAUAUUUGAUGGCGUGGAGGUCAUCUCCUCGCGCCAUGUGAAUGUGGAGGAGGAAAUCAUCUAUCCAUAUGGCCGGGUCUGUGGUUCCUCAUAUGGUUCGAUGUUCACAGGCUUGAUGCCUUCUAGGAACUGGUGUUGCAUUACCCUCUCUAUGAAGCACAGGGGGUGUCGGUGCCUCAAACUCGGGCUACAUCGCAUUGGAGGUCUUCAGACAUCCAAGUCCACUGCUACUCCCGGACUCUAUCGUUUCAGUUUGGACAAUUGUAAUAUCCAUCCCGUUGAGUGGCUCGAUUUUCUUUGGGUCCGUAGAUGGACCUGGUACGGCCUCCUUGAGCAUCUAGGUCAUGGCGGAGGUUGUACUCAUAGGUGGGCCGCACUUGAUCCUUGAUGUAGCAGCAAGGUGAGGCGGCGUGGUGCUCGUCCUUGUCAGCUUCUCUGUCCCACCCUCUAGGGGGUGGUCCGGCUAUUCGGCGCAUGUGUAUGUCAGACGUGUGGGCUCUAUUUUUUGACUGGAAACUGUGAGGCAACAGCCCCACAGUGCUUUAUUGAACUCAACCCACAAAAUAGAAAAAGGUUUUGGUAAGUAAAGUUAGACUACUUACCUAUGGUCCUAUGUACAUAAUUACAUGCUGGAUUACAUAAUUACAAGGAGCCAUCUAGGGCAAAGAAUUAAUCCAAAGUAAUAGCAAAGGCUUUAAACUAGGCUUGAAUCUGUGGGAUAGCAAGGUAAUGUCAUGGAUGAAAUUCCUCCUCCAUGCUACAAAGGUAGGUCUCUCAUUUCUGAAGAUUCUUCCAUUCCUCAACAACCAGACAUUCCAAGCAGCUAGAUAAACAACCUCUUUGAAGAAAGGCUGGCCAAAGCACUUCUUGGCAGCAAUCAGGCACUCUGAAGGAGACAAACCAGCUAGCCACUGAAUUUUUAAAUAAUUCCAGACCCUUGAGUUGAAUUGACGGGUAAAAAAUACAUGAUCUCUGUCCUCAUGUGCUUGAGCAUGACACAAGGGGCAAGUGUUGUCCUCCUGAGGCGAUCUCCAAUGCCUCCUAACUAGAAAAUCUCUACUGUUGAGGCUAUCACUAAGCAUUAACCACGCAAAAACCUUGAUUUUCAUUGUGGAUCUACUUUCCCAAAUCCAUUUGGCCGGCAUAUCAGUAGGAAGGUGGGCAUGCAUUGUUGCAUAGUAACUCUUGGCCGAAAAUUUUCCUUUGCUUGGGGUCCAUGACCAAGAAUCAUUGAUGUUGUCAUCAAUAUUCAUGUCAAGUAGACCAUUCUGAACAGUGCUCAUUUCCUCCAUUGCUUCUGGUGAUAAGAGCAGAUGGAAUAGCUCAGACAUAUCAAGAGUGUUGAGAACAUCUCUUACAGAGACCUUAUCAUCAAUGGCAAAUAGAGAAGAGCCUGGGAAACCUCUCCCUGAGAGGAACAGAUGAUCCCAAGAAAAUCCAAGCAUCAAACCAGAAAAGAACAGAGUCCCCCCAUGUUUAUAGUAAGCUCACAGUGUAGCCUAAAAGCUUAAUUAAGUUUGAUGAUAUCCCUCCACCAAAAGGAGCCACACAACACUGUUCUAUGGGGCACAACUCCAUCAUAAUAGGUGUUCCAAAUGAGAGACACCCAAGGAAUAUCUGCUUUGUUAUAAAACUUAGAUAGAUGUUUGGUAAGGAGGGCUCUGUUCUGGAUGUUCAGGUUAAUAAUACCCAUGCCACCUUUAUCUUUACGCCUACAAACUAGAGGCCAUGUUGCCAAGGAUUGUCUAGGAGUGUCAGAGUUGCCUCUCCAUAAGCAUUGUCUCAUAAUUCUUUCAAUUUGCUUGAUAAUACCAGCUGGUAGACAUAAACUGAAAGAAAAUAUAUGGGCAAGGAAGACAAAACUGAUUGAAGCAAUUGUAAUCUAGCCCCUUGAUUGAGAAGGCAAGAGCUAGCAAAAAGUCUUCUUUCAACCCUAUCCACUACUGGGAUUAAGUCCUGGAUCUUAGGUUUAGUUGUGCCCACAGGGAGCCCAAGAUAGGUAAAAGGUAGGUUCCCAACCUGACAACCAGAAACAGCAGCCAAUCUUGCAGUUUCUGACUCAUCCACAUUUAUAGGCAAAAUACAUGACUUAUGAUACUCAACUUUGAGACCAGUGGGGGCAUGAAAAUCUUGCAGCAUGUCCUUAAGAGCCAGAACUUGUGAGUCCACAGCAGGCACAAUGAGGAGUGUAUCAUCAGCAUACUGAACAAUAGGAAAAUCCUGAUCAUGGGUUUGAAUGGGCAAAGUAAUCUCUCCAUUUCUCAGCAUGUUAUUCACCAAAGUUUGUAGCACAUCAACUGCAAGAACAAACAAAAGGGGUGAAAGAGGGUCUCCCUGUCUCACACCCCUUUUACAGAUAAAUUGUUUUCCCGGCACUCCAUUCAGAAUGACAGAAGAAGUACCAGAUGACAAAAGCUAUCAAAUCCAGCCAAUCCAUUUGCUGUCAAAACCUUCAUGAUGCAGAACCUUGAGGAUAAGGUCAUGUUCCACAGUAUCAAAAGCCAAAAUCUAACUUUAGAAUCAAAAUGGGUUUUUUGGAGUUAUGGCACUAAUGAAUGUACUCCAAUGUCCAAGCAAUGCAGUCCUGGAUAGACCUGGACUUCAAAAACCCAUAUUGAUUCUUGUGAAUGCACCUUAAGAUAACCUUUUGCAAUCUAUUUGUUGGGAUCUUUGUUAGAAAUUUCAAGCAGGUAUUUGUAAAAGAAAUGGGCCUGAAGUCAUUGGGACCCUCAGGUGACUGCUUCUUUGGAAUCAAAGUAAUCAGAGACACACUAAUGUUGCUAAUUGUAAUCUUUCCAUCAUAAAAGUCCUGAAAGAGUUGCAAAAAAUCCUGCUUGAUAAUAUGCCAACAUCUCUUGACAAACAAACCAGUGAAGCCAUCAGGGCCAGGCGCCCGAUCAGUGGGUAAAAAAUUGAGAACCUCAUUUAUUUCAUCCUCGAAAAAAGGAGCAGACAAAUUGUCUUGUCCAUCCACGGGCUCAAUCAAGGAGUCUAGAUCAAACCUCAUAUCAAUCCCUGUAGAAACACCCAUUCUUUCUCUCAAAGUGCCCCAUAACAUACCAGCCGUUUGUUGAUGAUCAGAAACAAUAUUUCCAUCAUCAUCUUAUAGUGAAGAAAUAGUGUUCUUCCUGAAUCUUUCAGUGGGAAUUGCUUGGAAAAACUUUGAGUUUUCCUCCCCAACUUUGAACCGUUGGAUAGUGCAUCUUUGCUUCCAAUAUAUGAACUGCAAAUGAAGAAGGUCUUCAAUAUGGAGCUUUACAAUUUUCCUGAAAUUGAACUCAGGUCUUGUUAGAGGCCUCAAUUCCUCCAAAUUAUCAAGGAAUAAAACCACCUCAUUGCCAGCUUGAAUGGCCUUCUUAAGUUUGGACAAGCUGAUAUACCAUUGCUUUAGAGCAUAUCUCAGCCUUUUGAACUUCUCAGUUAGCUUAGCUGCAGCAUUAGAUUUCUUUGUUGGAGUAUUCCAUGACUAUUCCAGACAUUCAAAGAAACCAGGCAGAUCCACCCAAUAAUUUUUGAACCUAAAGAUUUUGGCCAUUGGUAUGGAUGUAGCAAUGGAGACUACACAAGGUACAUGAUCAGAGGCAGUUCUUACAAGAGGGUGGACCAUUGUGUUGGGGUAAUCAUUAAUCCAAGUGGAGGAAGUAAAAAACCAAUCAAGUCGUUCAAGCAAGGGAUUUUCUUGCAUGUUGGACCAGGUAUAAGAUCUUCCUUUUAGAGGCAGCUCAAGAAGGCCAAGGUGGCCAAUUAUCUCAUUAAAAAGGAAAAUAUCAUUGAUGUCUCCUCCAGGCAAAUUUCUGUUGUCAAGAGAUCUUAUGAAAUUAAAAUCUCCCACAAGAAGCCAAUUAUGAUCCACUGGAAUGUCCAAAUUAUAUAGCCACUGAACAAAAUCAUCUCGAGGAGGCCCUUGACAAGGCCCAUAAACAUUAACCAAAGUCCAUUGACUUGCAUUAUGCACAGAAGUGAAUGAAACUAUGAUUCCACAAGGCUAUGUGUCCACAAGAAUGCCAGAGAAAACAUUGGAGCACCACAACACAAGGAUGCCACCAGAGGCCCCAACAGAGGGUGAGUAGACAAAGUUAUCAAACCUUCUGGGGCAAAAUUUUCUAAUUGCUCGCUGAUAAAAAAAUCACAUUUAGUUUCUUGCAAGCAAAUAACAUAGCACUGAAUUUCCUCAAUUUUAGCUCUAACACUUCUUUGUCUAUCUUCAGAACUUAACCCUCUUACAUUCCAACAAAGCACUCUCCAAUCUCUUGUUUGGUGUGCAUCCAUUAAUAAACAUUAAUGUAGAGGUAGAUAUAAUAGUUCACUGCAUAACAGUGAAACAAAAGCCUAAUAUUUAAAGUAGCAUCCAAGGACAAAGUGCAGGUAGCAAGCAAAAGAGAAACAAGUUUCAGAUAGGUAGCAUGACAAGGGACAUGCCUCCCUAUAUGACAAUAAAAAGGGUCUAAUCAUCAUUAUGGCCUCGUCGUCGAAUUGUGGCAGCAGUCUUCGCUUGGGACAACUUUUGAUUGGUUGUUCGUGGUCAUACCCUUCUUCGAUGGCUAGAAUUUAGUCCAUCGAUCAUUGAGGGUGUCUUGUUCAGCCUUGAUUCUGCAUUUUUGCAUCUUCAGACUGCGGGCGGCGGCUAGAAGCCUCCGUUUAAACAGCUCUUGCUCGAAUGGGUCUUCGGGGACAAUGAAACCGUCAUCCUCGAGACUAGCCUCUUCCUCGGAACAUGGGAGGUAGUUGCUGUCUUCGGAGUCAUCGGGGUUUUCUGGGUUGACGGGUCCUCCUGCCCCGCGGGAUCAUCCUGGUGAUGUUCGUUAGUUACGGCUCGGACGAGGUCAUCCGUAUUAUUCGCGGUGCCGUUCUCCACAAAGUCCAUGUUGCUCGCAUGGCUUCGACGUGGUUUUGAUCCAAGGGGUGUUUCCUCGGCGCUUGGACGGCUCAUCUCCAGGCUUGUCUUCGUCUUGAUUGGGAGUGCCAUCACCUUCCUUGGGGGUGUCCACCAUGUAGAUAUUGUAGGUGGACGUGGCCGACCAGCGGCCGGUGAUAGGGGCGGCAACAUCGGUGUUAGCCGUGGCUCCAUAUCCUCAUCCAUGUAUUCGGCGGUUUCUGAAUUAUAAUCUAUCAUAUCGGUUAGAUCAUCAGUAGUGGCUACCAAGUGGGUGGUGGGUGGGACAUAAAAUUCCCCGUGGUAUGCCUCGAAGGGUUGAUGGCUGUGGGCGGAGGGUAGGUCCUCCAGGAUGGUCAUUUUUUGGAUUCAGUCAAGCACCUCGUUUAACAUAGCAAGGCUCGCCGAAUUUGAGGGCUCUAGGCCAAAUUCGGUUAUAGCAGGAUGGGGGGCAGUCAGUGCCCUGGCCGGUCCUUGGUUUCCACAGUCCGAUCUAGACUCUGGGUAUGGUGACCGAUCCUUGAGGGGAUCCGAUUGUCACUUGGGACUAAGGACAGGCCUUGGUAUUUCCGAGAUCGAGUUGUUUCAUGCCGGGCGGGACCCCUAGCCCUUGAUUGCUGGCUCCUCGUGGGGGCUCAAGGCCUGGGGAGCGUUGUGACAGAAGGUUUGGCCGAGAUUGACCCUUGGCCUCUGCCUCCUGAUUUUGCCUCAAAGGCCGAGGAUAGGCCCUCCGCAGACAUGACGGAUCCGGCCGAAGGUGGAGUCCAGCCCCUGCUUGAAGCGGAGCCCUCCUGGCUCGAAGCUGUUCAAAGGGCGGGGGCCGAACUGUAGAUAGGAUCGGAGGGGGACUCCAGAGCGGGCAUGGCGAGGCUUGCAAGGGUGCAGGAGGGAGCAGUGAAUCGGGCAAAGACCAGAUCGCCCCGCGUGUCUGCAACGUAUUCCAGAUUACCUAAUCGAGUUCGAUGUUCAGGAGCGAAGUUGUUGAUCUGACCCAAACGACUAGUCGGAUCAUUGUGCAGCAUAAUGGUGUCGAACAUGAAGAGUUGACCGGGACAAAGAAGUCCCCGGAUUUGAUACCUUCUCUUACGGUUAGGCAACUAGUGGAGAGAAGCCUAGCUAUGGCGUGCCAAAAACAACGUUGUAGGCUUAGGAGCCCCACGCCAGCAAUAUGGCGCCAGUGACAAAAAAUACUAGUGGCGUUGGAGCCCACGCCAACAGUAUUAUACGUGUUUCUGGCAUACGAUGUUUGCAACACCACCACUAUAUUCACUCACCUAGCGGCGCACAAUGCAAUUUGCACGCCACGAAUAUGUCGUGCACAAAAAAAGGUUUUUCAACACCAUGUAACAUUUAGCAUUUCACAUUAACACUAAGUACAUACUAUAUAACAGUAGAAUAAUUGAAGAUAAUAGAACAUUAGGAAUUGUUAUUUACGUGGCUGCUAGCUAGCUAUAUAAAGAUCUCACAAACAUAACUAGUUAAUAGAAACCUUACGAGCUAAAACAAUACUAGUACAUAGCGCUAAUACAUAAUUAAACAGUUCAUUCAUGUACUACCCCGCCACACACAUAGUUCAAAAUGAGGUCGAUGACCAACAUCAUCCUCAAGCCAUGGCGCCGGGUGUUCCUGAUGGUGUCUAAGAUGGCCUGUCCAAUUUGAAGAUUCUUUCCGGCAAGGAAAUUGUUCCAUCCCACGGCCCUGAACAUAGUGCGACCGUCCGUGUCCAGUGUGUAAGCAUAGUUGGUGAUGGAGCCCCUUGCCGUAAGGCAUUGUCCAGCAAUGCCCGCUUCAUCCGGCUCAAUGCCACAACUCUCACUUAGCCUCUUAGGUAAUUUCUAAAAAAAGAAAUAUGGUAAAUGAGCAUGUCACAUUACUCCACACUAAGCAUAUCCUCAAAUUCUACACUAAUANNNNNNNNNNNNNNNNNNNNNNNNNNNNNNNNNNNNNNNNNNNNNNNNNNNNNNNNNNNNNNNNNNNNNNNNNNNNNNNNNNNNNNNNNNNNNNNNNNNNNNNNNNNNNNNNNNNNNNNNNNNNNNNNNNNNNNNNNNNNNNNNNNNNNNNNNNNNNNNNNNNNNNNNNNNNNNNNNNNNNNNNNNNNNNNNNNNNNNNNNNNNNNNNNNNNNNNNNNNNNNNNNNNNNNNNNNNNNNNNNNNNNNNNNNNNNNNNNNNNNNNNNNNNNNNNNNNNNNNNNNNNNNNNNNNNNNNNNNNNNNNNNNNNNNNNNNNNNNNNNNNNNNNNNNNNNNNNNNNNNNNNNNNNNNNNNNNNNNNNNNNNNNNNNNNNNNNNNNNNNNNNNNNNNNNNNNNNNNNNNNNNNNNNNNNNNNNNNNNNNNNNNNNNNNNNNNNNNNNNNNNNNNNNNNNNNNNNNNNNNNNNNNNNNNNNNNNNNNNNNNNNNNNNNNNNNNNNNNNNNNNNNNNNNNNNNNNNNNNNNNNNNNNNNNNNNNNNNUACAACAAGCAUAUGUCAGAAAUAAGCAUAUAUAUCAUCAACACUAAGCAUACCACAUUACUACAACCAUAUCACAAGUAAGCAUAUAUAUCAUCAAAUUUCAACACUAAGCAUAUCACAUUACUACAAGCAUAUGUCACAAGUAAUCAUAUAUAUCAUCAAAUUUGAACAUUAAGCAUAUCACAUUACUACAAGCAUAUGUCACAAGUAAGCAUAUGUAUCAUCAAAUUUCAACACUAACAAGUAACAUACCAUGACAUGGCGACACACAUUUGUCCUUGUAAGGUGGGUCACGAAUGGCAUCCCGACGAAGUCAUCAUGUGGAGGAAGUAUGUUCUAGAGGUUGGCCGAUUCUUCCUUGCUUAGCUUGAUUCAUUUGGCAUAGAGGGCUUCAUCAAGUGGGUCAUCAUCUUAGUCAUCAUUGAUGUAGAUAACAGCUAGCCUUGGAGUUUGCCUUCUAAAGGAGAAGUUGAUAAAUUCACCCCCAAUGAGAUGCAUGUGGUUGAUGAAACGAUUCUAGUUAUCUCCUCCAAUUUGGGAUGUUUUUCAUCCCUUGUGGACCUCCAUAGUGUACGCCCCCUAGAGCGUCAAAGAUCACACUAUCUUCGGUAAUGAGCUCAUUGAACUCCAGUCUCACAUUGCAAGGGACGAUCUAUGUAAAAAAAACAAAAAACAAACACAUUGCAUUACGGGAAAUAUGUGUUACGGGAAAAACAAAAGAUAAAAACGGUUAUAAAGGUUCAUCUAAUGUGUUACCGCUGCAAGAACAAAGCACGCUUGAAAGUAGAUGCCAAACAACAUGCCACUCGAAAGGUCGGUUGCACACCUUGACUUGCACACUGGACAUGCCCGUGGCGGUUGCUCCAUUCUACAUAUACUACAAUUGAAACUAAGGAUGUGUUUGAUAGCGAAGUAUUGGCAAAUUAAAGUAUUGGAAAACCACAGUAAUUUAACAAGUAGGUACAAGGGGAUGGUGACGGGUUGGGGCCUAAGUAUAUAAACACUUUGUACACUAGUAAUUGCAUACACAAAUAAAAAAAAAUUGUACACAAAGCUACAAUUUCUAUACUAGUAAUUAUCACUAGCUACAAUUUCUAUGACACAAAGAAAUCCAUGCAACAAACUUUGGAUUCUACAUGACACAAAGCAAUCCAUGAUAUAUAUACUAAAAUUUCAACACAAAUUAAAGCUAUCCCCUAAGGGCAUCUACAAUAUCAAAAAUAUAAAAAAGGCAUCUAACUUUGGAUUCUACAUGACACAAAGCAAUCCAUGAUAUAUAUACUCAAAUUUCUACACAAAUUAAAGCNNNNNNNNNNNNNNNNNNNNNNNNNNNNNNNNNNNNNNNNNNNNNNNNNNNNNNNNNNNNNNNNNNNNNNNNNNNNNNNNNNNNNNNNNNNNNNNNNNNNNNNNNNNNNNNNNNNNNNNNNNNNNNNNNNNNNNNNNNNNNNNNNNNNNNNNNNNNNNNNNNNNNNNNNNNNNNNNNNNNNNNNNNNNNNNNNNNNNNNNNNNNNNNNNNNNNNNNNNNNNNNNNNNNNNNNNNNNNNNNNNNNNNNNNNNNNNNNNNNNNNNNNNNNNNNNNNNNNNNNNNNNNNNNNNNNNNNNNNNNNNNNNNNNNNNNNNNNNNNNNNNNNNNNNNNNNNNNNNNNNNNNNNNNNNNNNNNNNNNNNNNNNNNNAUGACACAAAGCAAUCCAUGAUAUAUAUACUAAAAUUUCUACACAAAUUAAAGCAAUCCCCUAAGGGUAUCUACAAUAUCAAAAAUAUAAAAAGGCAUCUAACUUUGGAUUCUACAUCACACAAAGCAAUCCAUGAUAUAUAUACUAAAAUUUCUACACAAAUUAAAGCAGUCCCCUAAGGGCAUAUAGAAUAUCUAAAAUAUAAAAAAGGCAUCUAACUUUGGAUUCUACAUGACACAAAGUAAUCCAUGAUAUAUAUACUAAAAUUUCUACACAAAUUAAAGCAAUCACCUAAGGGCAUCUACAAUAUCUAAAAUAUAAAAAAGGCAUCUAAAAUGUGACACUGGCCUAGAUUCGCUAAAAUGCGAACAAACGACGUAGGAGAGUGAAGAGGAAUGAAAUGCGAUGGGAGGAGUAUAGUGGAUCUAACCUUGGUGCCGGCGAGGGGGCAGCGACGGGCCGGCAACGGGGCGUCAACGGGACAGCGGCAGCGGUGGCUUUGGUCGGGGGGAGGGGGUGUGAAAUGAGCGAGAGAGAGCGGUGACUAGCUAGGUCUUUUCCUAAGUUGACUUUGAUAUAUUAUCGCUGGCGUUGGGAGAAAGUGCAACGCCAAAGAUAAAAAUAGGCCAAAUAAAAACAGACUAAGAUUAAUAAUGAAAGACUUGACAAAAUAAAAGACUCAUAACUUGUACUGGUAGUAAAGAAAUAAAAUUCCUAAGUUGAUAAAAAAAGUAAAAUUAGUUAUCACAAAACACAUAAUAUAAAAUUUCUAUUAAUAAUUAAAUAUAUCAAACACUUGAUCAAAUGGAAAAGUGUUUUGGCGUACAAAGCAAACGCACGCCAGCACUGACAAAUUAACUCUGUCAUACAAAUAAAACCAACGCCACCAGUGCGUUCCAAACGGUGAGUGCAUAUGGGCCAAAAGAUUUGUGGCAUUUCAAUGAAAAGCAACGCCAACACUAAUCAUAUAAAGUUGGCAUCCUGAUUUGUCCUACGCGAGCACUAUUUGGAAAAAAUAGUGGUAGCAUUGAUGGAAAAUGGCGCGCCAUGAACGAUAGUUGUGGCUAGCCAUUUUACCACUAGUGGGCGAGUCAUCAAUCCUUUGGACAACCCCACAGCGGAACUCUCAAUGAAAGCACCAAUGUCGGUGUCAAAAUCCAUAGACCUCGGGGUAGGGGUCCUAAACUGUGGAUCUGAGAUCGAUGGGGAACAAGGGACGAUGAACACGGUGUUUACCUAGGUUAGGGCCCUCUCGAAGAGGUAAUACCCUACGUCAUGCUUGAUUAUAUUAGAUGUAUAGUAAGGUUUACAAUGUAGAUCUACCCCGAGAUCAGCAUGAGCUAAACCCUAAGGUGAUGAGGUGACGAAUAGCUCCAGCCCUAAAGACUACAACCCUCAGUUUAUAUAGACGUCGGCAGGGUUAGGGUUACCGGAGAUAGAUUACAAUAUGGGCAAAAGAUCUCCUGCCUAUCAUUAACUUGGAGGACACACCACGGCUCCAUAGAUCUCCUAUCGCUAUGCGACUUUACCAGUCCUAUCGGACUCGGGGUUCCGCAUACCCUUGAGAGGUUCGAACACUGGGGUGCGUGCGAAUAACUUGUCCUCCUCAACCUGCCUGCUCGCUGAUCCUACGGCCUAGCUCGACGAACCCAAUGAAUAAGAGACACAGCAGUUUACCCAGGUUCGGGCCACCUUGCGGUGUAAAACCCUACUCCUGCUUUGUGGUGGAUUGGCCUUGAGAGGCUUUGGAUGGACUAGUACAAUGGAUGAACAGCCUCAGGAGGUGAGGUGUUCUUGGGCUCGAUCAGUUGGUGAGGUGGUCAAGGUGGAAUGGAUAUGUCCCUUCUAUGGUGGUGGCUAGGUCCUAUUUAUAGUGGCCUUGGUCCUCUUCACAAAUGUAGGUGGGAAGGGAUCCCACAAUGGCCAAAUUCAAAGGGAGACAACUAGUACAAGUUAUCCUGACAAAAGUAGUCUUUGCCAGCAAAAGCUCCUGGUCAUGACGCUGCGGUGGGCUCUGCGAUGACCUCCGUCUUGCCAUCCUAGCCGUCUUGGUCUUGUUGCACCAAAACGGAAACCUUUGCUUGAUUCCUCGGGACUCCGCGCCUGCGCUUGCCUCCUUAGCACCAAAGAGGAAACUGGUACACUGCGCCUGCUGGCGCCUGCCAGGCCUUGGUCGUCAUGGCUCAUGCCAUAUGAACCUCAUGAGGUGCACCUUGCAUUGAUAUCUCCGCUCGUCGGGAGCCAGCCUGAUGAGGCUGCCCCCAGGGAGGUCUUGGUGUCGUCCGCCUUGCGUGGCUUGGCCCCUCACGAGGGUCUUGGUUUGUCGAUGUUGAAUCUAGGCCAUACUGGGCCGUUGCCAGAACCAUGUCGUGGGCCGCAGGAAGGCAAGUCUGGGCACCCCCGUUCCUAGAUUGCCGAUAGUAGCCCUGGGCCCAAGGCGCGCUCGUACUUGACUUCAAGGCGAAGCCAAAGUGAAGUGUGGAGCGUCGUGGGCCCUAACAGCCUGCGGCCUUGGUCGACGCAUGGCGAUUGAUGGGACGUGGGUGCCUCCGCUUCCCACGCUGCCUCGGCAACCGUCCAACUUGAUGAGACUUCAUCGCAUGCAGGGAAAAUCCAUCAUUGCGUGGGAUCGCGGAGGCCGGCGGUUGGCCUCCCGAGGGCUAUAAAUGAGAGGAGGGGCACGGCCCCUCCUGCUCAUCCCCGUCUUCUCGCCGCCCGCUUCUUCUUCCUCUUUCUUGCCUCACCAUCUUGUUGUAGUCCUCAUGGUGCCGACGAGGAAGUUCUCUGUCAUCGAGAAGGGGAAGGCCCCCAAGGAGGGGCCUAACUCACCACCUCCCAAGAGAUGGCUAGGCCGCCCCCGCAAGCACGUCACGACUCCCGUGGUGACUCCUCGGGGGCGCGGGCGCGCCUUGGCCGGCCGUGGCGGUGUUUCUUCUCGUGGCGGGUGCUGCCAAGGGUGAGGAGGCCCCUGCAAUGAGGGGAGGCUCGCCAUGGUUUCCCACCCUCCUUGGUCGCGCUUCCACUCGGCCAAGGUGCUCCCGGAGUUUUUCGUGUGGUCGGAGAGGCCGGCCGGCACCUGGCUCCUGCUCCCCCGCUUCUUCGCGGGUGAGUUGCCGGCCUCGGGGCCUGACGGCCUCUAGUUGCAGGCUGAUGGCUGUUGCAGCAAGGCUUCAUGGGUAGGGGUCGAAGUUUCCGCCACUGGGGACAUGUCCUUGGCCCGCGGCAGGCAGGCGUUUGCCCCCGCGCGCACCCUAAGUGGGAGGUGCUGAAGGAAAUAUGCCCUAGAUGCAAUAAUAAAGUUGUUAUUUAUAUUUCCUUGUAUCAUGAUAAAUGUUCAUUAUUCAUUCUAGAAUUGUAUUAACCGGAAACUCAGUACAUGUGUGAAUACAUAGUCAAACAGUGUGUCCCUAGUAUGCCUCUACUUGACUAGCUCAUUAAUCAAAGAUGGUUAAGUUUCCUAGCCAUGGACAUGUGUUUUCAUUUAAUGAACGUGAUCACAUCAUUCUAUGGACUAGACCCAUAUGUUAGCUUAGCACUAUGAUCGUUUAGUUUAUUGCUAGUGCUUUCUUCAUAACUUAUACUUGUUCCUAUGACUAUGAGAUUAUGCAACUCCCGAAUACCGGAGGAACACCUUGUGUUCUAUCAAACAUCACAAUGUAACUGGGUGAUUAUAAAGAUGCUCUACAUGUGUCUCCGAUGGUGUUUGUUGAGUUGGCAUAGAUCGAGAUUAGGAUUUGUCAAUCCAUAUAUCAGAGAGUUAUCUCUGGGCCCUCUUGGUAAUGCACAUCACUAUGAGCCUUGCAAGCAAUGUGACUAAUGAGUUAGUCAUGGGAUGAUGCAUUACGGAACGAGUAAAGAGACUUGCCGGUAACGAUAUUGAACUAUCUAUGAUAAUACCGACCAUCGAAUCUCGAGCAAGUAACAAACCGAUGACAAAUGGAACAACGUAUGUUGUUAUGCGGUUUGACCGAUAACGAUCUUCAUAGAAUAUGUAGGAAUCAAUAUGAGCAUCCAGGUUCUACUAUUAGUUAUUGACCAGAGAUGAGUCUCAGUCGUGUCUACAUAGUUCUCGAACCCGUAGGGUCCGCAUGCUUAUUGUUCGAUGACGAUAUGUAUUAUGAGUUAUGUGAUUUGAUGUACCAAAGGUUGUUCGGAGUCCCGGAUGAGAUCAUGGACAUGACGAGGAGUCUUGAAAUGGUCGAGACAUAAAGAUUUAUAUAUUGGAAGGUUAUAUUCGGACACCGGAAUGGUUCCGAAGUGUAUCGGGUAUUUUCCGGAGUACCGGGAGGUUACCGGAACCCCUUAGGGGAUUAAUGGGCCACAAUGGGUCUUAGUGGAGCAGAGAGAGGGCCAGCCAGAGGUGGCGCACCCCCCCCCCCCUGCCCAGUCCAAAUUGGACAAGGGAAAGGGGGGCGCCCCCCCUCCUUCCUUCUCUUCUCGCCUCUUUCCUUUCUUCUCCUUCUUGGACUAGGAAAGGGGGAAACCUACUGCUACUAGGAGUAGGAUUACUCCCCCCUUGGCGUGCCCCUUGUGAUCGGUGAGCCUCAUCCUCCCCUCCUUUAUAUACGGGGGGCACCCCAUAGACACACAAGUUGAUCUUUUAGCCAUGUGCGGUCCCCCCCUCCACAGUUACACACCUCAGUCAUAUCGUCGUAGUGCUUAGGCGAAGCCCUACGUCGUUAACUUCAUCAUCACCAUCACCAUGUUGUCAUGCUGACGAAACUCUCCCUCGGCCUCGGCUGGAUCAAGAGUACGAGUGAUAGAGCCGAGGGUCCCGAUCUUUCGAUGAGAUGAUAACUAUUGAUUUGGUGGAGACGACUUUGACGAUCCGACUACAAACGUGCACGACGUUGCGCCUUAGCAAUCGCUAAACCAAUCUCCUGAGGUUACUGACGAUGCUGGAAGCACGGUCAGCCUGACCACGAAGGUCUAUUCCUGCAAGCAAUCGAAGAACGAGCAAGAAUAUGAUAAAGCAAUCUGAAUAUUGCAAAUAUAUACGAAGUAUUGAUAAUGGUGGGGAUCCGGAAGCGGUCUUGGUCUGGUCGUUGGACACAAACGAAGUACACGAAGUUGCAAUGGCUAACUUUUAACUAAACAAAUCCCAAGGAAAAGCUACUAGAUGGAUCUACUUAUAUAGGAGCAAGGGGUGGCGGCCAAGGAGGUGGGAGGACGUCCCAAGGCAGCCUAAAACUAAAUCUAGGUCGUACAAGGCCAAUGGGCCCAAGUGGAGGUGAUGUAACACCUUUGGACUUGUAGUUUGACUCGGAUUCUGCUGCAACAUCAGAUUGUUUCGUCCACAACUCAACGCCCCGGACGAAUUUGAAGGUGAUUCCAAUUGGGUUGGAAAGUGCACGAAAUCUAGUUUCCAACAAAAAAAGAAUCACCCAAUUCGGAGUCCGUAUGAAAAACUUGUGUGCGUUUUGAGUCAGGUAUGUCUGUGCAGUCCGAAUCUGAAUCCAGAACGUGAGAGACUUGGACUCUAUCUUCUCUUGGGCCAAAAGUGACGUGAGAGAACUUUUUGGACAGCAAAUAAACAUCUCUUUCUUCCUUAUCUUCAUAUGUGGAUUGUACAAAUGUCCCAUAGACCUGCAAUUAGACAAAACACAAAAGUGUGUGAAGUAUUUUUGUUCUGGAUAACAUAAAUAGAUUAUUGAAUAGUUUGCACUAGAAAUCACCUGACAAAUAUGCAUAUAUGCAAUAUUUUUGGUCAUAUCCAAGGUAGUCAUGUCCUCAUCAUCCCACGACCACAAGGUAGUCAUGUCCUCAUCAACGAGGGAUGUCACCGAGCUGAAUGUGUGUUGAUCGCGGAGGUGCCGUACGUUCAGUACUUGGAUCAGUUGAAUCGCGAAAACAUUCAACUACAUCAACCGCCUCACUAAACGCUUCCGCUUUCGGUCUACGAGGGUACGUAGACACACUCUCCCCUCUUGUUGCUAUGGAUCUCCUAGAUAGAUCUUGCAUGACCGUAGGUAAACUUAUUGAAAUACGGUGUUCCCCAACAGGUGCACCCUCCACUUCAUGUACGACGGCGUCGCGACCUUCCAUGUGAGGGUGUUUGGGGAGGACUGCUGUCGCACAGGGUGCUGCCCCGAAGACGAUGGUGGUGACGAUGAGCUUGGCCUUGACGACAGCCGCGACGACGCUGAGGGUGAGCUCGCUCUUGCCGACGGCCGCGACUCGUUCAGCGGUGGCGGCUCCUCUAGCGAGAGCACGUGCAGCGACGUCUACGACCAGCCGCCACAUCGCCAGACUCGCUUCGAGGAUGGUGGUGGAUCGUCUCGUCAUCGUGCUCCGGUGAAGCAGGAGGAUGGCUUGGGCUGAGCCCAGAGGACUCUGGAUCCCGGCCCUGGGAGAUGAUGUGGUUGCGUGGGCCACUUUUGUUUAGCCUUUCCUUUUUCCUGCAUUUUGAAAAAAGUAGAGGGCCCUGCUGGGGCGUGUAAUGAACCAUGGUACUUAUGCCACUAUGCUAUGCUUAUUGUUCGGAUGUAUGCCAUGAUGUUCAUGUCUGGGUACGUGCGGUAGGAUAACUUAGCUUGAUACACUCGCGGUAGUCUCGCACCUCGCGAUGGUGCGCCCUCCAGCAUCUCGUGAAGCCCCCUUGCUGCUGGCUCAGGGGUUGCUAGGCUCAGGAUACAUCGUGAAGCUGCAAAAUUGUUAGGAAAUUUUGUUGGGUGUCUUGUUCUUCCUUGCGCGAGUCCUCAAACGUGGGCUAUUCAUGCCUUAGUGCAUCACGUCGUGGUACCCAGGGGGCACGGACUUAAGAAGAUGCGCAAAUCACAAGCUCGUUCGAGGGUGUCUCGCGAGGAUAGAAAAAGCCAUGGCCCUGGGGGACAGGGCUGUGGCGAAGUGUGUUCGCAGCGCGGGGCGGGCCCAACACCGGACACGCACACACCUGCCCAGCCCCCGCGUGCGAGACGCGUGAGGAAGAGCGACGGGCAACUGUCGCUGCUCCUGGGCCAUGACCAAAGGGCAGGAGCGAAGACGAAGGGGAAAUCCAACUUGGCAAUCGAAAAUGCGAGAACUCAAAAUUCCAUUAAAAGGAAGGGGGCAAACCAACUACAGAAAGCAAGCAAAUGACCAGCCGCGUCCGGCACCUAGACUAGUCUUCUCACCAGCGCGGAGCUAAGUGAUGCCACUAGGAAGUGGGAGGGAGCCCCCGAGGCCCGAGGGCGGCUCUUCAGAGACUCCGGGGCGUGUACAGCCCCAAUCAUUAUUACGUGAGAGUGUCACGAGCGGAUACCUUCACAUGCACUAGACCUUGCUUCAUGGGUAGAACUUCUGGAGGUGCUGGAUGUUCCAGGCGUUCUGGAUUGGGAUCCCGUCAUGCGUCUCCAGGCGCGCAGCGCCAGGCCUGGAGAUGCCGACAAUCCUAAACGAGCCCUCCCACAUGGGUGAGAGCCUAUGCGGCCCUUCCCUGGAGAGCACCCACCUUAGCACAAGAUCACCCACCUCGAGCGUCCUGGAGCGGAUGUUGUAGUAGUGGUACUGCUGCAGCGCCUGCUGGUACCUUGCCGCCUGGAGCGAGGCUUGACAGCGGCGUUCCUCCCCUAGCACGAGGUCCAUCCCCCGCGUGGCAUCCUGGCGUGCCUCGUGAAACGCCAAGACCCACGUCGAGCGUUGCUUGACCUCGUGAGGGAGAACCGCUUCGGCUCUAUAGACGAGGAAGAAUGGAGUCUCUCCCAUCGGCUUGGUGGCGGUGGUGCGGAUGGACCACAACACAGACUGGAGCUCGUCGAGCCAGCCCCUGCCACAGGCCUCGAGCUUCUUCUUGAAGGUUCUUGUCUUGAGGCCUCACAGGACCUCCUCGUCGGCGCGCUCAGCUUGGCCGUUGCUCCUGGGGUGUGCCAUUGAGGCAUAGCAUAUCUGUGUUCCAAGGUUAGCACAAUACAUUUUUAAGAGGUUACUUGUGAACUGCGAGCCGUUGUUAGUGUUGAUACGAUUAGGGACCCUGAAGCAGCUCACGAGGCCCUUGAUGAAUGUGACUGCCGAGCCGUCCGGGAUGGUGCGGACGACUUCCACCUCCGCCCACUUGGUGAACUUGUCGAUGGCGACAUCGAGGUAGCGGUAGACCCUGGGCGCUCAUGGGAAUGGUCCCAAGAUGUCUAGACCCCAGACCACGAAUGGCCAUGUGAGAGGAAUGGUCUGGAGGCCCUUAACGGGCUGGUGGCUUUGCUUGGCGUGGAAUUUACACACUUCGCAAGAUCUCACCAGCUCGGUGGCAUCAUUGAGUGAUGUGGGCCAAUAGAACCCGCUACGAAAUGCCUUGCCCACGAGGGUGUCUGAUGACGAGUGAUGCCUGCAGUCCCCACUGUGUAUGUCGGCCAAUAGCUCAUGCCCCUGCUCCUUGGAGAUGCAUCGUAGAGAAACAUCAUUUAGUUGUUUCCUGUAGAGCUCACCAUCCUGGAUGUAGUAGGCAGUGGCAUGUCGAACCACACGCUCCGCGUCCUCCUCCUUCUCCGGCAAGGUCCCCUGAAGCAGAUCGCCUUGAAAUCUUUGGUUCAGUACCCCUCCUGAGGUUCCAGCGCAAGGACAAGGCAAGCUCCUGAGGUCGAGCCACAAGCCGGGGCACCCGAUUGAGGGGCCUGAGGGAGGUCCUCAUGAGGCGGUGCUGGUGCCGCUGCGAGCGGUGCUCUAGAUGGCUUGAAGAGCCGCUCCUCAAAGAUGCCAGGCUCUUGAGGCAGGCGCCGGGACGCCCUCUUGGCGAUGUCGUCUGCUUCCUUGUUUGUGUUGCGCGGCACACGUUGCAGUUCUAGACCCAAGAAUUGUAUUAUGAAUUUUGCAUACCUCCGCAAGGUAUGCCUCCACAUGCUCGUCCUUUGGCUCAUAUACUUUGUUGGAGAAGUUGACGAGGAGCUGAGAGUCGCCCUUGAUGGUGAGGCGCUUCACUCCCAAGGCUGCCGCAGCCUUGAGGCUGGCGAUUAAGCCCUCGUACUCCGCGAUGUUGCUGGAGACCUUCUCGCCCUGCUGGAAGUAGAGCUUCAUGGCGUAGCAGAGCUUGUCCUGGGUCGGUGAGAUGAGCAUGGUUCCAGCCCCCGUGCCCUGAUGCACGAAGGCGCCAUUGAAGUACAUGACCUAGCUAUCUGGCGCUUCGCUUCCUGGUGAGAGUCGGUGGUCCUCGCCUACUUCGGGGCUGGGAACGUCGGUCCAUUCUGCCAUGAAACCAGCGAGUGCCGCCCCCUUGAUGACCCUAGUGGUGCUAAACUCUAAUUGGAACGCCUGUAGCUUGAUGUUCCACUCGGCGACUCUCCCCGCAGCAUCGGUGCUCCGGAGCACCCUUUCCAGGGGGUAAGCUGAGACGACCUUGACGGGGUGGCCAUGGAAGUAGUGGUGCAGCUUGUGGGAGUCGACGAGGAGCGUGAGCAAGAGCUUUUGCAGCAUGGGGUAGCGCGCCCGCGUGUCACGUACUGCCGUGCUGACGAAGUACACCGGGUGCUCGAGGAGGGCGGAAGUGUCGGUGGAGUCUUGCACCUCCUGAGGCUGGGGGACCUCAGGAGCUUGGUCACUUGCUAGGGCAGCCAUGGCCUCAGGAGCGUUGUCCUGAGGAGUCUGAUCAUCUGCUGGUGCCGCCGAGGCCUCAGGCACACCGUCCUGAUGCUGCGUUGCCUUUCCCUGUCGUGAGGCAUUGCCUGGCAGGCCCUUGGCUUGGUGCCCCGCCCGGACCGCUACCAGCGCUGCGCUGGCGGUGUGUGGCGUGGUAGCCAGGUAGAGCACCAGGGGCUCUAGAGGACACCAUGCUAUCAUCACCGGCGGGCUGGUGAGGUAUCUCUUGAGAUCUUGGAAUGCUGCAUCAACCUCCGGAGUCCACUCGAACGGGCCCUUCUUUUUCAUCGACUUGAAGAACGGGAGGGCGUGCUCCCCCAACUUGGAGAUAAAACACCCUAGCGAGGUUACACAGCCUGCCAGCUUUUGCAUCUCCUUGAGACUCUAUGGUGGGCUCGUCUCUUCUAUUGUCUUGACCUCUAGAUUUACCUCAAUUCCCCCGUGUGACACUAGAAAACCCAGCAACUUGCUGGAGGGAACGCCAUACACGCAUUUGUCUGGGUUGACCCGCAGGUCCACCGCGCGCAGACUAGCAAAUGUUUCUUCUAGGUCCUCGACAAGGGUCCUUGCCCCCUGAGACUUCACUACUAUGUCGUCGACGUUUGCCUCAGCGUUCCUCCCGAGCUGCUGGCCCAGGGCGAUGUGCAUCAGCCGCUGAAAGGUCGCCCCGGCAUUGUGUAAGCCAAACGGCAUGCAGGUGUAGCAGUACACACCCAUGGGGCUAGGAAGGCCAUCUUCUCAACACCUUGUACCGCCAUCUUGAUCUGAUGAUAGCACGAGAAGGCGUCCAGGAAGCACAACAGGUCACACUCGGCGGUGGAGUCGACAAUUUGAUCGAUGCGCGGGAGUGGGAAGGGAUCCUAAAGGCAAGCCUUAUUGAGGUUGGUGAAGUCGAUGCACAUGCGUUCCUUCCCGCCUUUCUUGGGGACGACGACUAGGUUCGCCAGCCAAUCCGGGUACAGCACCUCCCGAAUGACACCGGUUUCUUGUAGUUUGCAGGUUUCCUAGACGAUGAAAGACUGCUUCUCCGCGGAUUGCCGCCGCGUCUUUUGCUUCACGGGGCGCACGUUGGGGCACACCCUCAUGUGGUGCUCAAUUAUCCCCCUCGGGAUCCCGACCAGAUCCUUGGGUUCCCAGGCGAACACCUCAUUGUUUGCGCGCAAGAAGUCGACCAACGCCCUUUGCUGAUCUAGAGGAAGGUUGGCGCCUAUGGUGAAGGUGGCGCCGGAUGCUCCAUCUUUGUCAACCAGCACCUGCUUCGUCUCGGCACGAUCUUGAGAGAACAACUGCUUCUUCUUUGCUGGCGCAUCCCCUGGGGCCUCUGGGCCCCUUCCUCGGCCGGGCGCGCUACCGCUACGGCCCUGAAGACGAGCUUGAGGGCCAUCAGGGCUUCCUUGGUGUCACUGACCAUAGUGAGGACGCCGUUGCUCCCCGGCAUCUUCAUGAGGUUGUAGGUGGGGUGAGUUGCCGCCAUGAACUUGGCCAAGGGUGGGUACCUGAGGACGGAGUUGAAUGGGAGGCUGAUGCGGGCGAUGUCGAAGUCGAUGAGCUCGGUGCGGUAGUUGUCGCGGGUGCCGAAGGUGACGGGGUGGUGGAUCUGCCCUAGGGGGCAGGUGGAGCCAUCAACGACACUUGUUCAUACUUUCUCUAGCCUGCGUGUCGUGAUUGGCAGGAUGCCAUGUAUCCCUCGUACUUUCGAGCGCUUUCGUGCGUUCCUGCGUUUGGGUGUUCGCUUUGUUUCAUCCUCGGUGCGGUUGAUCUGUGACUCUGCCUUGUGGCUUUAUUUAUAAAAUCGGGCAUAGGCCUUUUCUCUAAAAUAUGUCAAGCCAACUUAUAAUCUGCUAAAGCCAGUUUAGGCACACGUAACUAGUGUUCCACCACCAUUUCACCACUUUCUUGGUUUGUGGGUAGUGCGAUUCGUCAUAGGUGCUACUCAGGAUGCUGACUUGGUAUGCUUGCGCCAUCAUGGCAUUGUGCACAUCCAGGUGGCGGUUCUGAAAUUAAACAUGUUUUAGAAAGACAAUGGCGCAGAUCUUGCGACCGUCUCGGUUGGAGUUCAUGUUAAUUAACAGGGUACAAUCUUCGGUUUGUGCUUGAGGAGGAGGAUUUCAUACCUGCAGAAGAUUUUAUCCCUCACAUAUGGGAGUAGGAUUACGAUGGUCCAGACCACAGGGCUAACCGAGAUGAUGUUUUGCUUGAUCAAGAUGCGAACAAAAAAGGAAAAAUGCUGAAGGGGGUGCUGCUCCGUCCAAUACGCCAUCUGCUGGGACCAGUCCAAUGGUCACUAAUAAUCGCUUUGUGGAUUCAUCGGAUGCUCCUUCGCAGACUGAUGUAGGAGCUAACCUCAAUGUGGACACCACUGCAAUGGCUGGUACUGGAGUUGACCAGUAGGGAGAUACUACAUCCAUUUACGUCAAAUGAGGCACGCAUGCUACUAGAUGAGGUUGCACACCCAGGUGCGACUGCAUGUGUGCAUGCAUAGAGUGUCCUUCAAGCGGUGCGGCCGGCCGUGUGCAGGGUGCACCGCCAGCCGAUGCUUAAGGUUCCGUGCUCGUGCAGCCGGCGAUGGGUGCGGGUGCAUCGCCAGCAACGCAUGUUGAUGCUCCUGCUCCGGUCCAUGCGCAAGGUUCCAAGAUGUCACCCAUGGAGGCUUCGUCAGCUCCUUCUCUAGUUGUCGUGGUUCCUCUCAGUCCAGUAGUAGAUCGUCUGAGUGGCUAAUCCCCGGCACCCCUGGCGGUCGUGCUGGUGGGACCUGCGACACGUCCAUCUUCACUGACCUAUAGGAUAGUUCAGAGCCCGCCGAUUUUGCAGCGACCAAUACCAACGGCUCGACCAUAGACACCGAUGGGUACUAUGACUAGAGGUCUAGCUUCACCCUUUCGGUGUAGUAACCAUCAUGUCAUCUCGGCGGAUGGUUUCUCUCCAACCUAUGAACAUUCACUAGCUAAGGCAAUGUGUUGACAACCCUCGAGGAAUUUGGACUCCAUGCUAGGUAGCUCGCCCGCUAAAUAUUUUCUUUCAUUUCCGGAUACUGGCAUUUCCUCUAGCCUUAAGAACGUUUGUACAUCUAUGGGAAAUAAUGAUAAUCAAAUUAAUCUUUUGGUUAGGGCACUUAAACAUAUGGAGAUUGACCAUUCAAAGGUUUCUCCAAAGUGUAAUAGCGCCCUACCUAACCCCAAAACCAAGGAGGAUGAAACAUAUGCCAAAUAUGACGGUCCGCUUCUCUCCCACUUGGUUGGUGAGGUCAUCGAGUUUGGUUUGGAUGACGCAAGACCUGGCUCCAUGUUCUGUGACUUCACAACAUCUUCGUGGAAAUCUAAAUCGCAUUCCUCUAAAAGAAACAAAUAUUGCCCAAGAAGGCAAAAUGUUCCACAUCGACCUGAGUUUCCACAUGAGAGGCAUGUUUUGGAAUAGCAGAGGUCUCUCAGACUUGGCUAAACGUAAACACGUUGGUGAUUGUGUGGGCGAACAUGGGUUGGAUUUUGUGGCAAUUUCAGAGGCUGAUAAAUGUGACUUCCACCCGCAUGUCCUUGAUCACCUAUCAGGUGGUUUUGGCUACACAUGGCAUAGUCUACCAGGUCGUGGAAGGUUUGGAGGAAUCCUUCCUGGGAUACAGACCACAACCAUGGACUUGUUGGCUUUUUCGGCCGGGAGUUUCAUAUCAAACUUCACUUACGAAACAGAGCUGAUAAUUUUACAUGGAGCAUGGUUGCAUUCUAUGGGGCUGCCCAAGAUGAGCAUAAAUCGGCUUUCCUUUGUGUACUAGUGAACCUGGCUAAGGAUAACCCAUAUCCCAUACUUAUUGGAGGGGACUUUAAUAUCCUUAGGUGCCAGCAAGAGAAAAAUAAUGACCGCUUAGACACUCAUUGGCCUUUCAUAUUCAAUGUUGUGAUAGACAGUUUGCAUCUUCGGCAGGCCAGUAUGUCGGGGCGGCAGUUCACCUAGGAUAAUAACUGAUCUGUGCCGACAUAAGAGAAACUCGAUAGGGUACUCAUGGACACCUAAUGGGAACUAAAAUUUCCUCUGGCAACCAUGCGAGCCAUAGAGUGUAUCGAGGCAUUAUCGUAUCAUGCACCCGUCAUUCUAGAUUCUAACUCUACGAACCCAGCUACCCGUUGAUGUCUACUACGCAACUUUAUUCUUGUAGACUCGUGUUGGCCUCCAAGCAUAGAGUUUUGUAGGACAGUAGCAAUUUUUCCUCAAGUGGAUGACCUAAGGUUUAUCAAUCCGUGAGAGUGUAUUAUGAAGAUGGUCUCUCUCAAACAACCCUGCAACCAAAUACAAGAAAUCUCUUGUGUCCCCAACACACUAAAUACAAUGGUAAAUUGUAUAGGUGCACUAGUUCAGUGAAGAGAUGGUGAUACAAGUGUAGUAUGUAUAGUAGAUAUUUUUUUUGUAAUCUGAAAUAGACACAACACGGUAGCAAUUGAUAAAAGUGGGCACAAAUGAUAUAGCAAUGCAUAGAAACAAGGCCUAGGGUUCAUACUUUCGCUAGUGCAAUCUCUCAACAGUGCUAACAUAAUUGAACCAUAUGGCAAUCCCUCAACGUGCGAUAAAGAAUCACUCCAAAGUUCUUAUCUAGUGGAGAACGUAAGAAGAAAUGGUUUGUAGGGUACGAAACCACCUCAAAAGUUAUCCUUUCUGAUCAAUCUAUCGAGCUAUUCCUAAAGUGUCACAAGCAGCCCAAGAGUUCGUACUAAAACAACACCAUACGAAAACACAACAAUCAACCCUAAUGUCACCUAGAUACUCCAAUGUCACCACAAGUAUUCGUGUGUCAAUUAUACGAUAUGCAUCAAACAACUUCUGAUUCAUAAUAUUCAAUCCAACACAAAGAACCUCAAAGAGUGCCCCAAGAUUUCUACCAGAGAAACAAAGACAAGAACAUGCAUCAACCGCAUUAAUUACCCCAAUGUCACCUCAGUAAUACGUGAGUUGAGUGCCAAAACAUACAUGAAGUGAAUCAAUAUGAUACCCCAUUGUCACCACGGGUAUUCAUACACAAGACAUACAUCCAGUGUUCUCAAAUCCGUAAAAGUAUUCAAUUCAAUAAUAACGAAAUCUAAAAGGUAAAACUCAAUUCAUCACAAUAGGAUAGAGAGGGGGUGCCAUGUGAUGCUUGUCAACUAGAGAACAAUUGAGGUUGAAAUGAUAAUGCAUACUAUUGACUCUUGCAUAAAAGUAAAUACUGAAAAGUAAAAGAUAGGCCCUUCGUAGAGGGAAGAAGAGGUUGUCAUGCGCAUUUUAUUUUUUGAUGAGCAAGCUCUUAAUGCAAAGGAAUGUCAUGUUAUAUUGGCCCUUAUGAUAGCAACCUUGAUUAUGUAGUCUGUCACUUAUAUUUCUUUGCCAUCAGAAGUUUGUACAACUCUUAUUUUCCCUUGCAAUAAAAUAUCACUUAUAUUUUAGGAGCAAUUUUUAUUUCCUUUUGCACCGAUGACAACUUACUUCAAGGGGCUUAUUCAAUCCAUAGGUAGAUAUGGUGGAAACUCAUGGCAAGAAACUAGGUUUAAGGGUUUUUUGGAUGCACAAGUAGUAUCUCUACUUAGUACGAAUUUUUGGCUAGCAAAAGAUCCUAAGUAAACACCACAUAUUGGAGGAUCCAUAACAAUAUAAUUUGUAUGCAAAUAUACACAACCAUAACUCAUUAUGUUGUCUUCCUUGUCCAACUUCAACUAAUUUGCUCAAGUUUGAAAAUAAUUAAUGGGUAUUCACAAUCAUAAAAGAUGUCCAAGAUAAUAUAUUUGUAUGUGAAAGUCCACUUCCUUGUACUAAUCAUUCAUGAAUUGCUUGUAUGACCAAUAUUGUGAUUGUCAAGCUACAAUAAAUUUCACUUUCUAAACCCAAUGUGAAAUUACUACUAGGAAUGAUAUGAACAUAUAAUUUCAACUUCAUGGUAUUCAAUUCAUUCAACAAUUUACUUAUAGGAUAUAAGUGAAGCAUAAGAGUAAAUGGCAAACUACUCCAAAAGAUGUAAGUGAAGAUCAAAUGAGUAGUUAAGUAAAUAGGUAGCUAUGUGAGGACUCUCUCCCAUUUAAAAAUUUCAGAUCUUAACUAUUUUAUUCAAACAGCAAGGUAAACAAGGCAAAAUGAUAUUCCAAGAAUAUCACAUAUCAUGUGAAGAAGCAAAAACUUAGGCUCAACCGAUACGGGCAUGGCGGGAGGAUGCGGGCUGGCUAGUGGCCGCAGGAUCGACGCGGUGACGGCGAUGGAAGUGCUCGUUGUCGAACAGAAGGGGAGAUCGAGCGAGAGGAGAGCGAGUGCGGCCUAUGGUUUGUCCAAGGGGAGUGCUCUGGGUCAAGUAGGACGCCAGGAGGGAUCGGAUGGCCGCCACGCAAGUGGUCACGACCGGCGGAUGGCUGCCACGGCCAUGCUGCCUCCCCUUUGUACAUUACAGAGGUAGAAAAGAGGCCGGUGGUGGGCUUGGUCUGCACUGAUCAUACGGGCCAAAGUGCACAGAAGCACUUCCUCAUUUUCUUUUCUGUCAAAUUUUUUGUCUCAGAUUUCUAUUUAUGUUGUGCACUAAAUGAUAUUAGUUCUACAAGAUACUACACCUAUAAUUCAAAUACAACAUUUUGGGUGUUACACACAAGGUUCCAUUUUAUUUGGGAAGGUUUAUUCAUUUGUUUAUUUUGAAAAGGCCAUUUAAUUUACUGUUGGUCAGUUUGUUAAUUUACUAGGAAUUUAUUUGUGAGCCAAAUGAAGUUGGUUUCAACAUGACAAUUUAUCAGGGGAAUUUAUAGAAUAAUAUGAACAUUUUCCUACUGAUUAAAGAAUUAAUGAUUUGAAUUGCAAUUUGAUUUUGAAUUUAAGUUUAUUUUUAUCCAGGGGCAAUUACGCUUGGCAAACACGGUGACAUGGCAUCAUUAGGUUGGAAUUACUGUAGCGUGAUUACCAGGGUGUUACAGUGGUUCUCUAGGAUACCCUAGUGUCAUGAUAAUAGUUUCAACAUAUAUGUCAAGGCAAUGGAGUACCUCAACUCAACAAUUAGUGUGGUUAAUCUAGCCCAAAGGAACACCGAGAAUGGAAAGAAGGGAUUUGCAAAUGCAUCAAACUUAAGUCUGAGAACGGGCUAAUAACUGGACCAUAACUAAACUAGACCCAUACAAGUACCUCUCUAAACCAAACCUGAACCAUAACCAGAUAAUACUAUUUUCAGCCAAACCAAAACUGCACCCAAUAAUUAUUCCACCCAAACCGGUUCACACCCAGUACAUAACCAUGGGUUUAAACCCAAUACAUAACCAAAUUCAACUGAAGUUUAACAGUGGCAUGCCAAACAAUAAUUUAGCAGUGACAUAACUGUUUUCCACUACAGUUUUACAGUGACAUGUCCUUUCUGAAUAUGCUACUGCUUAGGCUACAUUCUCUGCCACACUGAAACAGAACAAAGUAGAAAGUCCAUCUAUUUUCUACAGGACUAGCAACUGGACACCGCAUUUGAAAAGAGAGCAAUUUAGACAUAAGUACAAUUAUGCUACUGGCUGCCAAAAGAAUCUUCAGAAUUUUGUUGUUGCUCCCUCGACCAAUAAAUAUGCAUCUUCGUCGCUGGCAUAUGUGAGAUGACUUUGCUGCUUGAUAAGGUCUGUAGCUCACAGACCAAGCCGCAACACUUCUGCACCACCAUGCUAAACCACUGUUGCAUCACAGAGAGAGUUCUAUUAGAUCAUAACUUCUUGAGAAUUGAGAACCAUGAUCAAUCAGACAUGUGGUCUAAAGUAGUAACAUAUACAGAUCACGAUUGCAGUUUCCACAUAAUCCGACAAAAGAUUGGACAAAACCACAAUGUUCUACAGACUAGUGCUGGCAAUGUUUACUUGCUUAGCGACAGUGGUUUUGCUUGUCGAAUGACUAUAACGGAAAAAGGAGCAAGGCAAAAGCAAAUCGAUGAUCAAGAUCAUAUUUUUACCUUUUCUUCGUUUCAAGUUUUUAGCCGUGUGCAUACUGUUCAUCUCCUGCAAAUGAAACAAAGGAUUAAUUUAAAGGCAUCUAUGCUGCAAGUUUUAUAUAUCAGAUUUUACUCAAGUAGUAGAACCAAAAUGUAAUUGGUUAGCUCACCCUCCUUUGGUUUGAACAACCAAUCUUUAGCACAAACAAGCACUUCUAGCAUAUCAGGGUUCAAAGAGCUUCUCUUGUCGCCUAGUAUCCUCUUACCACAACUGAAGGCUGAUUCAGAUGCCACUGUGCUCAAAGGAAUUGCAAGAAAGUCACGUGCCAUAGAUGCCAAUAUAGGAAACUUUUCGGCAUGCCUCUUCCACCAACCCAAGACACCAAAGUCAUCACCGGCCUUCUCAGAUGCUUCUUCCAAAUAUGCGUCAAGCUCAGACUUGUGUACACAUGACCUCCGAUGAGACUUGUGUUGGGCAAACUCUUUUUCCAACUUCCUUUUCCUUGCAAUAGGUGAUCCAAUAGUGGUAUUGCCUUGACUAGAAGGUGUCGAGUGUGUAGUGCUUGUCGCUGCAAGUAGCUCAUAUUCCUUGACAUACUUUCUCACCCAUUCUAAAGCAAUCUCCACUUGUUUUGUAAUCUGCUCCUCGUUGGUGGACAACUUGCAAUAGAAGAAAUCCAAGUAAUCUUCUUUCCUCCUUGGAUCCAGGAAUGUAGCAAUGACAAGUGCAUGGUUAAAUUCAAUGCCCUUGCUUUUUCUAUCUGCAUUCUCCUUCUCCUCAGGAUCCCAAUAUUUAUCGAGCUUCGUUUGCAUCACUUCCGCCAAUUCCUUCAACGCAUCAGAGGUCUGCCAACCCGGAUCUUUCAAUGCAUGGCGAAUAGAAAGCACAACUGGUAGAAACUUAUGUGAAGUUGGCUUCCUGUGAGCUGAAACAAUCAAGGUAAUCUCUUUAAAAGCUUUUAGAAACUCACAAAUAGCUUUUGCCUUCUCCCAUUCUUCCUCACUUGGAGACUCUAUCAUCUUUCUAUUGGCAUAACUAGUGAGGACAGAUUUGUACGUCAAUGCUUCUACAAGCAUUUUCCAGGUUGAGUUCCAUCUGGUUGGUGUAUCAACAGAGAUGCCUUUCUUUGCACGUAGACCCAUCCCACUUGCAAUUGUAUUGAAAUCUUGAAGUCUUGAAGGAGAAGAGUCAAUAUACUUCAGCAGCUCACGUAUCAUGUCAAUAGCUUCAUGGAUUAUUUUCAUUCCAUCCUGAACCAAGAUAUUAAGAAUGUGCGCACAACACCUGACAUGCAAAUGUUGACCUUCAAGGAGUAGCUCAUGUUUGUGAUAUUUUAUUAACUCCUCACAUGCAUUAGUAUUAUUGCUGGCAUUAUCUAGUGUCAAAGUGAAUAAUUUGCCCCUUAUGCCCCAUUCUGUUAAGCAACGAACUAUUUCUACUUCUAUCGCGUAGCCUGUGUGGGGAUACUUCACUUCUGCGAAACUUAUCGUCUUCUUCUUGUAGUUGAAUUCUGCAUUGAUAUAAUGGGCGGUGAUGCACAUGUAGCCCAAGUCCUGUGAUGAUAUCCACAUGUUAGAUGUUAAGAAAAUGCGAGAAUCCAUGUUUUGUAGCUCUACUUCGAUAUCUUUCUUCAUUCCCUUAUACAUCUUCACUACAUCAUCACGAAUUGUGUGAUGACCCUUGAUUUGAAACGCCGGCUGCAUUGAGUCAAUCCAUGGCUGAAGGUGGGGAUCUUCAAACUUAAGAAUGGGGAUCUCAGCAUGGACGCAAUACUUGACCAUGAGUUCACGACAAACUUUUUCAUCAAACACAAACAGACCUUCGGAUGGUUUUUUUUCAUGGUCAACAAAAACUUCUUCCUGCAAGCCUCCUGAAUUGAUCGGCAAGCCUCUAAAAUAUGGGUCCUCAAACUGCUAGUCCCAAACUUGGUGUGAAGUUGUGCUCCACAGUAUUUGCACACAGCCUUGAGAUCACCAUCGACGAGAACCAGAUCUACUUCAUAAUGCUCCCAUACCUUGGACCUUCUAGCAUGUGGUACUUGACUCGUAUUCUCAUCCAUGGAAUCAGCACUCUCCGAACCCUCUGAUGUAGACAUGCCUCAAAUUAGUAGUGAGUAAUUCGAGUGGUCUGGGUUGCUGUGUUUUUCCCGUCCUUGGUGCGUGGCCUGUGAAUGCGGAAACAAGGUGCAAGCAGGUUAAUACUAGUACUAGUAGCAGUAAAAGUUAAUGCAUGUAAAAUAAAAUAAAUGAAAAAAUCAAUGGAAUAAAUGUUUUGGAUUUCAAAUCUCAAAAUAGACCAACCAACAUCAAGGUUCGAUAAUCUACAUGGCAAAAAUUUGACUUAAAUUUUUCAGUCCCAAACUCUGAACAUGCAAAAUAUUUUUUCGUAGUUGAUAAGGUCCACUGACUAAGUACUUCCUUCUUAUCAGAGUUUUUAAAUUAAGAUUAUAGUGAUCUAGCAACUUCCUCUUGCCUUGUCCGUAUUGAAUCUCUUCAUCACAAUUCAUGUUUUUCGGAGCUUAUGACGUACAUUUGAUAAAUACAAACAGGCCUGAAUAAAUAAACACAUGAGAAAAUGACCGGAAAAAAUGAGUCAUGGUUGUGCGCCUAGUGGCGAUAAAUUGAUUUCUGCCUCACAUGGUUGGCUCUCGUCUUCCUACAUCACUUAGCUUCUAGGCCCUGCUGUAAAAAAAGCCCAUGACUUCCCUGCCCAAAAGGACUACAGGCUACAGCCAAAAAGGCCAUCUGAACGGAGGUUGUCGCUGGGGCAAAUUUUCUGCACCCUAUGCAUAACAAUCAUACUAAAUUUAUUUAGCAGUACACAAGAAAGCAUCCAAUUUUUCAGCCUCCAUGGAAUAUCAUGGACCAAACUUCCACUGAAUCAACAACCUUGUAAUUCAUACCGUGAAAUGCUAGAAACUACACCUACACAUAGGUUGGAUAAUAUGAACUGAAUUUUAGAGAAGCUGUAAUAUAAUUAACCUAAUCCAAUACUAGAACUAAAUAAUCUGAACUGAAUAAUGCAAUCAGAUAACCUGAACCUACAGGAAAAAGGAUAUGUGCACAAUAAUUUAAGUUGGACAAGGUUAACUGGUCUACAGCAGUAUCAAGACAUUCGAGUUAACUGAAAGACAAGGAGGGGACCAACAGGGGCACCUUGCCACCGGACGGCCGGAGCACCUUGCGAAGGAGGAGUAAGUGGAGGAGAAGGACCUUGCCGCAGGUGGAGGAACCUGGUCAACAGAGAAGAAACAAGCCGGUCAGAGAGAGAGAGGGAGAGACAGAGAGAGAGAGAGAGAGAGAGAGAGAGAGAGAGAGAGAGGUACCUGCCGUCGGAGGGAAGGUGGCGCAGCGGUGCGGCCCGACGACCUCAACCCUAGCGGACGGGGAGGGGCGGCGGCACUGAUGGGAGGGCCAGCUCGGGAUAGCUCAUGGUAGGGAUCUGCUGUGGUGACGAGGGGCCGGCGCCGAAGGGUGCCGGCGAGGCGGCGGCGCGAUGAAGGGAUGGCGAGGGGGAAGAUACAGGGGGCGUGCGGGCGACGAUGCGGGGGAAAAGACAGGGGGCAGCGCGUGGGUUGGGUUGGCGAGCAGUCGAAGGCAACGAACCGAUACAAAGAACUAGGUUGUACCCAGUUUGUAGCCCAUAAUACAUCAAACGGUUUCAGCCCAUAACCAAAUAACCCAAACUGGUUUCUCUCCAAACCCAAACCAAACCGAACUUAAGAAAGCCUCGGCCCAAUACAACCUAAACCAAUCAAGCCCAUGAUAAAAAACCAAACCAUUUAAAUCAGUUUUUCUAAAACCACUCCUAGAUUUAAACUAUUUAGAAACCUGGGAUGACUCGGACAACAUAACGGGUGUGAAUGCUCGAAAAGAUUUGAGACAUCCUGCAAAAUGGUGGCAUAACCACUUAACAUCAUAAUAUGAAGGUUCCGAGACCAACUGUUAUCACACAGAAGUAGUAGGAAUUGAACUAAGGCUUGAAUCCAUCAAUCCUCACUACAAAAAAAGACACAUCCGUGACAUUUUGGGCCGAACGAAAUUUGUUUCUGUCAUACUUAUGACACAUCUAUGACGAUAAUUUUGACAAAACCCGGUAUCAUCAUAGAUUCAUAGAUGUGGUGGGCUCCUACUUCUAUGACAAAAAAUCAUGACAGAAAAUGGGAUCUUCGUCCUGGGCGGGCCGAAGACGCAGCUGCAUGACAUUCUUUGGGCCGUCCAUGAUGGAAAAAACCAUGGUAGAAGCGAGGGCGAAGAAAAUUUCAGGGAGUUCCCGGUUAUGGUGGGUGGUCGGGGGCCUAGCGAUGCGCGUUUCUCUAGUACACGUACGCGCAUGUGUGCGAGGUGUUGGGCUCUAACUAAACCCGAGUGAGGCAUUAGACUCCAAUUGAACCCGAGCGAUUGCACUAGCUACGUUACUGAACCGGAGUAAUUCCUUCACUAUUGUUGUUAACUGAAGUCGAUCGAUGCUGCCUCAGGAUGAACAGUGAGCGUUGCUAGGGGGUUUGGAUGAACAGUUCCCGGUGGGGGUGGAUGAAUAGGACCCCGUGGUGUUGCCUCUGGAUGAACAGGACCCCGAUCGAUCGAGCCGGUUGGGGCUGGAUGAGCAGGACCCCGUGGAGGGCCGGAUGAACAGUAGAAGGUGGAGGGCUGGAUGAAUAAUAGCCCGUGGAGGGGUGGUUGAACAGGAGCCCGUGGAGAGGGCUGGUUGAACAGUAGCUGGUGGAGUAGCGCACGGUGGAGGCUGGAUGAACAGGAGUCCGUGGAUGAAUAGUCAUAGGUGGAGGUUGGAGGAGGUCGAUGGUGGACGAAUAGUAGCCUGUGGAGGCUGGAGGGGGUCGAUGGUGGAGAGAAACAGUAUCUCGUGGAGUCCCAUCUUGCGGUACGUCACACCCCUCCCGAUGAACAAGACCCCCGUUUUGACCAUAGUACUCCAAGACAAGUCCGUUUCCUUCGUUUUGUGGUACGCCACACCCCUCCCGAUGAACAGGACCCCUAUUUCGACAGUAGGAGGUCCGUUUCCUCCAUUUUCCGGUACGCCAGACCCCUCCCGAUGAACAGGAUCCCGUUUCGACCGUGGCCGGACGAACACAAGGCCGUUUCCUCCGUUCUGCGGUACGCCAGGCCUCGUUUCCAUUGGUUGUUCCGUCCAAGCCCUCCCGAUGAACACGACGAUGCAUUCCGUUCCAACCCAGCCGGUUGGCUCCCCAUGAACACGACGACGAUGUUGUUUCUCUGUUCCGACCCAGCCAUGUACACGAGCCCUGGCCGUUCGUAUGCGCGAGUAGGCGUUCGAGACCCUGCCCGUAUGAACGUAUGUGGUCGUAUUUUCUUUCUUGCACACUGGCCGCUGUACGUACGUGUAGAUGCUACGUGCGCACCUCUACUACGACACGUGCGCGCCUCUACAAGGACCAGUAUGUACGUACAUGUUCGCGACCAGAAUGAGAACGCUAUGUACGCUUCGACCAGGUGUGUCCCGACUAUCAGGCACUUCCUUGUGUGCGAAUAUGUAGCUGGUGGGUCCCAGCAGUCAGGGGGUGAAUCGUCUUUUUUGCCCGGACGCACUUCCUUGCAUGCGAAGAUGUAGCUGGUAGGUCCCUGCAGUCAGGGGGAAACGUUUUUUUCACGAAAUAUGGUUGCCCGUCCGGUGGGUCCUUGCUGUCAGGUGGAGGAAUCAUUAUUUUCUGCAUAAUAAGAAGGCAGUUCCUUGCAGUGGCUAUUGACCCAGCCGUCAACCUCUCCACGUACAGUCCACGUCCGAUAGAAGCCGUUCCUUGACCACGUUGACCAUGCCGCGUCGAGAGCACCAGGGCGGUGGACAACGACAAGGCCUAGGAAGGGGAUGACGCGGAGCCAGGGAAGACGCGGCAGUGGAUGCCCACGCAUAGAGGAGUAUGAGGGUUCACUGGUUCGCUGCGGUGUGAGGAUGUCGUCGCCGCAAAAUAACAAGUGGUGUGGGUGAGUAGAGGGAUGCCCUGGCCAGCGGUGGGAGUAGCAGGGGGCGGUGAGGCCUCCGUGAUGAGGACAUGACUACCUUGGAUAUGACCAAAAAUAUUGCAUAUAUGCAUAUUUGUCAGGUGAUUUCUAGUGCAAACUAUUCAAUAAUCUAUUUAUGUUAUCCAGAACAAAAAUACUUCACACACUUUUGUGUUUUGUCUAAUUGCAGGUGUAUGGGACAUUUGUACAAUCCACAUAUGAAGAUAAGGAAGAAAGAGAUGUUUAUUUGCUGUCCAAAAAGUUCUCUCACGUCACUUUUGGCCCAAGAGAAGAUAGAGUCCAAGUCUCUCACGUUCUGGAUUCAGAUUCGGACUGCACAGACACACCUGACUCAAAACGCACACAAGUUUUUCAUACGGACUCCGAAUUGGGUGAUUCUUUUUUUUGUUGGAAACUAGAUUUCGUGCACUUUCCAACCCGAUUGGAAUCACCUUCAAAUUCGUCCGGAGCGUUGAGUUGUGGACGAAACAAUCUGAUGCUGCAGCAGAAUCCGAGUCAAACUACAAGUCCAAAGGUGUUACAUCACCUCCACUUGGGCCCAUUGGCCUUGUACGACCUAGAUUUAGUUUUAGGCUGCCUUGGGACGUCCUCCCACCUCCUUGGCCGCCACCCCUUGCUCCUAUAUAAGUAGAUCCAUCUAGUAGCUUUUCCUUGGGAUUUGUUUAGUUAAAAGUUAGCCAUUGCAACUUCGUGUACUUCGUUUGUGUCCAACGACCAGACCAAGACCGCUUACGGAUCCCCACCAUUAUCAAUACCUCAUAUAUAUUUGCAAUAUUCAGAUUGCUUUAUCAUAUUCUUGCUCGUUCUUCGAUUGCUUGCAGGAAUAGACCUUCGUGGUCAGGCUGACCGUGCUUCCGGCAUCGUCAGUAACCUCAGGAGAUUGGUUUAGCGAUUGCUAAGGCGCAACGUCGUGCACGUUUGUAGUCGGAUCGUGAAAGUCGUCUCCACCAAAUCGAUAGUUAUCAUCUCAUCGAAAGAUCGGGACACCCUCGCCUCUAUCAAGUGGUAUCAGAUUUCCAGGUUGCUCGGUGAGAUUUUACAGUUUUUCGUAGUUUAGAUCGAGUCUGUUCUUCAUACCUAUAGUCCACGAAAAAGCCAAAAAAAAAAUUAGGGUUAGUUCAUCCCAUCCGAACCAAUCUGAGCCUUGCAUAAUCUUUUCUGUAUUUGCUUUGUUGAAUUUGCGGUUGCAUCGUCGUGU